rnacentral:lncRNA from 1 species
CAAAAUCAAACCUUUAAAAUUUAUUCAAAAAAAAAAAAUCAAACCUUUAAACAUACAAAAAAAAAAAAGGAUUCAUCAUUUCGUCACAUCAUUAUACACAAAUAUAGAAACAAAGCAAAUAAAAUUAAUCAACAAGUCUCUAUUAAGAACCUUAAAACUGUAAACCCACAUACAAAAAUUCAACAUAUUCCCUCAAAAAUCAAACCUUUGAAACAUACAAAAAAAAAAGUUCAUCAUUUCGUCACCUUAAUGUGAAGUGUACCGCCGCCGAACUCGGAACCGGACUUGUUAUUGAGCUCCAACCAAGCCUUGUUCUCGUAAAAGCAAGCGCCUUUCCACUCAACGGCGUCAUUUUUGAUAGAGGCGGCGCCUAUGUAAGUGGGGAGGAGGUCGACGGCGGAGUUGAGAGAGUUGAGAAGCGGCCAGGAGAGUUGUCUCGGCAAGAGCGGGAGAAGGUCCCGAGGGUGAAAUGGUAAUUUGACGGAUGAAACGGUGAGAAGCAUCAGCACGGUAACGGCGAAGAUGAUGGCCGGAGAAGACGAAGAAACCGCCAUGGGUCAAUCAAAGUGUCUCACUUUCCGUGUCGAACUCGCAACUGUUAAUGACUUGGUUUAACGUAUUUAUUCGAGAGUAUAUUCCUCGAAUACAUGUAAUCAAAACUUAAUAUUAAAUUUAUACUUAAUACAUUUUUUUCGGGGGUGUAAUAGCUAUUUUGAAAAUGUUAGGUAUCAUUUGGUGAAUGUAGAAACCAAGAAGCCAAAUUCUGAAACUUUUCUACAAGUUUCGCAACUGGUCAUCACUAGUGAUCACUAUAGCCCCACGCAUCUCUUACGUAAACCACAACAUAACCACAGCCUAAUCCCCUCCUCUUUAUCAUUGGCUUAAAGUUUGAAAAAACAACUAGAAGACACAUCAUCUCUUUCAAUGGCUGUUUCAUUUCAAACCAAGUACCCUCUAAGACCCAUCACCAACGUCCCAAGAACCCACCGUCCUUCAUUUCUCCAUGUUCGUGUCACGUGCUCUGCUACUACCACAACCACCACAAAGACUCAGCCUAACCGUGAAAAGAAGCUUGUGGUUGAGAAACGUUUAGUGAGUCCUCCUCUUUCCAACGACCCAACUCUGCAGUCUACAUGGACUCACCGCUUAUGGGUAGCAGCUGGUUGCACCACCUUGUUAGCUUCUUUAGCUAAGUCUAUCACUGGAGGGGUUGGUUCUCAUCUCUGGCUCGAACCAGCUUUAGCCGGUUAUGCAGGGUACGUCUUGGCUGAUCUUGGCUCUGGUGUGUACCACUGGGCCAUUGAUAACUACGGUGAUGAGUCAACGCCACUAGUAGGAUCUCAAAUCGAAGCGUUUCAGGGUCACCACAAGUGGCCUUGGACAAUCACCAAAAGGCAAUUUGCCAACAAUCUACACGCUCUGGCACGAGUCAUAACCUUCACGGUGCUUCCACUAGACCUUGCGUUUAACGACCCUGUGGUUCAUGGCUUUGUGAGCACAUUUGCAUUUUGCAUAAUGUUUAGCCAGCAGUUCCAUGCUUGGGCUCACGGAACUAAGAGCAAGCUUCCACCUCUCGUCGUGGCGUUGCAGGACAUGGGAGUGCUUGUUUCAAGGAAACAGCACGGGGAACAUCACCGAGCACCGUAUAACAACAAUUACUGCAUUGUGAGUGGGGUUUGGAACAAGGUUUUAGAUGAAAGCAAGGCCUUUGAAAUACUGGAGAUGGUGUUGUUCUUCAAGCUCGGGGUGAGACCGAGGUCAUGGAGUGAACCAAACUCUGAGUGGACAGAAGAAACUGACCUCUCCAGUAGCCAAGCGUAACCAAUAGUUACAAGGUGGCCCUACAGGUGUUUGAAAACACAAUUAUUUAUAUAUGUACAAGAAAAUUGAUGGAAUAAACAAAUAAGAUUAUUUUUACGUAAUUUAUAUGCAAUACAGAGUGAGUUUAUUGAGUACAAAGCAUGAAUAAAAAAGAGAGCAUGUAAUAGUUUUUAAGUAUCAGAAACAACAAAUGAGUAAACAGAAGAGACACAAGGGAACCAGUACUGACAUUUUCCGUCUUUAAUGCCAUUGUCGAUCAUUGCAAGGCCCUCCUGUAAAUAAAUUAAUAGUAAAAUUACAAAGUUUCAGGACCCACACUGGUUCGUUGGUUGGUUGCAUUGUGUUAACCAUAUUGGAGAAAAUGCAUACCUCUAACAAAGUUUCGAGAGCAUCUAUGACCCGACCUGAUGUCCACGAGAGCCGUCUUCGUACUUGUUCCACGGUCACAAAGCCUUGACCCUGUGGGGAAAGCAACAUGAAUCCUCUAGUUAAUUCAGUUAAAGGAUAAUGCAAAAGAUGAAUGUUAUGAUUAUAACCUGAGCCAGCUCCAAGAUUUGGUUAUGGUCUUUGUUGAGCUCAGUGGGGACAAGUUUUUUCUUUGUUGAGUUCAAAUUUACUUUUUCUGUUGAAAAUCUGAAAAGAAAAAACACAAGUCAGAUAGUACCUUUAGCUUGCUAAUAGCUCGGAGACAAUCAUCUUCGGUGACAGCUUCACGGUCUUUUUUCCUUCUCUGACGAAGAUGGCUGGAUAGCUCUUGCAAGCUGAUCAAACCUCCAUUGAGUGACCUUGUAAGCAUGCAAACUUCAAUAAUCUAAACGCCUGUUUGAUCAAUUUAAUACUUUUCAGAUACAUGUAGCAAUUCCAAGUAAGAAAAAAGAAUAUAUAUAUAUAUAUAUAUAUACCAGUGUUUACUCCCUUAUCCAAACAUAGACUUAAGAAGCCAGAGCAAACAAUAUAAGCGUAUCUUCUAUGGCACUAGAAGAGAACAUGUGAGAGAAGAGGCAUAACAUACCAAGUUCAUAGUAGAAGUCACCAAUUCCAAGGAGCUCAGCCCAGAAGCCCUUGUUGGAAGCAAGUGGAUCCACACCAACUUUAGCACACAUUUCAUGGAACCGAGCUCUAAAGGCUGGAUUUUUACGAAUGUCAUUCUGCAACCAAAAAAGUUUCUUUUUUUUUUUUAGUGAAAUUAACCAUACUAAUCGAGAUCCGACAUAUCAUGUAAUAAAAAGACAAUCAAGAGACGAUGAUGUAGCAACAAAUCCAUAGACUUCAACAAAAAAAUUGGACCUUGUGUUUACGAACGUGGCAAGCUGUUCUUUCAUCAUAUCAGUUCGUAGCUUUGCCACAUUCUCUCCUAGUAACCGGUAUUGGUCCUGAUUGAUUUAUUUCAUGGAGAUCAUAAGAAUUAUACCGAAAAACAAUCAACAAGAGGUACGGAUUAGAAUAUCAAAUCUGGUUUAGAAGUAAAACCCGCGCAGCCGCGGCCCCUCCGAUUCCUGGUCGUCGCCGCAUCUCUCACUGUUUUUUAAUCUUCGCAAUUCUCCGAUUGGAAAUAAUAAUAGUUCCGACUUAAGAGAAUCGGAGAAGACGACAUAACUACUGUUCAUUGAUUAUUCAAACGUUGAUUGUUUGCGGUUUUUUAAAAUAGUUUUUGGUUUUUGUUUUUGAAAAACUACUUUAUUUGUCGAUCAAGAUUUUGUCAAAAAUAAUUUUCUAAAAAUGAGGGAAACUAGUUUUUCAAAUAAUUACUUUAAAAACCAAAAUCUGUCAUUUCUUAGCUUUUGACCAACGUUGAUGUUUCUAUUUUUUAUUUUAUUUAUUUUAAAUGAUAUUUCCUUUAAUAUUUGUCUCAUGUUUGUAUUAUUUUCACUCUCAUGAUAUGUUCCCAUUAGGCCUGGAACUUUUAUCCGAGAUCCGGAUUCGAUCUGUGAUCCGAUCCGGAUCCGAUCCGAAAAUUCGGAUAUCCGGAGAGACCGAAUCCGAAUCCGGAUAGUAAAAUGUUGGAUCCGUCAAAGCCGAAUCUGGAUCCGGAUAUCUUGAUUUUUUAGUCCGGAUAUCCGGAUCCGUAAAUUUUAUUAAUAACUAUUUCAAAAAUCCCAUUUCACUAACAUCAUAUCAUCAAAUAAAAUUCUUAACUUUGUUAAUAUUAAAUAAAUGGUUAUACUUGCAAUUAGACCAAUUAUUUUCAUCCCAACAUAUGAUCGAAUAUUUGUGUGUGUUGGGAUGAAAAUAAUUGGUCUAAUUGUAAGUAUAACCAUUUAUUUAAUAUUUACAAAUAUUGGAUCAUAUGUUUUCAUACUAGAUUAUACUAUUAAUUUACAUUAAUAGUAAAACUAUGCAAUAAAGAAAUAAAUGAAAAAUAAAUAUCAUAAUGACAAAUGGUUGACGAUCAUAUUCAUAUAAUUUUAAACAUUAUGUUCCACAUUUUCUUAAUAUCAAAAUUUUACAAUUUUUCUUUGUAAAUUUUUAUUCAUAUUUAUAAUGUUUCAAAUUUCCGGAUAAUUUAUCGUUAAUAUAGAUAAAUUAAAUUAACUUUUUGGAAGUAAACCUAUUUCAUCUGAUGAUGAAUACUAUAAAUUUAUGUGUGUGUUUAUGAUAACAUUUUAUAUUUUGACUAAUUUUAGAAAAUUCAAAAAAGUUUUGUUAAAUUUAUAAAACGAAUUAACGGGAUUUUGUUUUCAUUAAAUUUAAAAUAAUGAUAAUUACGAAUAAGCCUUUAAUAAAUAUCAUUUUGUAUAUAAGGGAAAAAUUAUGGUAUUUAUAUAUUAAAGAUUAGAAAUUUUUUAAAUAUAAAAAUAUAAUUUAAAUUGUUAUUUUAGAUUUAUUUUAUUAUUAUUAUUGAUUUUUAAUUGUUUAUUUUUUUCAAAAAAAUAAAUAACCAGAAUUUAAAAUCUAAAAUCUACAAUAACCAUUCAAGUUUUUUCAAAAAACUAAAAUUUACAGAAAAUCAAAAAUCAAAAUCAAAAACCAAAAUCUAAAAAUCAAAAACUAAAAUUUAAAAACCAAAAACCAAAAUCUAAAAACCAACCAAACAAUCAUCACCUUAGUUUCUUAAGUUGCCAACAAUCAGAGUGGCACAGCGGAAGCGUGGUGGGGCCAUAACCCACAGGUCCCAAUAUCAAAACCUGGGAGAGUAGGGAGAGUAGGGGUAGCUAUGAACCUUUAUUUCCAGCUCAACGGCCGUACCGAGAGAUCAUGUUUCUUCGCCGGCGAUGGGAUGGUCUUCACGACCAAUCCCGGCAUCGGUGAUUGCGCCUUCGUAUACCCCUCCUCCUCCACCACCACUGCAUUUUUUCCGAUGAUUGGUUCGAUGAUUCUCCUUUUCUUUUUCUGUCUUAUGUAAUCGCAAUGCUUCGAAAAAAUGUAAUCGCAAUGUAAUCGCCGUUAAAUUAAAAAUAAAUAAAUAAAUAAAUAUUUGGACGGCCUGAUAAGAACGACAAGGCUAAAUUGGUAUUUUAUCAUGGAAAAUACUCUAGGAUAGCACUAAAAAGUUUAUGUCACAAAUAUAGACUCUAAAAAUCAAAAUGACCAAAAUGUUUCAUGAAAGAGGUAAAUAUACACUUAUACCCUUAAGGUUAACUAAUCCAAACCUUAAGGUUUAGAGUUAAGGGGUGGAGAUUUUGGAUUGCAGUUUAAAAUUUUAUAAAAUAGAAAAUAAGUAUUAAAAAUUUGAAAAAAAAAAUUUUUAAAAUAGUUUCAAAAAGUAUUUUCGAAUUACAAAAAGAAAAUUUGAAAAACAAAUUUAUAAAAAAGUUCAAAUUUGAAAACAUAUAAUCUAAAACAAUUUUUUAUUUUUUAUUUUUUUUAUUUUUUUUAUUUUUUUUUAUUUUUUAAUUUUUUUUUAAUUUUUUUUAAUUUUUUUUAAUUUUUUCAUAUAUUUUUAUUAUUUUUUUUAAUUUUUUUAAUUUUUUUUAUUUUUUUUAUUUUUUUAUAUAUAUAGGGUAUUAGUGUCAUUUUACCUAUUAAAUGAAACAUUUUGGUCAUUUUUCUUCUUGUGAUCUAUUUUUGUGACCAAAAAUGUCUAUUGAUGAGAAUCGACCUUUUAUCAUUCAUUUAAGGGUUUUCUGCAAAAAAACCCUCAAUGUGGUUUUUUUUUUGUAAAUUAAUCCGCGAACUCAAAAACCGCAAUAUAACCUUCGGCCGUAUAUAUGUGUAUUUGACUGUGUAUAAUUUUAACAUUUUUCAAUACUACGUCGUUUUGACACUAAAUUUUUAAUGAAAAAAAUUUGUUGAACACACGGUUUGAACCUUGAACUUUAAACACUAUGUUCAUGCUACAUAACCAUCUCCGCCAACAAAUAUAUUUGUUUACUUAACAAACACAAUUAUAUAGAUUUCUAAAUUCAUUCCGAAAUGUCCUUGUUUCUUCUUCUUCCCUUGGACAUGGGAGCUUGCGUAAAUGCAUAAUGAAGGUGGGGUGAUCCAUAAAAACGCAACAUAUAUUUCUUUUUUUUCUAUCGUCAUGGGAGCACAUCAUAUCUUUCUUCUUUCCUUUGGCCACGAUAACACUCAAAGACGAAUGCGGAGAUGAGCCGGAAACGUGAAUCUCAUCCCGAUUGUUGUUCAAAACAUGUGAGAUAAUAACUAUAAGUAAAGAAAAUCGAAAAAAUAAAUGUUUGAGUAACAAUCAAAGGAUCUCCUCACCUUCAUUGUGCAUUUACGCAAGCUCCAUGUCCAAGAGAAGAAGAAGAAACAAGGUCAUUUCGGAAUGAAUUUUUAGAAAUCUAUAUAAUUGUGUUUGUUAAGUAAGCAAAUAUAUUUGUUGGCCGAGAUGGUUAUAUAGCAUGCACAUAGUUCUUGUGAUCUAUUUUUGUGACCAAAAAUGUCUAUUGAUGAGAAUCGACCUUUUAUCAUUCAUUUAAGGGUUUUCUGCAAAAAAACCCUCAAUGUGGUUUUUUUUUUGUAAAUUAAUCCGCGAACUCAAAAACCGCAAUAUAACCUUCGGCCGUAUAUAUGUGUAUUUGACUGUGUAUAAUUUUAACAUUUUUCAAUACUACGUCGUUUUGACACUAAAUUUUUAAUGAAAAAAAUUUGUUGAACACACGGUUUGAACCUUGAACUUUAAACACUAUGUUCAUGCUACAUAACCAUCUCCGCCAACAAAUAUAUUUGUUUACUUAACAAACACAAUUAUAUAGAUUUCUAAAUUCAUUCCGAAAUGUCCUUGUUUCUUCUUCUUCCCUUGGACAUGGGAGCUUGCGUAAAUGCAUAAUGAAGGUGGGGUGAUCCAUAAAAACGCAACAUAUAUUUCUUUUUUUUCUAUCGUCAUGGGAGCACAUCAUAUCUUUCUUCUUUCCUUUGGCCACGAUAACACUCAAAGACGAAUGCGGAGAUGAGCCGGAAACGUGAAUCUCAUCCCGAUUGUUGUUCAAAACAUGUGAGAUAAUAACUAUAAGUAAAGAAAAUCGAAAAAAUAAAUGUUUGAGUAACAAUCAAAGGAUCACCCCACCUUCAUUGUGCAUUCGCACAACAAAACCACAUUGAGGGUUUUUUUUUGCAGAAAACCCUUCAUUUAACCUAAUUCGUUUUAUAAAAUGACAAAAUAGGCCUUAAUUCUGUUCGAACCAAGGUCCAGCAUUAGUAUACCCAUGACAUUUACCACCAGGCUACAUGUCAACGACGAUCCAUAAUCAAAGUGUCUUAUGAUCCAACUGGAAAUUUAGUUUACCAAAUGAUCCAUAAUCAAAGUAAGGUGUGUCUAGCCAUAUUCCCAUGUCAAUUAGAAAAUUCGAGUUUUGUAUAAAUACGUUCAUCUCCUCCUACAAAAUAUCACAAAACCAAAAUCAUAUAUAAAAAUCAAGUAAAUAUGAGUAAUUUAGUUUUCAUAGUUUCUUUUAUUUUAAUGACCAUUGUUUCUCGGAUUUUCAAUGCUAAGCUGGUACGUAGUAUCACUUGUGAAACGGCGAAAGCCACAGUAGAACUUUGUUUGCAGGGGACCAGGAUACCAGGUCAGGAGCCAACGGAAACUUGUUGUAAUGCUAUUUAUAGCAUAAACCGCCAAGCAACGACGAAACAAGCUCGACAAGAUCUUUGCAAGUGUUUAAAGAUGUUAUAAGUUCAUCUCCAUAUUCAAAACUUAUCAACUUGCCUGAACUCUGUCAUAUUUCUAUGGCUGUGCCUUUUACCCCAUCAGUUGAUUGUAAUGGGUACGAUUGAUUUUUAUACUUUUCAAAUUAAUAAUUAUUAAUACUAAUUUUAUGUGAAACCAAAAAAAAAAUUGUUACAUACCGUUUGAAACCUUCUACCAAUAUUUCAAAUUCGUGUUUCCUUACUUUUAAAUAAAUAAAAGUGAAAUGUUUUUUUUUCUUUAGUUAGUUUCUAAUUUAAUUUUUGAAUUUUUAAUAUAUUUUAAGCAUUACAGUCUGAAGCAUAAAAGAAGAAAAAUAUGCAAGGGGCAAGAAGAUUAUUAAACAUUAUUAUUAAUGUAAUACUAUAUUUUCAUAAAUAAUAAGAUACAAUUCUAUCUCUAUCCAUCAUUUGUGAGCAUAUUUUCUUUUAUCAAGAGACAUGAUGCACAAAAAUAUUUUUUUGGUAAAACAAAUUUCAUUAACAAACAAUAGAAGCAGAGAAAACAGAGGACCAAAGCGAAGAAAAGAACGCAGGCAGAGUGGUAACCGAAUAACACCCAGACAGAGACGAUACAAUUUCAAAGAACCGCGAGAAAUCUGAGAAGACAAAGAAUGAACAACCAAAAAGAAGACCACACUUAAAACCCAAAACCACCUGCUACAAAGAAGAAACAGAGACCGGAAGACUCCAUAUUAAAUAAUUAUAUUGAUUACCAUAAUUUUUUCUUUCAUUAUUAUAUAUAUAUAUAUAUAUAUAUAUUUUAUAAACAUUAAAAAUUUGAUAAAGCAUUAUUACUCAUUCUAUAAUUUUCACAAUAGUUAACAUAAAACAUUAAUUGUAAGAUUUUUUGAUUAUUUGACAAGUAUAAUUAAUUAGUAAUAGUCUUACCUUAUAUUUUAGAUCAAAUUAAAAUAAUUAAAAAUUUAAAAUUAUGGACCAAUCAAAUUAUAACAAUUUUCUUAAGAUUUCAUCAAUGAUCAACACCUCAUCGAAAUAAGUGACUUCUCCUUUUCGAAAUGUUAGGUGGUAGUUGGUGAAUAUAGAAACUAAGAAGCCAAAUUCUGAAACGUUUCUAUAAGUUUCAGGAGCUGAUCAUCUCUAUUCUCUAGUGAUCACUAUAGCCCCCACGCAUCACUUUAAGUGAAUCACUUACGUACACCACAACAUAACUUUAAAGUAAUCUCUUCCUCUUUAUCAUUGGCUUAAAGCUUCCAUACAAAUUUGGUGUCCUCCACACAUCAUCUCAAACCAAGUACCCCCCUCUAAGACCCAUCACCAACAUCUCAAGAACUCACCGUCCCUCACUUCUCCAUGUUCUUGUCACCUGCUCUGCUACUACCACCACCACCAAGCCUCAGCCUAACCGUGAGAAGCUUGUGGUUGAGAAAUGUUUUGUGAAUCCUCCUCUCUCCAACGACCCAACUCUCCAGUCUACAUGGACUCACCGCUUAUGGGUUGCAGCUGGUUGGUGGUCUCUUUAGCAAAGUCUAUCACUGGCGCGGUUGGUUCUCAUCUCUGGCUUGAACCAGCUUUAGCCGGGUAUGUAGGGUACGUCUUAACUGAUCUUGGCUCUGGUGUCUACCACUGGGCCAUCGAUAACUAUGGAGAUGAGUCAACGCCACUAGUAGGAGCCCAAAUCGAAGCGUUUCAGGGUCACCACAAGUGGCCUUGGACAAUCACCAAAAGACAAUUCGCCAACAAUCUACACGCUCUGUAACGAGUCAUAACCUUCACGGUGCUUCCGCUAGACCUUGCGUUUAAUGACCCUGUGGUUCAUGGCUUUGUGAGCACAUUUGCCUUCUGCAUAAUGUUUAGCCAGCAGUUCCAUGCUUGGGCUCACGGAACCAAGAGCAAGCUUCCACCUCUCGUGGUGUCGUUGCAAGACAUGGGGGUGCUUGUUUCGAGGAAACAGCACGGGGAACAUCACCGAGCACCGUAUAACAACAAUUACUGCAUUGUGUGAGUGGGGCUUGGAAUAAGGUCUUGGAUGAAAGCAAGGCCUUUGAAGUAUUGGAGAUGGUGUUGUACUUCAAGCUCGGGGUGAGACCAAGGUCAUAGAGCGAGCCGAACUCUGAGUGGACAGAAGAAACCCACAUCAACAUCAGCCAAGCGUAACUAAUAGUUACAAGGUGGAUCUCUGCAGUAUCUGAUCUAUACGGUGUUUGUUUGAAAACACAAUUAUUCAUACAUGUACAAGAAACUUUAAGGAAUAUACUGAUAAGAUUAUUUUCUACGUGAUUUAUAUGCAAUACAGAGUGAGUGUAUUGAGUACAAAACAUGAUUACAAAAGAGAGAUGUAACAGUUUUAAGUAUCAGAUCCAACGAAUGAGUAGACAGAAGAGACACAGGGGAACCAAUACUGACAUUUUCCGUCUUUAAUGCCAUUGUCGAUCAUUGCAAGGCCCUCCUGUAAAUAAAUUAAUAGUAAAAUUACAAAGUUUCAGGACCCACACUGGUUCGUUGGUUGGUUGCAUUGUGUUUACCAUAUUGGAGAAAAUGCAUACCUCUAACAAAGUUUCGAGGGCAUCUAUGACCCGACCUGAAGCCCACGAGAGCCGUCUUUGUACUUGUUCCACAGUCACAAAGCCUUGACCCUGUGGGGAAAGCAACAUGAAUCCUCUAGUUAAUUCAGUGAAAGGAUAAUGCAAAAGAUGAAUGUUAUGAUUAUAACCUGAGCCAGCUCCAAGAUUUGGUUAUGGUCUUUGUUGAGCUCAGUGGGGACAAGUUUUUUCUUUGUUGAGUUCAAAUUUACUUUUUCUGUUGAAAAUCUGAAAAGAAAAAACACAAGUCAGAUAGUACCUUUAGCUUGCUAAUAGCUCGGAGACAAUCAUCUUCGGUGACAGCUUCACGGUCUUUUUUCCUUCUCUGACGAAGAUGGCUGGAUAGCUCUUGCAAGCUGAUCAAACCUCCAUUGAGGGACCUUGUAAGCAUGCAAACUUCAAUAAUCUGAACGCCUGUUUGAUCAAUUUACACUACUGUUCAGAUAGAUACGCCAGUGUUUACGUUCCCUUAUCCAAACAUAGACUUAAGAAGUCAUAGCAAACAAAUAUAAGCCUAUCUUCUAUGGCAUUAGAAGAAAAACAUGCCAGGUAAGGAAAGAGAACAAACAUACCAAGUUCAUAGUAAAAGUCACCAAUUCCCAGGAGCUCAGCCCAGAAGCCCUUGUUAGAAGCUAGUGGAUCCACACCAACUUUAGCACACAUUUCAUGGAACUGAGCUCUAAAGGCUGGAUUUUUACGAAUGUCAUUCUGCAACCAUAGGCAAAAAGAAUGCUUCUUUUUAAGUAAAAUUAACCACACUAAAUCCAACAGAUCAUGUUACUUAUGUAAUAGCAGAAACCAUCAUAGGAACAAAUACAUAAACUUCAACAGAAACAAAAAAAAAAAAUUGGACCUUGUGUUUACGAGCGAACUCUUCAAGCUGGGACUUGAACGUGGCGAGCUGUUCUUUCAUCAUAUCCGUUCGUAACUUUGCCACAUUCUCUCCUAAUAACCGGUACUGAUCCUGAUUGAUUUAUUUCAUGGAGAUCAUAAGAAUUAUACCGAAAAACAAUCAACAAGAGGUAUAGAUUAGAAUAUCAAAUCUGGUUUACAAGUAAAACCCGCGCAGCCGCGGCCUUUUGUAGCCCUCCGAUUCCUGGUCGUCGCCGCAUUUCUCACUGUUUUUUUUUUUUUAUCUUCGCAAUACUCCGAUUGGGAAUAAUAGUUCCGACUUAAGGGAAUUGAAGAAGACGACAUAACUACUGGCUCUGAUAAACUUUUUAAUAAAUUGUUUAAUAUAUUUUUUUAAUUCACAGUUUCUCUUCCUUAUGUUUCUUCAGACAGAUAUAUAUAUAUGAUAUAUCCAACCGCUCACAGUAUCUCGAAACACCUUUAAAAACGACAUAAUGAAAUUAUGAAAUAGAGAGACCUCAUGAUUACGUCUUAUGCUUAUGUAUGAACAACAGUACUAAAGCCAAGCUCUGUUCCGACAAUACUGUAUCUUACAGACAUAGGACAUUUGCUUCAGAAAACUUUUAAUGGAAGAGAACCAAGACAAAGACACAAGUUCAAGUUUAUUUGUCGAAUUGUUGCAGAUCGAUUUCCCAAACUGAAGCGAGCUGCAUCACGAGCUCUUCCGGCGCUGGACCUUCCCAGUCUUCAGGCGGAUCCAUGGUGGAACACGCGUCUUGUAAGUUGAACAAGAUAUCACUCUUCAGUUCCAUUGGAACUCCAAAUGUGUCUGCACCGUCUUGUAGAACCAAUUCCAGCAACUGCAAAUGACAUAACAAGAGAGAGAGAGAGAGACACACACACAUGUUAAGAUCGAAACAUCAUAUGAUUCUUGGAACCUAAUGUCAUGUAAAAGAAGAUAUACCUGUUGAAUCCAAGAUAAGCAGAUGUCGUAGAGAUUGUGAUCCAAGAGAAACUGAGCGAUGAAAUUAAGAGCUUCGUUUGCAAUCUCAUUUGACAUCUGGUCAAGAGAAGGUCCUGUCUUGUCCAUCAGCUUGAUAAUCAAGUGCUGGUCACCGGCGCAAAGGACUUCUGCGUAAGCAGAAUCAAUGUCACCAACACGGAGUGAGUGCAUUGCAUUACUCCAUGAACUCCAUAUCGGGUCACGUUCCUGCCCUUCGCUUUCUUCAUCUCCCAUGGCUUCAGCUUCAGGGACAGCAGCAACUCGGGUUGGACGAGUGACUGCACCAUCCUCGCCUGCUACUCUAAUAGCUUCAAGUGUAGCUUCAUCCUUUGAUGCUUGCCACACACUUCUUGCUGAGGGACCUUCACCAUACCUAAUGGUCCCAGCUGCCUUGUUAUCCCAACCUCUUCUGCCAUUUCCCAUGUGCUCAUUCUGGUAUUGAUCCGACCGGGGUGAUCUUCUUGGCCCACUUUGUCCGUUUCUUGAAGCACCAUGUUGAUGCAUGAACCAGUCAUCCGGCAUGUCAGAACCCCACAUCCUGCCCCUCAUAGCUCCAUCAGGUUGUGAGCCUCUGUCUCCUGGACCUCGGCCAUUAUAUUUUCCAGUGGAGUAGUUUGCAAAGCUAUUAUAUUUGCCAAAUCCAGCUGUCUGAUUACCCCUACGACCUGAUGAUAUUGAAAGAUCUCUUGCCAUGUCUUCAACAAUCCUCUCUAAACCCCUUACCCUGCCCUCUAAGGUCACCAUACUGUCAUGUGAACCACCAAUAAACUCCUGGAGCAUGUUCAUAAGGUUAGUCUGUUGUCUCUCUAGCUGCAAUAACUGCCUCUGGAUCGCCGACCAAUUUCCUCUGUUGCUUGUGAAAGAUCCGUCAGAAUGGUUAUCAGUAUCGAUGAUAGCAGCGUGAUUUCCGGCUGUCUGCUUUCCAUUUACACCACCAGCCUUAUCAUCAGCAGAUGUCCCAGCCUGUGAUAUGUUCCCGUCAGAACUACCUUUUACCAGUUUAUCACUCCCAGACUCUAAGUUGUGGAACUUGGAAUCUGGAAAUCCAUGAUCAUUUGAUUGGAUAUUCUUGAAGCGAUUUGAAGAUCCCAUGGCAUUGAGAUCAUCGGGUCCUAAUUCUUCCUCAUCUUCGUUUUUACAUCUACGAGGAACUACUACUUCCACGGAUUGCCUUCUUUCUAGUCUUUGGAAAAAUUCAGGAUUAAAGUCCUUGUCACUUAACGCAGGUGCUUUCUUCUUCAACAUGACUGCUGCUUUUUCAGGAAGACCUCCUUUUGCUUUAGAAGCAGAAUCCAGUGAGAGUAUUGAACCAUCGGAUCCCUCCUUUUUCAUUAGAUCAGAUAGAUUAGACCUUUUAUCCCCGUUCUUCUCCGAACCAAGCUGCUCACCAGAUGAACUCUUUGACUCAUCUUGAGCACCAUCUACACAUUUUCCAGAAAUCUUUUUCCAUAACUGUAGCGCCUCUGUCACAGUUUCCCUGACAGGUUUAAUCUGUCCAAGAAAAUAUCAUCAUUAAACUGUUUUGAGAAGAUCACCACAUAUUACAUAACCUAACUAUAUGUUUUCCAUGAAUUUCGCACUUCACAAAACAUUCAUCCAUUACAACGCUCACUAGUGAAAGAAAACUUAUAGAUGACUGAAACUUAAGAUAAUGCAGAUCACUGUAAAUAAAUAAAAGACAGGAUCCGGUGAUUAUUCACAAACAAUCAUUGAUCUUAUGAUUUUUUAAACACGUUCAUGGUGUAACUGGAUCUGUUCUUAAUACUAUUUAGAAAAAAGAACGUAGGUACCUUGUCAAAGCGACAGGUCUCAAGCGCCGCAAGAGUGGAAUCUGUUCUGUCCUUUAGCAAACUGGUAGAAUGAGAUGCCAGUGAAGUCAAAGUCUCAGCCGCAGCCUUUCGCGUUACCCAAUCUGUACUUCCAAGGCAAUCAUGAAUACUUUCUAGCAAUGACUCCAAGCUCUGAGGCGCAAUGGCUCCUACCUGAACCAAAGUGAUUGCUCUGUUACUACUCUUUUUUCAGACAAGUUAAACCAUUGAACCUACUAGCAACGAACUAUCAGAAGCAAAGAGACAGAAAGCUUCUUAAACCCUCCACAAAAUUUCAUUAUCCUAGUUAACCGAAAUGAAAACAAUAAACUUCAGCAAAACCGAGAAUAAAAAAUUGUCGGAUAAGAUUUAACCCUUAAGCAGUAAGGUCAGGUGAUAGAAUGGAUAUACAUACAUACAUAAUCUCAAAAAAAUCUAUUUAACAAUUGCAAUAUACAACUCAGCCCAUCCAACAAUAAGAUACUGAUCUAUUGACACUAAGCUUCCUCAAGAAUGGCACUAAGUUCAACAUUUUCACCACCACAUCAAACAUAGAGCCUAUUUUCACAAGGAGGCUAAGUGGUUCCGAGCAAACCUGAGAGAGACUCGAAACAACGGGCAAAAGGGAAGCUUUAGCCAAGAAACUAGAAUUGCUCAAAAGCUUGCAGAUUCUAGGGCAAAGCUUUUGGAAAGAAGCAACGGGAGGAGUAGCAGCUGAUUCCACCAUCCUAGCCAUACACAUCGCCGCACCAGAUUGCACCACUUUAUUCUGCUCCCCCAUUGCCUCAAACAACGGCUUAACGAACAGCCCCACCGCCAACGUAUUGCUCCCUUCCUCUCUCCCCUUGAGAUAAAUCCCAGACAAAGCACCAAUCGUAUCCCUACACUAAUUGUCUACUGACGGACAGUCCUCGUAGGCGAAAAUCACGCGAUGAUUCUGGUGAGAUGCGCCGCGGUGGAAUCGGAAUGCAGGCUGCAGACGUAGGAGAGGAGGUGGAGGCACUCCUUUUUGACGGCGGGUUUGGGAUCGGAGCAGGAGUCGUAGAGGCAGUUGAGGAACAUGGGUAGGGUUUCGGGGGUGAGGGAUUGGAUGGUUUUCUCGAGAUCUUCGACGGCGAUCUGGUACGUGUCUCGAUCGGCGAGUUUGGAGAUUGAGGUGAGGAUCUUCUGCUUCUGCUCCACCAUGGCUUGGAAUGAAGUGAGGGAACUGGAAUUGGAAUUGGAGGAGGAUGACCUAGCUGUUGCGUUCGAUGAUCUUGCUGGUCUCGUUGGCUUCGCGGCGGAAGCGGACGACGAAGGCGUGCUCAUUCUGAGAAUGCUGAUGAGAGAAGAGAUGAAUUAGAGAGGCGAUUUUGGAGAAGGAAGGUGAGAUCUGUCAGUGGAGAGAGUAACAAUGGUUAAGACUGGGAUUAGGAAAACGAGUCGCCCAAUCUUUAAGCUUUGUCAAACUUUUUUGUUUUCAAAUUUUUAAAAUAAAGAAAUUAUUUAUUUCACUGCUGGAAUAUUAAUUUGUUGCGUAAAAAGUGGGCUUCGCACUUCCGGCCCAACAAAUUUAUCUCUGUUUUGCUGGUGCAGUGAGUUAUGAGUUACUUGUUGCAAGAUGACGAUGGUCAAAUCACUGAACCACGCUCCAUCAGUGCCGGGUGAGAGAUUCUUCUCUCUUCCAAUGAUCUUCCUUAACAUUCAUUUCCAAAGAGUGUUAAUGUUCAAGUUAAUAACAGCUUGGACUACCCUGGAGUUGGACCUGAGCAUGGUUUCCUUAAAGACGUGGGACGGGCUGAGUAUUCAGCGUUUCCGAUGGAGAAGCCUUAGAAGGUACUCUACUUACUUGGCACAUCAUUUUUUGUUGUCUCUUUAACAUGUAAUUAGAACUUGCAUUUGAUCUCCGUGUGUAGCGUUCAAGAGAGUGUCUCGAUUGGAGAGGUUAUAUAAUUCCGGCGUUGGGGACAUCACAUGCGUUGCUCCAUCUGGAAAAGCUUUGUCCGACGCUAGCAGAUGGAACCAGAAUGGUCUUAAUCUUCGGCGGGAGAGGUGAUAAGGAUGUUCAGACGGCCAUUAAGUAUCUUGAAGUUUAAAGAGAAGAUUACUUUUAUUUUCAGACAGUGACUACAUUUUAUUUUCGUAGAUUGUCUCGAUUGGAGGGGAAAACCCAAAAUAGGAACAAAGAAUGAAGGAGGAAUGUAUCCUAUAAAAUAAGACUUCUCUAUUGAAAGUUUGAUAUUCUUAUAAGAAACAGCGAACUAUUGUUGGCUCUUCAAUUACCUGUUUUGUUUCCCUGCCAUCUUAAUUUGACCAAAACAAAAAAACUUAACAACUUCAUUACAAUUAGUUUAAUUCCCAAAUAAGCUUAUUUCGAGUUUGUUUGUCUUGUUUGCUCAUAGCAGUUCUUUGUUUCUCUUAUAAGUUUAAACGAAGAGAUUAAAGAAAAAGGCAAUAAGCAAAUGGAACUUUUGUAAAGAAGAGGUAAGAUGAAAUAACAAACUAAAUUUUAAGAAACAAGGUUUCAAAAUCCGACAGAUAGAUAUUGAUGUUGAGAUUCGUAAAAACACUAAUUGCCAAUCAAAAGUACAAAAAAAAAACAGAUAAGCAGAUAGUACUCAAUCUGAUCAAGCAGUGAUCUCCUUCUUGAGUUUAGCAAGCUCUUGCCUGACAACGCCAGCUUUCUGCAAACAAACAAAGACAAAUUAACAAUUCAGUUAAGCACAAGACCCCAACACAGUCAUAAAAUCACAACAAAUUAACAUACAGACUGACCUUGAUUUUGGCCAACAUGAUCUUGAACCUGUCGAAGUCAUUGAGGCUAGCCCUACGCUUCUGAACAAUGAGCUUCCUACCCCAUGAGCUCUUCUCCCACUUGUUCUUCACGUCUGCAAACACUUUAUCGGAUUAGACCAGAACAACUAACAAGUUUCAACAUUAACACACUGAACUCAUCACUAACCAGCCUUUUCCAUGGCCUCGAUCAAAGCCUUCUUCUUAGGCACUCUGUUGAUCUCAAUCACGAUAUCGGUAAGAGACAGCCUCUUGAAGUUCAUCUGGAUUCUCUCCAUAUCAGGAGCAUCUACCAAAGCCUAAAUAGGCCAAGAACAAAACAAAGACCCAAUAAGAAGAGUCUUUAAGGGUAAAGGUAUAGUCUGUAUCAUCAAAUCAAUUAGCUAUAAUAAUCACACAUCGAUCAAAACCAAUUCGCAACAAGGCAAUGUUCAUAAAAUUUUCCAACCAAUGAAAGAUCUACGGACUAAAUUCUCAGACAGCUCAACUUCACAACAAGAGAUAGAUAAGGGAUAACACAAACAAACUUACCCUGUUCUGGUCAACGACGUCGACGAUGACGACAAGCUUUCCAUGAUCUUUUCCGUAGUUGACAAGUGCAACUCUCCCAAUCUCCACGUACCUCUUGAACACCUAAACAAUCACAAACAAACAUGACAAUCUCAGUGACAACCACUUCACUCAGGAGCCACCUAAACCCUUGUCCUCCAUAAAAAUCGAGAACAAAGAAACUGGAAAUGUAAACCUCACCAUUUUCGCGGCGGUGGAUUUGAAGGUAGAUGCAAAGUGAAGGAGCAACGGCAGCUGAAGGCGUCUUACCACUCGCUGAAGAGACUAUUUAAACCUAAAGUUUUUUUUUAGGGUUUUCCGUUUUGGGCCGUUUCUUUUUAAAUAAAAACUCAAUAGGCCCACCCAUAUAAUGGUUCAACUUCAAUAACUAAAAGCCUAAUUAUUAAACGGCGUCGUUUAUCGUGGCUUGCUCUUUGCCCUUCUCUAUCAACGUUUAGUUUGCAUUUCGUUAAUAAUCAUUCCACCGAUCAUCUGCGACAGAAUGUUACACAAGUCAACUAUUUUUAAUUACAUGGAAUAUUAAGGAUUCUGUUAGAGAAAUAAAUAAAAGAAGGGGGUGACAGCAAAAAUCGAGACUCCGACUAACUGUCAUGACUAAUGAGACCAGGUCAUCGUUAUCAGAAAAGAAGAAGAUACUUAUUAUAAGCGACGACCAAUCAAACAAACAAACAAAAAAAGAGAAAACUAAAGAAACACAAUAACAAAGUUUCUGUCUUUUCGACUCCAAUUCACUGGGUCGCCCCCCCCCUUCAAUUCUCGAUCUUUUUUUUUCUUCAAAAAAAAAAUCGAGAAAUUUUAAACAAAUUUCAUCGUUGUCGAUCGAGUUUUGGGGAUUCCGAUCCAGUGUUAUUGGUUUCUUUUUUUUUUCUUUUUUUUCUCCGGGUAAAUAUUUGCGUGUAUAUUUGGGUGGGGGGAGAUGUGGGGAGCUGCAGCUGAGCCGGCUGAUUCUUAUUACCAAGUUCGUCCUGAGUGCACAGAUGUGGCCAAAACUAGAUUCAAGAUCAAGGUUACAUUCUUCCUUUCUGUUUUUUUUUUUUUUUUGUGUUGGCGAUUAAGAAAGCGUGAUUGCAUUAUCCAGAUUCAUUGCUUAUUGAUCUUGUCUGGAAUGCAAUUGUUUUCUUUAUUGAAUUAUGUAGAUCAUUGUGUGCUUGGGUACAUGAUCUCUCCUAAUGAGGACCCAUUGAUCUUAUGAGCUGUUUAAGCUCUCAGAUCUAUUCUUUCUUGAUCACAUUUUAUAUUUUUUGCUUGGGUACAUGAUCUCUCCUAAUGAGGACCCACUGAUUUGUGUGUUUAGAGAAAGACAGGGACUUGAUUGUCUAUUUUUUUUGUGAAAUAUAAUUAUCAAAAGCUUUGAGAGGAGUUUGGCACACAACAGUAAUUGACAAGAUACAUAUAAGACAAUGUCUUUCUCAUCGGUUAUGCAUUUGAUGUUUGGCACUAAAGUUGCUUGCAUAAGUUUGGUAGUUGCAUCAUGUUAAUCCACUCAAGUUUCUGACCGGUCAUUUUGUGAUGGCUAUGUGCAGCCAGGGAAAACUCUAAGUGUAAGAAAAUGGCAGGCUGCAUUUCUCCAAGACGGGACUCUCGAUAUUGGCAAGACUCUAAGACGAAUCCGAAGAGGGGUAUGUCAUUUUCCAAAACUCUUUUUUUUUUGCCAAGAUUUGUUUUAUGGCUUGCUUUAAUCUCUUCUACAAUUGAUCUUUAGGGAAUCCAUCCAUCAAUUAGAGGCGAAGUAUGGGAGUUCCUACUUGGCUGUUAUGACCCAUCAACUACUUUCGACGAAAGAGAGCAAAUCCGACAACGCAGAAGGUAUAUAUUAUUUUGUCCUUUUCUCCUUUAUAUGUGUAUCAUAUAUGCUUCCACGUUGCUUUAUUUAUGUGUUAAUGUCUCCUUCAGAAAGCAGUAUGCUUCUUGGAAAGAAGAGUGUAAGAAAAUGUUUCCUGUGAUUGGAAGUGGAAGUUUCAUUACCGCGCCUGUAGUUACUGAAAAUGGUCAACCCAACCUUGAUCCUCUUGUUGUUCAAGAAAUAAACUUAGGUAAUAAAAAAAAAGAAUAUCAUCUUCUUCCCUUUUUUUCCCAUUAGCUUAAGUUUUUUUUUCUAAUUCCAUGUGCUUCUUCUCUCUCUCUCAGGUACAAACUCAAAUGGUUCAGUUUUCUUUAAAAAGCUCACAAGUCGUGGACCUCUUGAUAAGAAAGUUAUCCAAUGGCUGCUAUCACUUCACCAGAUCGGUUAGUGUGACUUUAUCAUCAUCAUGGCUUCCUCUUAUCUCCAAAAGUUCGCUCAGUUGUUUAAUUUUUUUUUAUUUUUGUCAGGUCUUGAUGUGAAGCGUACAGACAGGUCUUUGGAGUUUUAUGAGAAAAAGGAGAAUCUGUCCAAGCUUUGGGAUAUUCUCUCUGUUUAUGCCUGGAUAGACCAAGAUGUCGGUUACUGUCAAGGUAAAACCAAUGGUUUUAUAUAUCAUUGUGUCCUCUGUUUAUUCUGAUUCUAGUUGCUAUGAUUUCAGGAAUGAGUGAUCUUUGUUCUCCAAUGAUUGUUCUUCUUGAAGACGAAGCUGAUUCAUUCUUUUGUUUUGAGAGAUUAAUGCGUCGAUUGGUACUAGUUAACCCUUAACCAUACUUUCAGUGUGUCUUUUUGUAUUUGGUUUGGUACUAAACGUUUGUGUUUUUGUUGUGUUUUUCGAAAUGAAAAGCGAGGAAACUUCCGGAGCACAGGGAGAUCUGUUGGAGUUGAAGCUCAACUUACUCAUUUGUCUUCAAUUACUCAGAUUAUUGACCCCAAGCUUCACCAACAUCUAGGUAUAACUACUACUACUACAGCUUUUUUGCCUCUCUAUAUGUAACAUACUCAUCUGUUAACCAAGCUCUGGUUCUUGAAAUGAAGAUAAACUAGGGGGAGGUGACUAUCUCUUUGCCAUUCGGAUGCUAAUGGUUCAGUUCAGAAGAGAAUUCUCGUUUUGUGACUCUUUAUACCUUUGGGAGGUAAUGAUUAUUUGUCUCUCACUCUCUCUUACAUGUAUUAGUCUUUCUUCUUAAUUCUCAGUGACAAACUCUGUUCUCUUAUAGAUGAUGUGGGCUCUCGAGUACGAUCCUGAUCUCUUUCACGUGUACGAGGCGCAUCAAUGCGGGAGUGAGAAAGUCGAAGUGUCCAACGGUAAACCAAAGUCGAUGAGCCAAUGCGGAAAGUAUGAGAGGCAAAACAUGAGGAAUGGAGGCAAAAGCGCCGAAGGUCCUUUGCCUAUAUCGGUUUUUCUAGUGGCCAGUGUCUUGAAAGACAAGAGUUCUAAGCUCAUGACUGAAGCUCGUGGACUUGAUGACGUUGUUAAGGUUAAAAACAUAGAUACGUCUUUCUUUUAACUUCUGUUUUACUCUGGUGAUCACAUUCCUCAUACCAUUUACUUAUGAUGAUGCUCUUAGAUACUUAACGACAUGAGUGGAAACCUGGAUGCCAAGAAAACAUGUUCUGGAGCUAUAAAGAUUCACAAGAAAUAUCUGCGAAAGGUUAUCUCUAAGUUUCUUUGAUCUUCUCUCUGAGCUGUCUUUGUGUCUCUCUUGCUGAAAUUCUCAUCUUAUGUUGUGUUCUUCUCUUAUUACAGGCUAAGAAGUAGCACUGCCGAACAUUCAUGAUUCUCCUGCUUAAACCCAUGGAAUCAUGAUAAAACCUUUUUCAUUAUUCCUUGGGUAGAAAGCAAUCUGGAAAAUCUUGGAGGCUUGAAUUAAUACACCCAGCAUAUACACACAAAUACACAAGAAAAAAACAUAUUUGUAAGCUGUUCAUAAAAGUUGAUGUUGCAUUUAUAUAUGAACAACAAGAUGGUUUCUUUUUGUAUUUACCAAAGGGGGAAAUGAAGAUGGAAAAAUACUUUUCUUAAGUUCAUAAUGCUCAUUUUCUGUUAUAGAAAUUUUAAAUAUUUUUUAUGAAGAAAAAAUGUAUGCAAAUGAGUUGGCAGGAUAGGAUCUUCUAAACCAAAGUACAACUUGUAGUAAUGGGCAAAAGUGUAUUAACAAACCCAUUAAUGGAUACAUGUUUAUUUAUUCGAUCUCAAAUCUUAGAAUAAAGAGAUAUAUAAACAUUCUCUUCAAGUUACUUAACCAUGGCAAAACACAUAAUCACCCUAUGCAUCUGCAGCCACUGGACUUAUGUUUUUGUUUGAUGGACUGUUGUGUAUUUUGAUGUGCCAGAGUCGUUACCAAUCAAUUUUUUAGACAGAUACACAAUUUGUAGUAACGGCAAGAGUGUAUUCAGUGCGAUUCACUCUGCAUCAGUUCCUUUGACUAAUGGAUACAAGUUUCUUGGACCAAACAAAAUUUUUAAAUAGAGGUACAUAACAAUUUUCUUCAAGUCCCUUCACCAUGGCUAAACAAAAAGCAACUUACAUAAAUAACUAAUGCAAACACCUCUUAAAACGAACACAUGAACACAAGAAAUGUUGUGAUCACGAGGAGAAUCGAGGGCAAGAAUCCAAUACCAGAUAACCUCUUCCCGGAACUCUUUUUAGGAAAGAACUUAGGAAGCUCACACUCUUCUCCAUUGAAGAAAACUCUCUUAGGAAACCCAUCUCCUCUUGGGAUAUUCAAACUCCCCAAAUGCUUUUUAAACGAUAUAACCGACUGCAUUUUCCCUGGCACCUUGGGGUCUCUACCAGGGUGCGUCCCGUUCGUGAGACCGAUCAAGAAGUUCAUACCACGAACUCCUUGGAAGAAAAUGGUCUGGUUCUUAGGUGGAACUCUUGACCCAUUGAAAGAGUAAACAUUCUCAUAGCCUAAACCAGCUUUACCCAAAUCCACAGCAGCAAACCAGUCCUCCACUGCAUUAGCUCCCCAGUUAAAAACCGUCACCCUCGCCGACCAUCCAUCAGCGUAGUCAGAGUUAACGUGCCAGUUUAAGCUGAUUCCGCAGUUGUCAGGACAAGGAAGCUUCUUUGGGAACGCCAGGUGUUUCCUCUUUGCCCAUACUUUUGCCUUGAGCGUCCGGUUUUCAAACGGUACUAAGAGCGAGUCUGGAGGGAGGAGAAGCUGUAUGGCGUUGGCGUUGCAUGUGUCGGUGUCGAUGUCUCCGCAACCGCAAGCACAUGUGUUGCAAGGGAUGGCUGAGUCGUUGUAGAAGGCUGAGUAAGAGACGCAGCAACGAGCGGCUUUUGGUUUAGGUUUGGUUAUGUUGCAGAUGACUUGCCAGGUGGCAAAAGCGUAGGUGGUAGCUUGGAGACCGCUCGGGUCAGGGAACCCGGUUGGAUCCACCCUUACUGGUGGUCCACACUUGUACUGUGGAUUGACUAUACCGUCGAUUUUCCAAUGCUGAGGAGGAAAGAAAGCUGUUCUGUUCUGAUCAGGUGGCACCUUGUAUACCUAAACCAAACACAUUCAAACCCUAGAUGAAAAACUCCUAACUAGUCUGAGCACAUUUACUUGGAACCAAAGAACCUAACCGUACUAAACAGAAAAAAACAGAACACAGAACCAAAUUUCAUCUGAACAGCUCUUUUAUCUCUAUUAUAAUAAAACUAAACCGAACCGGAACCAAACCAAAAUCUAAUUGGGUAUCCGAAUUUUAAAAAAUAUAGUUUAUAUAUUUAAAAUAUUAAUUGUAUUUAGUGUUUAAAUAAUCAAAUAUCAUAAAAAUACUAUUUAUAAAACUGAAUUACCCAAAAUAUAGAAUUGUCAAAUAUAUUUUAUUCGAUCUUUUAAAAAAUAUCCGAAAUUCGAUAUUUUUUUCAAAAAUUUCGAAUGACUUGAAAAUUGACCCGACAAAAAAAAAAUCGAAACCGAAUUGGACCCAAAUUUUCUUUGACAUUCACCAGUACUCUUGACCUUGUUACCCGAACCGAAUCUAAAACUGAAUUAACCGAACCAAAUUUCAAUAAUCCGAAUGAACCCUAUAUUACUAUUUCUAGAACCGAAAACUAGAAAACCAGAAAAAACAACAGAAACCGAACUGGACAUGCCUACUCCUAACUAUUUAUUCACCAAACACUAUACUCGUUUUGUCUUUGGGGCUAACCUGUAACUGAAAGAUGGCUCUGGACUUAGAGGCAUCCAUGAGAGCUGGCAAGAGAGUUCCAUUCUUGCAGCAGAAAGGCAACAUCCCGAGGAGUUUAUCUUCUUUACGUUCAGCUGGUAAGUCUUUGAUAAUAGGCUUCUUCUGACAAGUAGCUACCUGAGAGAAAUCAAGAUCCCCAUAAAACUGUCCUGCCUUGCUGUGCAAGCAUUCUGACGGGUUCUUCUCAGCUGAGUAAGCUCCACGCAAGGAGUGGAUGAACUCUCCUCGCAUCCACUCCCAUGUUAGAUUCCAGUGGUCUAACCGUCCCAAUGGACUAUCAUUGUCUAUAGUAACCUGUUCAAAACAUAUAAACCCAAUACUUUAUGUAUAUAUGAAUCUCUCAAGGUUAUAUUGGUAGAACUGAUGUAAUAAAUUGCCUGCGCCAUGUAGUUGCUUGUGUAGGCUUGAAGAACAUCAUAUAUUAUAUUCAAGUCUCCAUGUCGUCUAGGCGUGAACUUGGUUUUGGCUUUUUUCUUAGCUUUAAACUUAGGGUUCCUCUUACAACAAACUUGCAUUGUACCACCUGACUCAAAAACCAGACCGGAAAAGUAAGAAAACAGUCACAAAAGUAGUUUCUUGCAUAACAAGUAACUUAACAAUUUUAUGAGUUAAGGUUUUAUUUACCUUUUGAAGUAGCAGCAGGGCAUUGCCAUCCAUCAUUAACAAGCUUGAUCGAUUUCGGAAGUGGCGUAGCCGUACCUCUACCACCGAAAAGCGUUCCUGUUAUCUCGAUAUUCGUUGAGAUCUUAGUGUAGUCACCAGCUGUUUCUAUCGAGGUUUUUAGAUCUGUAUUAGGAGAACCAAUGAACGUUGUCCCAUUACUUGCAUCGUAAGGAAAGUCACCAUCCGAUGAGACAGCUCCCGUAGCAGAAACAAUUAUCUCUCUGUGACGAUACCCUACGAACAUUUCCCAACCUUUGACCUCUUCUAUCCCCGUGUUCACGAUCAUAGCCGUUGCCUUGAACGACCAGGCUUGAGCCGUGGCGUUUUUGGUGCGUGGAUAUAGCUUUUCGCGGCCGCCGGAGUUAUAUGACAUGUAAACUCCAUUGCAACGGGCAAGACCUGGCGGAGGAGUGUCUGUUUUCGUGGCAUCUUCGCCGUAGUCUUGAGCACGAGAUAAUGUCGGAAACAGAAGAAUGAUUAGAGGUAAUACAAGGAGAAGUAGGUUUGAAUGAAGGUAACGUAUCUUCAUCUCUACCGUGUUACCAAGUUUCUUAGGACGCAAGAAAGAGAAAGGAGAGAUGAUCAAGAAGCUUAAGCGAAUUAGAGAGGCAGAGCAUAACUGUUUCUCUUCCUCUAGUUUUUUUCCCUGCUUCUCCGGAGAAAACAGAGAUAAAACAAAAGGAGAAUACUAAUAUCACAAAAAAAAAAUGUCAAUUCUGAUUGAACCGGAUCUGACCAAAGUGUAUCAAAACCUCAACUUAAACCGAAACAGUUAGAAAGCAAAAUACAUUUGAAGUUUAAAAAUCUUUCAAUCCAAAACCACCAAUGCUUUGAUUUCAUUUAUGUUUUUGUUUACAAUGUCAAAUGGAAUGGAUCAAACGGGGAUUCUCUUACCGGUUAAGCUUAGUUCUCACUUAACCAUUUUGUUUUCCGUAAUCUUAUUAAAAAGAUAAGCAACCAUGAUCUCAGACAAGAACUUUUCAUGUGAGUACAAAAACUGGUAACACAUUAAUUGAACAAAGUGAGACAUCAGUAUCUUUCUCUAUACAUGUAACUGAUCAGCAUGGACGAGCAGGCAGGAGAGAAUGUAUAUUUUGUUUGCAUGUGGCUGGACGAAAUUGGUUCUGGACAACAUUCUCUAAGAUGAAACAUACUUUUGACUUAACCGUGGCUGCGAAAAUUUGAUCACAGCUACAUAAGUCAAAAACAUUUUCCAUCUUGAAAAUGUUGUCCUGAGCAAAACUCGUUGUUUAAGGCAAGCAAAUCUCAUGAGAGAUCGCUUAAAACAUGAUUCGAAGAGUAACCUUUUUUUAAGAUGGAAGAGACAGGAGAGAGCUUUAAAAUCUAUGUUCAUAAAGUGAAUAGUAUAACAAGGCUGAGUUUAUGCACUGCCACUGAUGGAUUCUCGUCCACGUUUCUGUAAAGUUUACACGCAUCAAUUCAACAGCUUAAGACUUUGAAGAAUCGUUGAAGCACACAUCACUGGCAGGCAUGGAUGAUGCAUGAAGCAUUAGAGCAAGAUGGUGGUGUUGAAGUAUAUAAAAAGAGUCGAAAGAUGUUUCAGAGUACGUUCACUCAUUUAAGAGACAUUGAAGUUUGGUCAUUAUCAAAUUGAAUCUCUCCUCCCACCUACCAUAACCAUUAUUAUGGAUACAUAAUAAAUACACCCAUUAUCUUACCAACCACUAUCUCGUAUGUAUUUUUCUACUUGUUACAACUUUAAACCCAUGGAAUAUGUAAAAGAUACUGUAUAAUAGAUUUUCAUGAACUGCAUAUAGAUGUAAGGAUCUUAUACUAGUGAAAUCAGAACAAGACCUAUGUAUGACCAAACCACUAAGGGCUUUUUCUUACUCUUGUUUUUCUGACAAAAGGAUUUUACACGAGAAUCUGUGAAUGGGUGAACUAAGAAACUGAGAUCUCUUCCAUGCCGCUUAUUUCUCCAGUUAGCUGAUCUUGUACUUUGGGCUCCAAGUCGAUGAACUGGUUCGACUUGCUCGCUAGAUGUGAGAUGCUUACUCUUCCUUGACGCUUGAUGUAAUCGGCAACAGCAUUCAUCUCUUCCAUUGAUAUGUAAAUGUAUUUUCCUCUAUCGUCCAUAACACCAGAGAGCCGUCCUGAAUAAAAGUGAGGAGGCUUUUUGAUACGAGUGAGGCUAUACGACCACCUAUCUUAUAUCAGUACAGUCGCAGGGCCUAUAAGGGAAAACAGGGGGAGACAGUUAAGGGCCCAAGUGAGGGCGUGAUGAAGUAAAAGAUCUAGAAGAUGGGGGAAUAAUGGAUAACAGCAGAGCGAUGCAGUUGUUGGUCACGAAUAGAGCAUGAGUACGUGAUCAGCCAGUAGUAUAAGAAUAAGGAGAAGACGUAGGUAAAAGGCAUCAGUUGUAUAAUCAGGGUUUUCAUGGAAGAGAGGAGAUACUCCUAAGAAAAACUCGAUUGUACUUAUCUCUUUUCAUCAAUAAAAACGUCAUUUCUCUUAUUUGGGUUUUUUUUUACAAGUUCGAUACAUCAAAAGUGUAUCAAAUUGGUAUCAGAGCCCUCGAAUCUGUGAAAAUGCCACCGAAGAAAUCUGACAUGGAUCUUACCUUGGAGCAGAUGCAGCAGCAGCUGAGCCGUCUUCCGCUCUUGGAGCAAGGGAAGAGUCNNNNNNNNNNNNNNNNNNNNNNNNNNNNNNNNNNNNNNNNNNNNNNNNNNNNNNNNNNNNNNNNNNNNNNNNNNNNNNNNNNNNNNNNNNNNNNNNNNNNNNNNNNNCCGAUCUUGGAGCAAGGGAUGAGUCGUAUGGAGACGAUGGAACAGUCGCUGAACGUGAUGCAGCAACAGCUUGCGGUCAUGUUCAGUCGAUGGGAGAUCGACCAGCAGGAGAAGGAAGAGGCGCAGAAGAAGCUUCGUGAGGCGGAGAAAGGAAAAGCGCAUCAGACCGAUGACUCUUUUCCGGAACCGGCAAGCGGGAGCAGACCCACUUUCGACGGUGACCGUAGGAGCCAAAUGAUGAUGCCAACUCCUAUGGGUCCUCGAUCGGAGGGGUUUUUUCACCAGAGCCAAGGCUCGAGCCAGUGGGAGGGGACACAAGCAUGGCGACAUGCGGCUCUCGCUAGGCGUCUGGAUCUACCUUCGUUUUCGGAAGAGGAGGCUGAGAGUUGGGUGUUGCGUGUGGAGGAAUUUUUCGAGCUGGGAGACAUGACGGAGGACGAGAAGUUUCGCGCGGUGCGGAUGUGUUUCACCGGCGACGCUUUACUGUGGUUCCGGUGGGAGCGCAAUCGAAACCCAUUCCGGAACUGGGCUCAGUUGAAACAUCGGGUGCUCGAGCAGUAUUCCAUGGUGCUCGAUGUUUCUUCCGGGGAGCGGCUGUAGACCCUCCGUCAAGAGGGAACGAUUAAGGAAUACAACCGGGAUUUUAUUGGUCUAGCUUCAAACGCGCAGGAACUUUCAGAUCCGGUUCUGGAGUUGGCGUAUUCGAUCGGGUUGAAGAUGAAGAUCCGGGCUGGUAUGAAAAUGUUUGAUCCCCGGAACCUUCAACAAAUGAUGAGAACGGCGAUUAAAGUGGAGGAAUGGUCCGGUGAUUCGGAGACGGUGGGCUCGAAAUCGGCAAAACCCACUUUUGGGGCCCAACCUACUAAGCCCAAUACCACCUCUACUUCACCGACUAAGCCCAAGCCCAACACUUCGACUCCUGCGUCUACAACGAUUCCAAAAGGGGCUGGAGCUAGGGUUACAACGGCUCAUGGUCGAUUGAAACCUCCGUUUCGCCGUUUGACACCGGCAGAGGUGGAAAAGUGGAAGGCUGAGGGCCUGUGCUACAAGUGUGAUGAGAAGUUUCACCCUAAUCACCCUUGUCAGCAAGCCCAGCUAACGGUACUCGUUCUUCACGCAAAUGGGGUGGAAGAGGAAUUGUCGGAGGAGCCUCGAGAGAUUGCGGUGGAGGCAGAUGAGGUGGAGGCGAUGGUUGUCGAGAUCUCCAUCAACUCGGUGGUGGGUUUCACAUCUCCUCGCACAAUGAAGUUGCGGGCCACUUUGUUCGGAGAGGAUGUCAUCGUCUUGAUCGAUAGCGGCGCGUCACAUAACUUCGUCUCGGAGAAGCUGAUUCAGAAAUUGGGAUUACGACCAAGCGCAACAGCGGCCUACGGGGUGUUGGUGGCUGGUGGCGUGAAAGUGACGGGCAAGGGAGUUCUUAAUGACGUCGAACUGAAGUUACCAUCUUGUACGAUCACCACCAGCUUCUUACCUUUAGAGUUGGGAGUAGCUGACGUGAUUCUCGGGGUACAGUGGUUGGACACCUUGGGCGAAAUGCGCGUGAAUUGGAGGUCGCAGUGUAUGAAGAUUUGGCUCAAUAAUGAGUGGGUGAUGAUAAGGGAAGAUUUGAGCUUACAUUCGGAAGCAGUGUCGUUCAAAUCUCUUUGGAAAGCAAUGGGGAAGGAUGAUGAAGCUCUCAUUGUUGAGUAUGGAGGCAUUCAGAAGAAUGAAGUAGGUCUUGCGGUGGCAGCAGACGGCGACUGGGCCGAGUUGUUAGGCCAAUAUGCGGGGGCGUUUGCCGAGCCAACGGAGAUACCUCCUUCUAGAGGCAAAGAGCAUAGCAUCACACUUGAGGAAGGGGCUAGACCGGUGAGUGUUAGACCAUUCCGCUAUCCUCAGGUCCAAAAAGCAGAGAUCGAACGGCAGAUAGCUUCGAUGCUGGCAGAUAAUCCAAGAGAGUGGAAGCCCAUUUUCGAGUCCGGUUCUCUUGGUCAAGAAGAAGGACGGUAGCUGGAGAUUCUGUGUCGACUGCCGAGCCUUGAACCGAGUAACCGUUGCUGACAAAUACCCCAUUCCGAUGAUCGACCAACUGUUAGACGAGUUACAUGGAGCGAGAGUGUUCUCCAAGUUGGAUCUGCGUUCGGGGUAUCAUCAAAUAUUGGUGCGACAAGAGGAUGUGCCCAAGACGGCUUUUCGCACUCAUGAUGGGCAUUAUGAGUGGACUCUCCAAUGCGCCGGCGACAUUUCAGUCCUUAAUGAACAAGGUCUUUCGUCCUCAUUUGCGCCAGUUUGUUCUCAUCUUCUUUGACGACAUUCUCGUAUACAGCAAAGACGAGAUCACACAUCGCGAGCACUUGAAGGCGGUGUUACAAAUACUGGAGGAGAAGAAGUUGUACGCAAAUCUUAAAAAGUGUCAGUUUGGGAGCUCUCAGGUGGAAUACCUUGGCCACAUCAUAUCGGGCCAAGGCGUGGCGGUUGAUAAUGAGAAGAUUAAAGCCAUGUUGGAAUGGCCAGAGCCCAAGAAUAUUAAGGCAUUACGAGGAUUCUUGGGGCUUACUGGCUAUUAUAGGAAGUUUGUGCCACUAUGGAAGCAUUGCGCGACCGCUUACCUGUCUGUUGAGGAAGGAUCAGUUUGGUUGGGGAACUGAGGCAAGAGGGGCGUUCCAAGCUCUACAGAAGGCAAUGACUACGGUUCCGGUUCUAGCCAUGCCCAACUUCGACAUUCCUUUUGUCGUGGAGACAGACGCAUCCGGUUACGGGUUGGGGGCGAUGCUUAUGCAGAAUCAUCAACCGAUAGCCUUCUAUAGCCAAGCUCUCACUGAACGGCAGCAGCAUAAGUCAAUCUACGAAAGGGAGCUGAUGGCAAUUGUGUUUGCGGUUCAGAAGUGGCGACACUACUUAAUUGGGAGGAAGUUUACGGUGCGUACUGAUCAGAAGAGCCUGCGGUUUUUGUUGGAGCAACGCGAGGUGAACAUGGAGUAUCAGAAGUGGUUGACUAAACUGCUUGGGUUUGAUUUUGAGAUAGUCUAUAAACCCGGCCUGGAAAGUAAAGCGGGAGAUGCUCUAUCACGCAUCGUGGAGGUUAAGGAGUUGUAAGCGGUUUCAGUGACUACAGUUCUUCAGCUGGAGGAGAUUGCUAGUGCGGUUGAUAAGGACCCUGAACUGCAGAAGUUGAUUUCUGAGUUGAAAGUCAAUCCUAGUACACAUCCAGACUUCAUGAUGGUACAGGGCCGACUCCUACGUCAGGGCAAGAUGGUUGUUCCCCGAGCUUCUCCUCUGAUUGGAGUGAUUAUGUCAGAGUAUCAUAGCGGCAAGAUUGGGGGCCAUGGAGGCAUUUUAAAGACUCAACGGCGCAUAUCAGAGUUGUUUUUCUGGUUUGGGAUGCUCACUCAUAUUCGUCGUUACGUAGCCGCGUGUCAGGUGUGCCAGAGACAGAAGUACUCUACCUUGGCUCCAGGGGGAUUGCUCCAACCUCUACCUAUUCCGGAGCAGGUUUGGGAGGAUAUUUCGAUGGAUUUUGUGGAGGGUCUUCCUCGUUCUCGCGGUUGGAACACAGUGAUGGUAGUGGUUGAUCGUUUGACGAAGUAUAGCCACUUUGUGGGGCUCAGUCACCCGUUUACAGCGACGGAUGUGGCACUGAUUUUCAUACAGGAGAUAGUAAAGCUGCACGGGUUCCCUCGAACGAUCGUCUCCGACCGAGAUAAGGUGUUCACAAGUAUGUUUUGGAAACAGCUUUUCAGGUUGUCGGGAACACGCCUCUGUUUCAGCACCGCGUAUCACCCUCAAUCUGAUGGUCAAACCGAGGUGACUAACCAAGGGAUGGAGACCUAUCUGCGUUGCUUUGCCAGUGAGAAACCGAAGACUUGGUCUACCUAUUUGGCUUGGGUGGAGUUGAGUUACAACUCUGCGUACCAUUCCUCACUCAAAAUGACUCCGUUUCGAGCAUUGUACGGGCGAGAUCCGCCUACUUGGAUCAAGUAUGAAACAGGUUCCACAACAAAUGCGGAAUUGGAGGGUCAGUUAGUGGAGAGAGAUGCAGCCUUACAGCUACUGAAGGAACAUCUUCAUCGUGCUCAACAAAUGAUGAAGCUGCGGGCUGACACACAUCGCAGGGAGGUCGAGUUCGAAGUGGGAGAUAAGGUCUUUGUGAAGUUGAGGCUAUACAGACAGAGAACGUUGGCUAGAAGACUGAAUGAGAAGCUAGCUGCACGUUUCAAUGGGCCAUUUGAGACCGAGAGCCGAAUGGGGAAGGUAGCUUACAAGCUUAAGUUACCAAAUGACGCGCAGAUCCAUCCCACGUUUCACGUUUCACAGUUGAAGAAGACGAUAGGGGAGGUUACUGAAGUAUUGCCACUACCCACACAACUCAAUAGUGAGGGAGAGUUGGUUGUGGAACCGGAGGGGUUUGUGUCAACAAGGGUCAAUGGAGGAACAUGACAAGACGAGAUUUUGGUGAAAUGGAAGGGUUUACCAAUUCAUGAGUGCAUUUGGGAGUGGGUGUCUGCAAUAAAGAAACGCUUUCCGAGCUUUGACCUCGAGGACAAGGUCAAUUUCAUUGGGGAUGGUAUUAAUACGAGUGAGGCUAUACGACCACCUAUCUUAUAUCAGUACAGUCGCAGGGCCCAUAAGGGAAAACAUGGGGAGACAGUUAAGGGCCCAAGUGAGGGCGUGAUGAAAUAAAAGAUCUAGUAGAUGGGGGAAUAAUGGAUAAUGGCAGAGCGAUGAGUCAUAGACAAGGCACGUGCAGUUGUUGGUCACGAAUAGAGCAUGAGUACGUGAUCAGCCAGUAGUAUAAGAAUAAGGAGAAGACGUAGGUAUCACUUUUCAGAUCUUAAAAGUCCCAUUACGGUUUCGCAUGAGUAGCUACCGUACGAAUCCUAGUUCAAUGGUUGGAUAGAGAGAAAAUUUACCAAUGCUCUCCAAAGAGGCGAUCCUAUUGAUGCAUUCCUACACCAACAAACAAUUGAAUCAGAUUCAGACUUAGAACAAUGACAAAAUGUAUUCAUAUUUGCUUCAUAGAAGAUGUAGCCAGCAGAAACCUGAGUUCGUAGAUUAAAUUCUGCAGCGAGAUCUUCAAGUGGAACACAUUUCUGUUUCUGCAAUCACAUAACAAAUCAAAAGGAAAAGCUACUUUUCCUGCACAUUGAUAAGGGAUGAGACAACACUUGUAUAUAUACAUCAUCAUUAAGUGUGUUUCUGUUGGCAGAAUAACGAUUAUAAUGGGAGGUGGGAAAGUGUUUGAUUAUUCAAGAUAUACCUUUAUGUAUUCAACAAAUUCUGAAAGCAAAUCUUGGUUUCCACCCUGUACUUCCUCUAUAGUACCUUCAGCGUCAACUGAGAACUCCCCUUUCCAUUUGUCAAACUCUAACGCAGCAGCCUCUUCUUCCUUGGCUUGUCGUGCUUUUUCUUCUUCUUCCUACAUAACAGCCAAGUUCAGUAUUUACUAGAGCAGGACGCCUAAACAGAAGAGAAUUGGAGAUGAAAUAAUUGACCCACCAGCUUCCGCUCCUCUGCCUCGCGCUCCUCAUCUUUCUUCCUCCGCAUCUCUGCAUACCAAUCUUGUUUUGUACUCCUUGACUCACGUGCAGCUUCUUCAGCCUUUACCAGAACAUAUGAAGAGAAUUUUGAUCAGGAAAGACUUGCCACGUACUAUUCUGAUCCAAGGGUAAAUGCUCUAUCCUUGAGCAACAAUCUAAGACUUUCACAGUUGGGACUGUAACUGGUGAAACGAUAUUCCUAUAAUUUCCUAUACUUAGUACUUGUAGAACAUUAGAAGAAUUCAUGGCGACAGAGACUGUUUAGGCACCUGUCUUUGUUCUUCUCGUUCUUGACGCUUCUUCUCCUUCUUCUUAGAUGCUCUGGCUUGAUUUCCAAUGGCUUCACCUUCUUCUUCAUCUUCACUCCCACUGAUGUUUUCUGUUUUCAAAUGUACCCAAAUAAAUAAUCCAAGCCCAGUAGUUCAUUUGUUUUCAGACCCUCCCUAAUCAUAAGCUAGCUUUAAAGCAAGAUGAAUAACAGGUUUCUAGUUCUCUCAGGCUUGACAGUAAACUCUAACCAAUAACACACGGUUGUGGUCACCAGCUAUAAAAGUAAUCAGAAACUUGAUAUUCCAUUCAUCUGAAAGCCAGGUCAUUAUUUUUCAGACCCUCCCUAGCUUUGCAGCAAGAUGAAUAACAAAUUCUCCAAGGCUUGACAGUAAACUCUAACCAAUAACACACGGCUGUUGUCAACAGCUAUAAAAGUAUCAGAAACUUGAUAUAGAUUAUCAUCUGAAAACCAUGUCUUUUAUUUGAUAGUUGAUACUGUCUUUAUACUUGGAAAACAAAACUCAACACUUGACACUUAACAACGUUAAAGAGACACAGAAGCUGUAAAGUACGAACCUUGAACGUUAGAUGCUGAGGAGGAGCUAGCACCAGCAGAAGCUGCGGGUCUCCGACGCAUUCUACCCCCACCACCAGUCCCACGUACCACGUUUUCACGUGCCUGAACCUUUAGGCAACCCCAAAACAGAGGAAUUACGUAACAAUCCAUUUCGCAACAAUGACAAAAAAAAAAAUUGAGAAGUUACCUGCGGCGGUUCUGCAUCUUCCUCACGUGAUCUAGCAUCUACCCGACGUUUCCAUAAGAACAAAGGAAUCACUGCAGCUAUGAGGAUCAUCGACACUAUCAAAGCGAAUAUCUCCUCCAUCUCUUACCUGCGAUCGAAAUUUAACCCAAAAAAGGGAAUUUGAAACAGUUUUGAGAAAAAUCAAAAUAUAAUAACGAAGCGAUCGACUCAGAUCGUUCCACAAUCUAACCUAAUUUUCAUAGUUUAACCUAAAGCGUCUUGCUCGAGGAUUGCAGAGCUCCCUCCACCUUGACUCGCAAGAGAAACGAUCGACAGGGUUAGUUUCGUAACUGUACACGACUCCCAGAAUCCUCUAUACGAGUCAGAGUCUUUGGUUUUUUUCUCUGUAUAAUAUGACUUGUUUAGUUUCAUGGUUUGUUAUUAAGAAAUUUGCUAUACGGAUCCAAGAGAUCUAUCUUGGUAAGAAAGAUAAUCAGAGAAGAGGCCCAUAUGAAGAGAAUUUUGAUCAGGAAAGACUUGCCACGUACUAUUCUGAUCCAAGGGUAAAUGCUCUAUCCUUGAGCAACAAUCUAAGACUUUCACAGUUGGGACUGUAACUGGUGAAACGAUAUUCCUAUAAUUUCCUAUACUUAGUACUUGUAGAACAUUAGAAGAAUUCAUGGCGACAGAGACUGUUUAGGCACCUGUCUUUGUUCUUCUCGUUCUUGACGCUUCUUCUCCUUCUUCUUAGAUGCUCUGGCUUGAUUUCCAAUGGCUUCACCUUCUUCUUCAUCUUCACUCCCACUGAUGUUUUCUGUUUUCAAAUGUACCCAAAUAAAUAAUCCAAGCCCAGUAGUUCAUUUGUUUUCAGACCCUCCCUAAUCAUAAGCUAGCUUUAAAGCAAGAUGAAUAACAGGUUUCUAGUUCUCUCAGGCUUGACAGUAAACUCUAACCAAUAACACACGGUUGUGGUCACCAGCUAUAAAAGUAAUCAGAAACUUGAUAUUCCAUUCAUCUGAAAGCCAGGUCAUUAUUUUUCAGACCCUCCCUAGCUUUGCAGCAAGAUGAAUAACAAAUUCUCCAAGGCUUGACAGUAAACUCUAACCAAUAACACACGGCUGUUGUCAACAGCUAUAAAAGUAUCAGAAACUUGAUAUAGAUUAUCAUCUGAAAACCAUGUCUUUUAUUUGAUAGUUGAUACUGUCUUUAUACUUGGAAAACAAAACUCAACACUUGACACUUAACAACGUUAAAGAGACACAGAAGCUGUAAAGUACGAACCUUGAACGUUAGAUGCUGAGGAGGAGCUAGCACCAGCAGAAGCUGCGGGUCUCCGACGCAUUCUACCCCCACCACCAGUCCCACGUACCACGUUUUCACGUGCCUGAACCUUUAGGCAACCCCAAAACAGAGGAAUUACGUAACAAUCCAUUUCGCAACAAUGACAAAAAAAAAAAUUGAGAAGUUACCUGCGGCGGUUCUGCAUCUUCCUCACGUGAUCUAGCAUCUACCCGACGUUUCCAUAAGAACAAAGGAAUCACUGCAGCUAUGAGGAUCAUCGACACUAUCAAAGCGAAUAUCUCCUCCAUCUCUUACCUGCGAUCGAAAUUUAACCCAAAAAAGGGAAUUUGAAACAGUUUUGAGAAAAAUCAAAAUAUAAUAACGAAGCGAUCGACUCAGAUCGUUCCACAAUCUAACCUAAUUUUCAUAGUUUAACCUAAAGCGUCUUGCUCGAGGAUUGCAGAGCUCCCUCCACCUUGACUCGCAAGAGAAACGAUCGACAGGGUUAGUUUCGUAACUGUACACGACUCCCAGAAUCCUCUAUACGAGUCAGAGUCUUUGGUUUUUUUCUCUGUAUAAUAUGACUUGUUUAGUUUCAUGGUUUGUUAUUAAGAAAUUUGCUAUACGGAUCCAAGAGAUCUAUCUUGGUAAGAAAGAUAAUCAGAGAAGAGGCCAAGUUAACGAGAAAUUCUUAACAUUCUCAUAUUAAAGAAGUGGCAAAGCCAAAGUACAUAAGAUGGUAGUCUCUUAGUAUCAUACCAAAGGUGAAUAGAGAGAAAACAGCAACAAGAGAAUCAAAGAUGAAAGUUGAAGAAAUGUUUUGGAAAGGGAGGAUAACAGUAAUGAUUCACUAGAGCAGAAUGAAGCAAACGGCCUAGGGAAACUGCAACACAAGCAGCUCAGAAACCAUGUAUCUUGAUGUUGUCCUUCUUCACAAGGCCAGCCUGUUGCAAGAGAAAAAGUAAAAGAAAAUGAGAUAAUGCAACAAUGUUUUUAUGUUAGCUUUGUUCGUGAUAUUACCUGGACUAGGAACGUGGAGACGUUCUUCCUCUGGUCGCCUUGAAGCUGAAUAACCUACAAAUUUUCACAGUAGCACAAUUAAAGAGAGAGCACACAUACAAAAGCUAAAAUUCUUAAGCCAAGUCUUUAACUGUCUGUUUGCAUUAUUUGAAUGAUACUACACCAACUGUUAAAAACAGUAGUUGAUGAUAUACCACGGAGCUUCAAAACACGCACCUGUCCGAGUUCAGAGUCUUGAACCACAGUUCCGUUGCAACAAAACUCCUUCUUGAGGUCCUUAAGUAUCUUGCUGUAACUAUACUCUUUCUUCAGCCCCUGGACCGUUGUCAAGCUUUUCCUACCAUUGCGCUGCUGCACACGGAUGUGGACGUACUCCUUUGUUCCCGCACCUGAGUCCUCAGCAUUAGCAUCAGCAAACGGGUCUGCAGAAAAAUCAAAAAGAAACUCAUUAGCCCUUAUCAAAUCCAACAUGAGAAACAUUUAACAAAAUCAUAUGAGCCAGAUAUGCAGAGGUAUUUCAAUCAACAAUGGAUACAAUUGGAGCUUACCGAAGGCAGUAGGGACCUGGGAAUCAAGUUCAGACAUGAAACUUUGUUGAUCUGGUGGGCAAACUACAGAGAAACUGAGACCUGAGAAAUAAUACCAACAUCACAUAAGAAUUUGACAAACACAAAGAGAAGGGCAACAACACACAGUAUAACUAGGGAUAAAAUAAACAUAACACGAUAACAAAUCAAUAAAACACACAAUUCUAGUACGAGCCACAUUCAAUUGGAGAUUACUGAUAAUCAAAUGGGAAACUAAAGAUUAUCAUCACCAACUGAAGAUACGAGAUGAGCAAAAUACCAUCUGAUCAUAUCCCAGACACGAUUCAGUCAAAUUACCCAAACAAUGUAAAGAGGAAACAUCAAUCCAUCAAAAGACUACGUUUUUUUCUUUUUCAAAUUCAGCUACAAUUAUAAUAGAUCAUAAGCAAAAGCUCGCGUCCGAUCUUCAGACGGAAAAAAAAAAAAAAACGAACCAGAAACGCAAUAAAUUUCACCUCGAAAUUAUGGAAAUCAAGGAAAUUACAAGAUGUAAUCUGCGAUCAGCUAAAGAAAGAAGACAAAACGUGGAUAGAAGAAGGGCAAUUCUACCUGAUUCGAGGAGUAGAGUUUCGAGGAUCUGAUUAUCGGGAGAAGAGAAGAGAGAAUGAAACCCUAGAUUCGGAUAAAGUGCAACUUAUGUUUCGGUGGAGGAGAGGAAGACGUAGUCUCAAAUUAUAUUUUCAAGGUGGACUUGGGCUUUGUACUUAACCCCUUGGUGGGCUUGUAAUUGGACUUCACACGUAUCCACUUGGUAGAUUUGAUUUGUCCACUACACCAGCUCCAAUUCCAUCAGAUAUGUGAGAAGAUAAUACUAAAGUCGGUGAUUAUCCUUUGUUAAAUAAUAGUGAUUGUCCAGUUUGGCACACGUGGGGCAACAACGCCUAUCCUUCUCAUGUUGCAGAUGUCAUUUUUAUAAUGAGACACAGUAUACGUGUCUUUUUACUUCUCUACUAUAAAUACCUCUUCCCCUUUGUAUUUGUAUUAAGGGGAAAAUAAUAAAGACUCUCAAUUCUCUACUCUCUCGUUGUUAUACAAAACAUAAACAUACAUAUAUAAUUUAUAGAUACAUCUGAGUUAGUAGUUUACAACACGUUAUCAGCAUGAAGUUCUGACUAACUGAGGUUUAUCAAUCCGAAAAUUUUUAAACCAGUCGAAGUAAUGUUUAAAUUUAUGUGUUUUAAUAUACUUAAUUUAUUUAAAUUUUAUUAUUGUUCCGGAGUGAGAGGCUAGGUCUUUUCUGUUUAUUUUCGGGAUGAUAGGCGUUGCCUUCCCCGACUGAUCGUUAUGGUAAGCUAUGCCUUCACGAUCAGAGAAACACGUGGUAGACGUUGCCUCCGUGAAUAAAAAAAAAAUCUAACAAUACUAAAAGGAACAUAUCAAGCCUUCUUAAGCUGUCCACGUCGGAUUGGAAAUUCAGGCCAAUCAGAAACUGACUUUAUGCCACGUCACUUAUCUUCUGGGUCUGAACCGGGCCAAGAUUUAUGUAUCUGAGUCGAUGUGGCCCACUUCCAUACGAAUCCAUCGCUUGGCAAAGCGCGACUCUCCAGACUCCACUUCAUCUUCACCGUUUUUAGAUCGAAAAUUAUGUUGUAUCUGAAAAUCACAGUUACGUUGGAGUUAAGUCGACCCACUCUUUCACAUUAAUAACCUUCAUUACUCCUCCCUUACAAGUUAGAGAUGUUAGCGUUCUGACUCCCAUUGUUCUUAGCUUUAUAUAAACUCCUUUAUAGAAUCUCAUUUACUACCUUUACAAAAUCAUUUCCUCUUCAUGUCAACUAUAGCCUAUUCAAUCGCCCACAAGAACAUACCUUUAGGGUUUCCAUUUCAAUUAAAGCACAAACCGAACGUUUUCACGCGAGAGAGAACGCAGAACUCGGUGACCCUAUCAAACCUAUCCUUUGUUUCGUCUUCGAAUCGAUCUGAUAUAUUCAUCCAAGUCGUGGAUCUCAAGCCUAUCCAAUCUAUAUACGUAAGAUUUUAACUUUUAACUCUGCAUCAGUAUUCAUCCUCCAUUGAUACCAUUUCUGGGUUCAAUAAUUUCGUCAACAUAUUGGAUUGUAGUUUCACCAUCGUCUAUGAUUCCAUGGUAUAGAUCUCGGUUUACAUGUUCUUAUUGUGUUUACAGGUUAGUGAGAAUGAUGGAAAGACGAAAGUUUCAUGCUGGCACUUGCGGAUGACUAAGAUCACAACAAUGAAAAAUUAAAAUCUGGAGAGCCGGAGCUGAGAUCCUCUGAUCCUCAAGGUGUGGAUGCGGAGAAGCCUGUUGUUCUCACUGAUGAGCCUUUGAGGGAGGCCUCUCCUGCAACCGAUGUUAACCUGGUUUAGAGGAAGUGGUGGUGGAUGGUGAGAAGUCUAAUGUCGAGAAGUGGGGCCAAGAGUUGCAGAAUUGUGAAAACAUCCUUCCCUGGAUAAGGUUCACAUCUAACAAUACCCUUCAAAACUAAAUUUGCUAAGCCCCAAGAUCGAGAUCAUACAUUGGAGUUGUCAAGAACAUGUAAGCUGAUACGUACGGAUGUAUACUAUGCAGGGUAAUUAUUUUGGUUGGGUCCAAGUUCUUCUUCUCAAUGUGUUGUAUGUUUAAAAUGAUUUCACUACUAUCUCUAGGAUCAUCUUUCCAACUGUUCGAUCCUGUGAUAUUGUGCAGCAUGUGAAACCAGAGGAAGGGAACCAAUAUAAUGGUAUUUGGUUCUAUCUUUUUUGCUUCAUCAUUUUUUUUAAUAAAGACAUUUUAGCUUGAGCAUGUCAUAUUUUGGACUCCUAUCAGGAUAUAUGCUCCAGAACCAUUUGAUGUUCGAAGGAUAUUAUAUUCAGACAUUCUCUCAAAUGAACUGGAAGUCACCGUUACAAUAGAUGAUCCAGUUGAUCCUGGUUGGUUUUACAAAAACUAUCCACGAUUCAAAUUUGAAGUGGCAGUAAGGUGAAUGAUGGGCUGGCUUAUCGAACUGCAGAUUCUUUCUUGGAAUCCCGAGUAGCGUCUUUGAUUCGAAAUUCAAACAGUGAAUUCAGAGUAUGUUCAUCUGUUUUUUUUUUCAGGGAAAGGGUUACAUUGAGUUUAUUCCACUAAGCUGAACAUUUAAAACUCCUUUUCAGGUGGUUAUAUUACAGAUGAAUGAACAAGACUGCAUCCUGAUCUCAUGUCUUUACCCUUGGAAGACAAGAAUAAAAUUAUCUCUAGGAUGGAUUACAAAGGCAAGAAUAAGUUGGUUGUGCGGAUCUCUGUUUCAGCGGAAUGGAUAGCCUCCCCAAUAACCAGCCCAUUGAAGUUACAGGUAAAUACCUAAUCUCCUGCAUAUUUCUCUCAGGAAAAAAGAAAAUUAGAAGCAUCCAGUAGCGUUUAUUAUCUUUUAGGUUAUAAUAAUUAUUUUGUAGCCAAGGAGUAUGAAUAUUCAAACCAUAUUUAACCAUAAAUUGGUUUUGGUGGCAAUUCUACUCAUUCACCAUAGAAAGUUGCAAAGCUACAUUAUAAUUCAAAAUCUUUCAUAUAAGAACUACCGAUAAACGUUGCAUAAUUUAUAUUAUUUAAGUUUUAUGCACGUUUUGAAAGACUAAAUAACACCAUGUCAUUCUUAUAAUUAUUUACGUUUUUCACUACGUUGAGAUUGUGAUUCUUCAUGCUAUUUCACCAAAAAAAAAAUAACUUUUUGGACAUUCUAUGAAACUGUUUUACAAUUGUAUAUGUUUUUUGAUAUGCACCCACUUUUUGGACAUGCUAUUUCACAAAAAAAAAACUCUUUGGAUAUUCUCAAUAGUUGUGAGGUCUUAAAUUAAAUUAUUCAGGGGAGGAUCAGGUAACUUUCAUAUAGGUAUUGAUUCCUAACUUUAAUUUAGCUUAUCAUUGAACCAUCUAUAAUUGAGUAGCACAUGAGUCCAUGCUUAUGCAGUACCUUAGUAUUGGCGUUGCAGUUGCUUUCUUCACCAUCUAUAAUCAUGAACAUAUUGAAUCAUCCUUUGUUUACUGAAAUUACUUGAGACUAUAGCCAUAACGAGUCCAUUUACCUAGAGUAGCUAACUCUAUUUGAAACUAAGUUUUCUCAUGGUCACUAUUAACAGGAGUUCGUAAAAGUAUAAAAGUGUCAAAAUCUGCUUGGCACAUCUAUUUGUGGUUUAAUGUUGUGGAGAGCUUGCGUUCACGAAAAAAACUCUUCAAAGGAGGAUGAAGACAAAGAGGCUAUGAAGACGAGCACACGACCCUUUUGAAUCCUCAUCACUAAAUUGUUCGUUGUUGUUUUUGUUGUCUUAAAUGGAAGACUUUAAAAAAAAAAAACCAUUAUGCCAAAAUAAAGUUAAAAUAAGUUUCUCAAAAAAUUAAGUUAAAAUCAGUAUAAAAUGACUAACAAAAAGUACAUACAAGAAAUUAAUUUAAUAUCUAGGUUAGUGGUUUGAAAUUAACAUAUAUUAUUUUAAUUAAAUAUUAAAAUAUAAUAAGAUUCCAUUAUUUAGUAAAAUAUUAGAAAAAAUAUCCAAAUCAUUUAAAACAAAAUGGAAAUAAAUUUCUAAAGAAUCAAAAUUAAAAACUAUUCAAAAGGUACUAAAUUGAUAUUUAGAAUGAUAUUAUGUAAAUCAACAUACAAAUUUAACUACCACGAAGAAACAAAUUAAAUCUUAAAAGUUAUAAAAUUCUUAAAAAUCAUAUCUGCCAAUAUAAAAUAGAAAUCAUCAUAAAUUUAUUUUUUAUUAAAACUAUAAGAUGAAAAAUUAUGAAUUUAAUUAGUUAUCUAUAGCUUUUGAUUACGCUCGAUAAGUCGCAUUACAAAGACUUUUUAAUUGUUACUUCUAGGCUAUCAAUAUACUGUUAGAUUUGUUCAUCGUUUAUUUGCAAUGUUUGACAAAACAAAUUUGUGUAAAAAUAAGUUUAGGUUAGAGAAUUACCAGUAGGUUCAUUUUGAGAAGUCUUUACAAUUUUUGAAAAAUUUCUAAUUUGCUUCUCGCUAUUCCAAAUCCAUUUUAAGUUGUUUAAUAACAAAUUUAAGAAUAAUGGAAAUAUGUUUCAACUCUAACAUACAAACAAUCUUGCAUGGUUAUAAUUUUUUUAGCCAAUACCAAUGCCUGAUAUAUCUGCAUAUAUGUAAUUUAAUCUAUUCCAAAUAUUUUUAUGUAAUAUUUAAACAUGAAAUCAUUAAUACGGAAUCUCCUAAAAGUUUCACAUUUUUAAAAUAAAUAAUUAUUUACAAAAUAAUUAAUAUCAAUGAAAUUUUAACACAGAAAUGAUUACACAUUUAUGAAAAUAUAUAUAUUUAUAUGAAAUGAAUUUAUUUACCUAUUCUUCAAAAGUAUAAUUUGAAAAAAAAACCUUUCAGAUGAUUCAUGAACAAAUAUAUGAUAUACAUAAAUUAAUAAAAUUUGAAUAUUUUAUAAAAUAUAAAUUAUUUUAAUUUUAAUAAAGUUUUAAACGAUUACUAAAAGAUUAAUAGAAAAUUUAAAUAUGGUUACAUAUAAAAUAUAUAUUAAAUAGAAAUUAGUGAUAUUCCUAACAAAAAUUUUAAUUUCUUCAAACUCUUUCACUCUAAUUUAUCAAAUUUUAUAUAAAAAAAAUGAUAUAAUAUAAACCCAAAAAUAAACUUAAUUUACUUUAAAGCUUAUAACUUAAUUUCUUUUAAACUCUAAGCUUUGAAUUAUAUUUAACAUUAAAAUUAUAGACAUUUAAUAGACAAAUAAACCGCGCGUAGCGCGGUAAAAUCUCUAGUAAAGAUUAAAAAUGGCAGACUAAGUCUCCUCGGACCUUGAAAUAAGUAAAAGUCAAAAUGGUAUACCAUGUCUCCUCGGACUUUGAAAAAUGAUUAAUAUGGUAGUCUAAGACUCCUCAGAUCAUGUGGUAGGCUAAGCCUCCCUAGAGUAGCUAACUCUAUUUGAAACUAAGUUUUCUCAUGGUCACUAUUAACAGGAGUUCGUAAAAGUAUAAAAGUGUCAAAAUCUGCUUGGCACAUCUAUUUGUGGUUUAAUGUUGUGGAGAGCUUGCGUUCACGAAAAAAACUCUUCAAAGGAGGAUGAAGACAAAGAGGCUAUGAAGACGAGCACACGACCCUUUUGAAUCCUCAUCACUAAAUUGUUCGUUGUUGUUUUUGUUGUCUUAAAUGGAAGACUUUAAAAAAAAAAAACCAUUAUGCCAAAAUAAAGUUAAAAUAAGUUUCUCAAAAAAUUAAGUUAAAAUCAGUAUAAAAUGACUAACAAAAAGUACAUACAAGAAAUUAAUUUAAUAUCUAGGUUAGUGGUUUGAAAUUAACAUAUAUUAUUUUAAUUAAAUAUUAAAAUAUAAUAAGAUUCCAUUAUUUAGUAAAAUAUUAGAAAAAAUAUCCAAAUCAUUUAAAACAAAAUGGAAAUAAAUUUCUAAAGAAUCAAAAUUAAAAACUAUUCAAAAGGUACUAAAUUGAUAUUUAGAAUGAUAUUAUGUAAAUCAACAUACAAAUUUAACUACCACGAAGAAACAAAUUAAAUCUUAAAAGUUAUAAAAUUCUUAAAAAUCAUAUCUGCCAAUAUAAAAUAGAAAUCAUCAUAAAUUUAUUUUUUAUUAAAACUAUAAGAUGAAAAAUUAUGAAUUUAAUUAGUUAUCUAUAGCUUUUGAUUACGCUCGAUAAGUCGCAUUACAAAGACUUUUUAAUUGUUACUUCUAGGCUAUCAAUAUACUGUUAGAUUUGUUCAUCGUUUAUUUGCAAUGUUUGACAAAACAAAUUUGUGUAAAAAUAAGUUUAGGUUAGAGAAUUACCAGUAGGUUCAUUUUGAGAAGUCUUUACAAUUUUUGAAAAAUUUCUAAUUUGCUUCUCGCUAUUCCAAAUCCAUUUUAAGUUGUUUAAUAACAAAUUUAAGAAUAAUGGAAAUAUGUUUCAACUCUAACAUACAAACAAUCUUGCAUGGUUAUAAUUUUUUUAGCCAAUACCAAUGCCUGAUAUAUCUGCAUAUAUGUAAUUUAAUCUAUUCCAAAUAUUUUUAUGUAAUAUUUAAACAUGAAAUCAUUAAUACGGAAUCUCCUAAAAGUUUCACAUUUUUAAAAUAAAUAAUUAUUUACAAAAUAAUUAAUAUCAAUGAAAUUUUAACACAGAAAUGAUUACACAUUUAUGAAAAUAUAUAUAUUUAUAUGAAAUGAAUUUAUUUACCUAUUCUUCAAAAGUAUAAUUUGAAAAAAAAACCUUUCAGAUGAUUCAUGAACAAAUAUAUGAUAUACAUAAAUUAAUAAAAUUUGAAUAUUUUAUAAAAUAUAAAUUAUUUUAAUUUUAAUAAAGUUUUAAACGAUUACUAAAAGAUUAAUAGAAAAUUUAAAUAUGGUUACAUAUAAAAUAUAUAUUAAAUAGAAAUUAGUGAUAUUCCUAACAAAAAUUUUAAUUUCUUCAAACUCUUUCACUCUAAUUUAUCAAAUUUUAUAUAAAAAAAAUGAUAUAAUAUAAACCCAAAAAUAAACUUAAUUUACUUUAAAGCUUAUAACUUAAUUUCUUUUAAACUCUAAGCUUUGAAUUAUAUUUAACAUUAAAAUUAUAGACAUUUAAUAGACAAAUAAACCGCGCGUAGCGCGGUAAAAUCUCUAGUAAAGAUUAAAAAUGGCAGACUAAGUCUCCUCGGACCUUGAAAUAAGUAAAAGUCAAAAUGGUAUACCAUGUCUCCUCGGACUUUGAAAAAUGAUUAAUAUGGUAGUCUAAGACUCCUCAGAUCAUGUGGUAGGCUAAGCCUCCAAUUUUAUUUAUGCUCUUUAAAUUUUUGCAAUUUAAAUUUAUGCCUUUAGUUUCUGCAUUUCAAUUUCCGUCUUUAUAUAUUAUUAUUCUAUGAAUUCGGUUAUUAUAUCAAAUUUGACAAAUCUCAAAAUAAAUGCCCUUGAUAUUACGGGAAAUAGUUAUAUGACCUGGGCAGCGGGUGCAAAGAUGCACCUGAGAAAAAAUGAGCUUUGAGAAAUCAUCGAUAAGUUGAAACUAUAUCGGAUGAGAAAAAGAUAAAGCCAUGAUAAUUUACACCACUUUAAUGAUGGUUUAUAAGAUGAGGUGUAUCAUGAGAAAGAUCUAGAAGAUCUUUGAAUAAUCAAAUCCUUGAAAGAAAGGAUUCACCAAAUUGUUGGAGUUGAUGUAAAUCCUCCGUGAGAAUUGAAAAGAAAAGAAACUCAUGAUACUAAACCAUCAAAUUGGUCCUUCUUGAAAAGGACAAGGAUGUGGAUGCGGUUGAAACCGCUAUCGUGGUCGUGGAAGAGGAUGAGGAAGAAGAUUCCAUCCCUAUGAUAAUAAUGGAAAUUUCCACGAAAAAUGAAAGUGGUCGGGUGAUAAAAGGCAAACAGAAAAAGUUUGCUAUAGAUACGGCCAGAAAAAAAUUGGGUACGUUGUUUUCGUACGCCAAAUAUUUAGCCGAUCUGUAUCGAGAUUCAAAAAGAAAAAGAGAAAGGAAGUGAAAUAAACUUCAUCUCUUAUGAGCCUGGACCAUCUUUUCAUAGCUUGAAUACUCAUCUUGAUGAUUCAGAUUUUCUGGUUGGUCCAGAAAAUGAAAAUAAAAUAUCGAUGUGAUAUAAAAAUUAUCUUCCUGAAUAAGAUUUUGAGAUUCAGGAUAGAGAUAGAUGUACUUGGCAGAUGUUGGGUCAUCGUACAUGACUACUAAAGGUAACAAAUAUUUCUCCUCUCUCAAAAUAAGUAAGUAUAAUAUCUAUUACUAUAAAAUUUAUUAUUAGCUCUAGAGGAGCUUAUGAUGAAAAGACAUGCAUAAGAAAAGGAUGGCAAAAGUAUAAAUGAGUGGUAAACCUGAAGUUUACUGAUAUAUAGCCAUCUCCAAUAAUGUUAUCCACAUUAUUGUGAAAUGUUGAAAAACCAGAAGUUUUUCACAUAUAGUAUGUCAAAAAAAUAAAGGAAACCAUCAUGGUGAUGAAUCAUCAAACAAGUUCACUAGAUGUGAUUUCUUUAAGCAGACCCCAAAUUAAGAUCUCACUCUAAGGGAUUUGAAACAUAAUUCAUCCCAAAUGGGAAAACUGAAUAUAUUAUUGGUUCUAGAGUGGGAUUCAGUACGAGAUUUUAGACAUGGAGUGUCAUCAUCUCGAGGGAGAGAAUUAAAAAAUCCUAGUAAGUGGAACAUUGAAAAAAUUAUGUUCGCUCUCGAAAAAGAACUUGAUAAAGUAAAUUCGAAUAAGAUGAUCCCCAUGAUCAGGUGUAAACAUGCAGUUGUGCAUGUAAUAAAGACAUAUACAAUCCAGAGGGAUAAAGUAUAUGGAUAAUUAGAAAUAUGCUCGCAAGUUUGCUAGAAGCAUAUGAUAAGCUGAUGGAAUGAGAUAUGUGAAAUGUAUUACAAUGAAAAGUAGGAUAAUCCAUUUACAAAAUGUCUGCUAGACAUUUUGAUUAAAUAAUGAUAUCUCAUAUUCCAGCUGAAAAUGCUCCAAUAAGAAAAUAGUGUCCUAAACGGACGAUAUAUGAGCCUAUGGCACACUAGAGACGUGAUAGACCACUUUGGUUCCAAAGAGUCCUCGAAAAAGAGCAAAAAUAUAAAUAGAGGAUGAAUCUCAUGAUGAGACCAUUGAUAUGGUUAAUAUAAUAGUCAGGUACCUGGGUAAAUCAUUGAUGAUGAUAAAGAGAUCUCGAUUAACCAUAUCAGUACGAAUAAAAAGAUGGAACCAAAGAGAAAAUAGAUUGUCGACAAUAAAUAAAAAAGCGCUAUAUAAAUAAGGAUUAUGAAUCUACCUCUAUGUAUGAGGGUAGAGUGAAUUGAUUGGCCAUCAAUUCGAUAUAAAGUUCGUUAGAAAAACGAGAUAUUUUUGGACUAAAAGUCCAAGGUAUAUAUUUCUCCAGAAAAUGAAAUGAAAGAUGACCUUGAGGUAUGAAAAACGGCUUGUUCCAAGGUCACUGGAGUAAAUUUAAAAUAGAUGCAAUAUAUUGAAAUGUCUGGGAGGACAAAAACGACUUGAGUUGCAUCUUGAUAUUUAGAAGUCCCUGGAGAGCUAAAGAUGCUCUCGGAAUGUAUAAAACUUUGGAAGAGUUAGAACAAGCCGUAUAUAAGGUAUAUUGAACCGGUAACUGGUGAUAUGUUUACGGCAUGAUUUGCCGAUUGCCAUUUUAAUGAGGAUGAAUUUCUAGCGUUAGGGAGAGGAAUUUGAGAAAUUCCUAAAGAGAUUACAUGGUGUACAUAAUCGUUGUUACACCUUUGUCCCCCUACGGAUCAAAGAGAGCUGGAAGUUCAGAAAAUUGUGCAUUUGCAAACCAGUUACCAGAAGAUACGACAUGAUAUACCCGCUGAAAAUGUUCCAUCAAGAGUUGAUGUUCCUAUUGUUGUGUAUCAGUGGGUAUUCGUGAGAAAAGUAACACGAUAUAAAACCUGAUUAGUAGAAAAACGAGAUAUUUUUGGACUAAAAGUCCAAGGUAUAUAUUUCUCCAGAAAAUGAAAUGAAAGAUGACCUUGAGGUAUGAAAAACGGCUUGUUCCAAGGUCACUGGAGUAAAUUUAAAAUAGAUGCAAUAUAUUGAAAUGUCUGGGAGGACAAAAACGACUUGAGUUGCAUCUUGAUAUUUAGAAGUCCCUGGAGAGCUAAAGAUGCUCUCGGAAUGUAUAAAACUUUGGAAGAGUUAGAACAAGCCGUAUAUAAGGUAUAUUGAACCGGUAACUGGUGAUAUGUUUACGGCAUGAUUUGCCGAUUGCCAUUUUAAUGAGGAUGAAUUUCUAGCGUUAGGGAGAGGAAUUUGAGAAAUUCCUAAAGAGAUUACAUGGUGUACAUAAUCGUUGUUACACCUUUGUCCCCCUACGGAUCAAAGAGAGCUGGAAGUUCAGAAAAUUGUGCAUUUGCAAACCAGUUACCAGAAGAUACGACAUGAUAUACCCGCUGAAAAUGUUCCAUCAAGAGUUGAUGUUCCUAAAAAACAAAGUGAUGGUAACAAAAUAAAUGAACCUAGGGUUCAGUUAAAGAAGGGGAGACUAGCGGGUUCUAGAGAUAAAAAUCUCCGAAAGAAAUUGGUUGAGAAAAGUUGCAAGGUUCCUGAAGAACCUGAUACUGAAAAAUGUCUGAAAGAAGACAUAAGUGGAAAGGUUCAAAGAGAACCUGAUACUGAAAGAUGUCUGAAAGAAGGAUUAGUUGCCCAAAGAUUUUCUCAGAGACCGGAAAUUGAUUUUGAGGAAACGUAUUCCCCGGUAAUGGAUGCAAUUAUGUUUAGAUUUUUGAUGAGCCUAACGGCAUCUAAAAAUCUUGAGAUGCAUCUCAUGGACGUUGUGACUGCGUAUUUGUAUGGAUCGUUGGAUAACGAUAUAUAUAUGAAACUCCCUAAGGGAUUGAAAAUGCCAGGGGCAUUGAAAGAAAAAUCCAGGGAGAUUUGUUCGGUCAAGUUACAGCAAUCACUUUACGGAUUAAAGCAAUCCGGACGCAUGUGGUACAAUCGCUUAAGUGAAUAUCUUUUGAGUAAAGGAUAUGUAAUAAUGCGAUAUGUCCAUGCGUUUUUAUAAAGAAAUUGUCAUUUGACUUUGUGAUCAUUGUUGUAUAUGUAGAUGACCUAAACAUAAUUGGAACUCAAAAGGAGGUUGAUGAUGCUUGAACUUAUAUGAAAGAGGAGUUCGAAAUGAAAGAUCUCGGAGAGACAAAGUUUUGUCUUGGGCUCCAGAUAGAGCAUCUCCGAGAAAGAAUAAUUGUGCAUCAAUCAAAUCAUACGAAAAGGUUAUUGAAACGCUUUUGUAUGAAUAAAGCGACUCCUUUGAGUACUCCAAUGGUAAAUAGAUCUCUCGAUGUUGAAAGAGAUGUUUAAAAUAUCCUGGUAAGAUCUUAUAUAAAUAAGUACUUUGGAGAUGCUAAUGGUAAUAAAGCAUAUAUGAGCUUAUAUAUCUUGCGAGUUGUAUUUGAUUAAAUAUACUUUUAGACACUAAUGUCUUUGCGAGAUAUAGCUCAUUUCCUAUUUACGGAAAUUAGAACGGCGUCGAGAACCUAUCUGUUCUCUCCAAGGUACGUAUUGAUUUAGGAGUAAUUUAUCCUAGAAACCCCGAGUUUGGUAUGUUUUGCAGAUACAUGAUAUUUAUAAAGUCGAACACAAACCGGCUAUGUUUCUACAAUUGGUGGAACCGCGAUCUCUUGACGGUCCCAGAAACAAACUCUGGUUGCGACAUCUUUGAUUCAUGCAUAAACUAUUGCGCUUCACGAAGUAUGUCGAGAAUGUGUGUGGCUUCGGUCAAUGAGUCACCACAUACGAGAAUCAAGCGGAAUAGUUAACGAGAAAGAUCCGACGAAAAUAUUUGAAGAUGAUUCGGCUUGUGUCGCUCAACUCAAAGAAGACUACAUUAAGAGUGACAAGACAAAGCACAUCCCUCCAAGAUUUUUCUCGUACAUAAGGGAGCUCGAGAAAAAUAAAGAAAUGGACAUCAAGUAUGUACGGUCAUGCGACAAUCCGGCUGACUUGUUCACAAAAGCCCUUCCCACUACAACAUUCCGAAAACACGUUUAUGGUAUCGGAAUGCGGCAUUUGCGUGACCUCUGACGAGAAAGCUAUGUCCACUAUUUUUAGGGGGAGAUUACGGUAGUGUACUCUUUUUUCCUAGUCAUGGUUUUUGUCCCAAUGAGUUUUUCCAUGACAAGGUUUUUAACGAGACACUACGUAAUACAAAAAAGAUAAUCAAGAGGGAGUCCUAGAAGAUAAUACUAAAGUUGGUGAUUAUCCUUUGUUAAAUAAUAGUGAUUGUCCAGCUUGGUACACGUGGGGCAACAACACCUAUCCUUCUCAUGUUGCAGAUGUCAUUUUUAUAAUGAGACACAGUAUACGUGUCUUCUUAUAGCAUGAUAAGUUCUUAGAGCAUCAUUAUUGGUGGGAUGAAGAAAGAGAGAAAGAUAGUCCUUUGUUUUAUUUUUUUUUUAUUUUUUUUGGUCGUUGGAGAGUAAGGGACAACCCUUAAUUUGGGGCUUUUCCCUUCUCUUUCUUCCUCGGUUCCCACCCCUCUCCUCUAAAGGAUGCUGUAAGGGAUUUCCAAUAAUGAUGCUCUUAGGAUAGGGUUCUUAGCGGAAUAUAAGAACCCGUCUCUUAACUUUUAACUAAGAACCGGCUCUUAAAUAAGAGAUUUAAGAACCAGUUCUUAAUUUUUUUACUAUUUAAGAACCGGUUCUUAGUUUUUUUAGUUAAAAAUUAAGAGACGGGUUCUUAUAUUCCACUAAGAACUCUAUCCUAAGAAUUCUCCGUUAAUCAUGGUCUACUUCUCUACUAUAAAUAUCUCUUCCCCUUUGUAUUUGUAUUAAGGGGAAAAUAAUAAAGACUCUCAAUUCUCUACUCUCUCGUUGUUAUACAAAACAUAAACAUAUAUAUAUAAUAUAUAGAUACAUCCGAGCUAGUAGUUUACAACAAGAUAUUCUUCUUUUUUUUUCUUCAUCGGAUACAUAUUCUCCGAUCGAUAUUAUGGGAUUUAAUAAGUUGACUGACUUUAUGUCUUAACGAUCCCGAAUUACAUGGUUACGUGUUCUCACACUUUCUUUUACGAGUGUUUAUAACCUCGUGCUUAAACUUUAAAUUUUAGUUUACCAUGUAAUUGAUUAUGAUCAGUGCCAUUGUGUGAUUCUUUUUUCUUAAAUGUCUUAACUUGAAUUAACUAAAUGCUUAAAAGGAAAUUCGUUUUUUAUAAAAAAAUAUACAAAAUGUCAGAAUAUGAACUACACAUCAUACAUGCAUGGUUGCAUGGCAUGUAGACGCGGAAACUUGUCACUCCUCCACAUUUGAGAUUCCAACACCUAAUCGCUACAAAAACCUUAUAGAUUCUCCCUUUCUCACAAACAAACACAUUCAUGCAAUGUUACACGUGAUCUCCAUGCAGAACAUCUUUCACGCCUAUAAAUACCAACCAACACUCCACUUCCCUCUUCACUCAAACGAAAACAAGCAAAAAACAUACACACAAAUAGCAAAUGGCCAACAAGCUCUUUCUCGUCUCGGCGACUCUCGCCCUCUUCUUCCUUCUCACCAAUGCCUCCAUCUACCGAACGGUCGUAGAAGUCGAGGAAGAUGAUGCCACAAACCCAGCCGGCCCAUUUCGGAUUCCGAAAUGUAGGAAGGAGUUUCAGCAAGCACAACACCUAAGAGCUUGCCAGCAAUGGCUCCACAAGCAGGCAAUGCAGUCCGGUAGUGGUCCAAGCUGGACCCUCGACGGUGAGUUUGAUUUUGAAGACGACAUGGAGAACCCUCAGAGCCCACAGCAGAGGCCACCGCUACUCCAGCAGUGCUGCAACGAGCUCCACCAGGAAGAGCCACUUUGUGUUUGCCCAACCUUGAAAGGAGCAUCCAAAGCCGUUAAACAACAGGUUCGACAACAGCAAGGACAGCAGGGACAGCAGCUGCAGCAAGUAAUUAGUCGUAUCUACCAGACUGCUACGCACUUACCUAAAGUUUGCAACAUCCCUCAAGUUAGCGUUUGUCCCUUCCAGAAGACCAUGCCUGGACCCUCCUACUAGAUUCCAAACGAAACCCUCGAGUGUAUGAAUGUGGUUGUCGGUAUAUGUCAACGCCACACUUCAUCGCGUAAUAUGUAAGGUCUUAUCUAGGAUGUUUGAGGCUAUGUAAUUAGCACUACUCCAUAAUAAAAGAGGNNNNNNNNNNNNNNNNNNNNNNNNNNNNNNNNNNNNNNNNNNNNNNNNNNNNNNNNNNNNNNNNNNNNNAAAAAAUAUUUUGAUAAGCGAAAAAUUAAAAUCAUGUAAUUAUAAACAGUUUUAAGUGAUAUAAAUUAAAAUAUAACAAAAUUGAAUUGUUUUCAACAUAGAUGAGUGUAGGUAGUGAAUCAUGGUAUUCUUUGGUCUAGGGUUUGACAACAUAUGUUGUAGUAUUGUAUGUAUACUUAGGGUUAGAUUUUGGAAAGCUUGAAUGUUUUUUUGAAAAAUUAAUUUUUUACCUAUGCAUGUUUAUUUUUGUGUAUAGUAAAUACUUUUGAAGUUUAAUUUGGUUUUAUGAAGUGUUUAGUUAGUUAAUUAAGUUUAGGGGUAAUGUUUAUGAUCUAGACUACUUACAUUUCAGUCGUAUGGUGAAGAAAUUAAAACAGACGACUUACAUGUAAGUCGUCCAAAUAUUUCCGCCUAAAAUUUUUUUAAAAAUUAUUUUCCCGCUUAAAUAAUAUAAACCAGACGACUUACUUGUAAGUCGUCUAGAAAGUGUUCUAUUUUAGUUUCUCACUAAAAAUAUUUUAAUUUCCCGCUAAAAAUAUUAAAACCUUCUGGACGACUUACAAGUAAGUCGUCUGAAUCAAACAUAUUUAACCUAAUUGAAUUUUUUGUCUCCCUAUAUAAAGAAAAAUUUACACAUUUUCUCUCCUCCUCUCAAAUGGCUGCAACAAAAAUGUAAUGUUCAUCACUCUAAAAGUCUUCAACCUCUCUCUAAUCUUUUUGACUUGAAAACACCAAACUUUAUAUGAAUUUUUCAGUUUUGUCUCAUGUCUUUCUUAAUAAUCUAUCUUUUUUGCAGGUUUUUAAUCAGAUGGUACUCAUCUUCCACUCAUUUAAAGGUAGAUCUAUUAAUUUUAGAUAUAUAUUUUUGUGUGUUCUAUAAAGGUAGAUUUAUCUAAUCUUCCACUCAUUUUCUCUAUUUUUAAGUCAUUUGAACGUUUUUGGAUAUGCAGGUUUUUCAGAUCUGGAUUUGAUAUGCAGGUUUUUCAGAUCUGGAAGACUUCUAUAAUGUUCUUGAUCGAUCACCGGUUUUUGAUGGUAUAUUACAAAGUCGAGCUCCAAAAGUUAAUUACAUUGUCAACGGACAUGAGUACCAUUUGGCUUACUAUCUCACAGAUGAUAUUUAUCCAAAAUGGGUUACUUUUGUCCAAUCUAUUCCACUCCCGCAAGGUCUGAAAGCAUCCUUAUUCGCUACACAUCAAGAAGCUGUAUGUAAAGAUGUCGAGCGUGCUUUUUGGGUCUUACAAGCUCGAUUUGCCAUAGUAAAAAAUCCAGCUCUUUUGUGGGAUAAAAUAAAAAUUGGAAAGAUAAUGAGAGCAUGUAUCAUUCUACAUAAUAUGAUCGUAGAAGACGAACGAGAUGAGUACACUCAGUUUGAUGUAUCAGUUUUCGCACAACCAGAAUCAAACCGAAGUUCACAAGUGGAUUUCACGUAUUCUACAGAUAUGCCUUCAAAACUCGGCAAUAUGAUGAGCAUUCGGAAUCGAGUUCGUGAUAAUACAAUACAUCAACAAUUGAAAGCGGAUUUGGUUGAGCAUAUAUGACAAAAAUUUGGAACAAUCAAGAUUUCAACUAAUCGGUUUUUUCUCGUUUACGAUUUGUAUUUGUAUUUUUAAUAUGCUUUUAUGUCAUUUUUAUUAAGAAUUUUAAUGUAUGAUUUUAUUUUUAAUCAUUCUAUUUAAAAAUGAAUUAUUUAAGAACCCCUUGGGGUUCUCCCAUUGGGAGAGGAAUACAUAAUUUCCUCAAACAAAGGUUCUUUAACUACUCAAAUCACUUUAUUAAAUAUUAAUUUACUCCUAAAAACCCAUUAGAGGUUCUAAUGGAUGGACUUGCUCUUAACGAUCCCGAAUUACAUAGUUAUGUGUUCUCACACUUUCUCUUACAAGUGUUUUUAACCGCUUGCUUAAACUUUAAAUUUUAGUUUACCAUGUAAUUAAUUAUGAUCAGUGCCAUUGUGUGAUUCCUUUUUCUUAAAUAUCUUAACUUGAAUUAACUAAAUGUUUAAAAGGAAAUUCGUUUUUUAUAAAAAAUAUACAAAAUGUCAGAAUAUGAACUACACAUCAUACAUGCAUGGUUGCAUGGCAUGUAGACGCGGAAACUUGUCACUCCUCCACAUUUGAGAUUCCAACACCUAAUCGCUACAAAAACCUUAUAGAUUCUCCCUUUCUCACAAACAAACAAACACAUUCAUGCAAUGUUACACGUGAUCUCCAUGCAGAACAUCUUUCACGCCUAUAAAUACCAACCAACACUCCACUUCCCUCUUCACUCAAACGAAAACAAGCAAAAAACAUACACACAAAUAGCAAAUGGCCAACAAGCUCUUUCUCGUCUCGGCGACUCUCGCCCUCUUCUUCCUUCUCACCAAUGCCUCCAUCUACCGAACGGUCGUAGAAGUCGAGGAAGAUGAUGCCACAAACCCAGCCGGUCCAUUUAGGAUUCCGAAAUGUAGGAAGGAGUUUCAGCAAGCACAACACCUAAGAGCUUGCCAGCAAUGGCUCCACAAGCAGGCAAUGCAGUCCGGUAGUGGUCCAAGCUGGACCCUCGAUGGUGAGUUUGAUUUUGAAGACGACAUGGAGAACCCUCAGAGCCCACAGCAGAGGCCACCGCUACUCCAGCAGUGCUGCAACGAGCUCCACCAGGAAGAGCCACUUUGUGUUUGCCCAACCUUGAAAGGAGCAUCCAAAGCCGUUAAACAACAGGUUCGACAACAGCAAGGACAGCAGGGACAGCAGCUGCAGCAAGUAAUUAGUCGUAUCUACCAGACUGCUACGCACUUACCUAAAGUUUGCAACAUCCCUCAAGUUAGCGUUUGUCCCUUCCAGAAGACCAUGCCUGGACCCUCCUACUAGAUUCCAAACGAAACCCUCGAGUGUAUGAAUGUGGUUGUCGGUAUAUGUCAACGCCACACUUCAUCGCGUAAUAUGUAAGGUCUUAUCUAGGAUGUUUGAGGCUAUGUAAUUAGCACUACUCCAUAAUAAAAGAGGAUUUUAGUGUUUUAUUCGGUGUGCAUGCUCUCUAAGUGGUUCAAGAUUUUAGUUUUCAAGCAAAUUCCAAUCAAAAUUGUGCGUUACUUACAUCGGCUGUUUAACGGCGUGCAAAACACCGAUCGAACUGAUCUACGAGGGCAUAUGCCAUCGUUCAAUCUCUGACCAAGUCUCUUACAAUAAAUUAAUGAAUAAUAAUACUAAUUAAGCAAAAAGAGAGAGAAGUGAACGAUCAGCUCUUCAGACCACCUCCAGGACCCCUAAUGGGUACUGAAAAUUAAAUUAGUGUUUAAUUUAGUGAUUUGAAAGGUUUAGAACCUCUAUUAAUCUAUUUAAUUUUUUCAUCUUCUAUUGGUAGAACUUCAUUGAGGUACUUAAAAAAUAAUUUAUUUUUUUUAAAGUUGAAUGAUUUGAAAGACCAUGAUACAUAAAAUUUUCAGGGGAAUUUGUCAAAACUAACCCACAACUUAAUUUUAAUCCCAAACAUAUACUCAAACUUGAAUCAAAUGCAAAGCUAAUAUAAAAGCCUUGUGAAAUUACAGCUCAACCACUUUUUCUAAGUCAUUUUUACGAAUAUAGCCCUAGUAAAUCGUCUGAGUCGUCUGAGAUGUUGGAAGUCGUCUGGACGACUUCAAAUUAAGUCUUCUGGUGUAGUUGAUCUUAAAAAUAACUUUUAAAUUUUUUAAAAAAUAUUUUGAUAAGCGAAAAAUUAAAAUCAUCUAAUUAUAAACAGUUUUAAGUGAUAUAAAUUAAAAUAUAACAAAAUUGAAUUGUUUUCAACAUAGAUGAGUGUAGGUAGUGAAUCAUGGUAUUCUUUGGUCUAGGGUUUGACAACAUAUGUUGUAGUAUUGUAUGUAUACUUAGGGUUAGAUUUUGGAAAGCUUGAAUGUUUUUUUGAAAAAUUAAUUUUUUACCUAUGCAUGUUUAUUUUUGUGUAUAGUAAAUACUUUUGAAGUUUAAUUUGGUUUUAUGAAGUGUUUAGUUAGUUAAUUAAGUUUAGGGGUAAUGUUUAUGAUCUAGACUACUUACAUUUCAGUCGUAUGGUGAAGAAAUUAAAACAGACGACUUACAUGUAAGUCGUCCAAAUAUUUCCGCCUAAAAUUUUUUUAAAAAUUAUUUUCCCGCUUAAAUAAUAUAAACCAGACGACUUACUUGUAAGUCGUCUAGAAAGUGUUCUAUUUUAGUUUCUCACUAAAAAUAUUUUAAUUUCCCGCUAAAAAUAUUAAAACCUUCUGGACGACUUACAAGUAAGUCGUCUGAAUCAAACAUAUUUAACCUAAUUGAAUUUUUUGUCUCCCUAUAUAAAGAAAAAUUUACACAUUUUCUCUCCUCCUCUCAAAUGGCUGCAACAAAAAUGUAAUGUUCAUCACUCUAAAAGUCUUCAACCUCUCUCUAAUCUUUUUGACUUGAAAACACCAAACUUUAUAUGAAUUUUUCAGUUUUGUCUCAUGUCUUUCUUAAUAAUCUAUCUUUUUUGCAGGUUUUUAAUCAGAUGGUACUCAUCUUCCACUCAUUUAAAGGUAGAUCUAUUAGUUUUAGAUAUGUAUUUUUGUGUGUUCUAUAAAUGUAGAUUUAUCUAAUCUUCCACUCAUUUUCUCUAUUUUUAAGUCAUUUGAACGUUUUUGGAUAUGCAGGUUUUUCAGAUCUGGAUUUGAUAUGCAGGUUUUUCAGAUCUGGAAGACUUCUGGGACGACUUACCUGUUAGUCGUCUGGAAGUCGUCUGGAAGUCGUCUGGACUUCUUGGAAGUCUUCUGACAAAGUCGUCUGGACUUCCAGGAAGUCGUCUGGACUUCGACGAAGUCGUCUGGACUUCCAGGAAGUCGUCUGGACUUCCAGGAAGUCGUCUGGACUUCCAGGAAGUCGUCUGGACUUCCAGGAAGUCGUCUGGACUUCCAGGAAGUCGUCUGGACUUCCAGGAAGUCGUCUGGACUUCCAGGAAGUCGUCUGGACUUCCAGGAAGUCGUCUGGACUUCAUGGAAGUCUUCUGACGAAGUCUCCCUUUCAUAAUAGAUCUGAGCGUUUUGGUAAGUUCUUAUGUCUGAUUUUUCUUCAUUUGGUAACUUCUUGUUGUAUAAAGUUCUUACUUUUUUCCCAAACUAAAACUCUCCAAACCCACUCUAAUCUCUUUGACUUGAAAACACCAAACUUUAUAUGAAUUUUCCAGUUUUGUCUCAUGUCUUUCUUACUAAUCUAUCUUUUUUGCAGGUUUUUAAUUAGAUGGUACUCAUCUUCCACUAAUUUAAAGGUAGAUCUAUUAUUUUUAGAUAUGUAUUUUUGUGUGUUCUGUAAAGGUAGAUUUAUCUAAUCUUUCACUCAUUUUUUCUGUUUUUAAGCCAUUUGAACGUUUUUGGAUAUGCAGGUUUUUCAGAUCUGGAUUUGAUAUGCAGGUUUUUCAGAUCUGGAAGACUUCUGGGACGACUUACCUGUUAGUCGUCUAAAAUAUAAUGCACUAGACGACUUCCAGGAAGUCUUCCAGACGACUUCCAUUUCAGUCGUCUAGACUUCCUAAAAGUCGUCUAGACUUCCUGGAAGUCAUCUGGAAGUCGUCUGGACUUUCUGGAAGUCUUCUGACAAAGUCUUCUUCCAUAUCAAGUGGAGUCCAAGCUUGUCUUUGUAGAGGAAUGAUCUAUAAUAGUUUUGUUUGUGGUCUGUUUUGUGAAUUGCAUGUCUACUCUUUUAGUUGUGAAUUUUUUGUAAAAUCAGUAAUAAUGUUUUCCAAGAUGUAUUAAAUGUGCUAACAAUGUGUUUACACAUUUACAAAUCAAUGAAAUAAUAAACUUCAGUAGCCUUUUUUUAUCAAUAAUAAACAAAUCAAUGAAAUAAUAAACUUCAGUAGCCCGUCUUCCGCUGAUCCUCUCACCAUUUCUUGCGCAUAUAACAAUGCUCUGUAUGAAGUGGUGUAAUCAAGUGUCAUGCCAAACAUGUUCUUCAUUGCAUCUUUGAUAUGCUGCGGAUUCAACCCAUCAAUGAUUCCAACACGAUCUAUGAAAAGUCGACCAAUGUACUUCGGAGUACAGCGUUUCCGCUGAGCGAUUCUGUCUGGAAUGGAACAUGUAUGAGUUGCCACAUACUUGGUUACCCGAAACGUUUUAGUCCCAUGUUUCACACUUGCUCGGACCUUCCAUUGACAACCACUAACAUGAUAUGUUGCCACAAAGAGAGUUUUCGUUGACUUGAAUAUUCUGAAGGAGAACCUACGCCUCACCGCUGUCAACCGCAACUCUGAAAGCAGUGCAUCCUUACUAGCAAAACUCUGGUUGACAUAGAUUCUGUCUACAGAUGAUCCUUCUCCUUCACAACCAUAUGCCCAAAACAGAUUUCAUCAUCUUCUUCCUCAUCCUCGUCUUUAACCAUUCCAUACUCACUAUAAUCAUCAGCAUCAGCGACAACAGGGAUGUCAGCAUCCUCUUCCCCAUCAUGAUCCUCAGCUUCAUGCCCCUCCUCAGCUUCAUCCCCCUCCUCAGCUUCAUGCCCCUCUUCAGCUUCAUCCCCCUCCUCAGCUUCAUCCCCCUCCUCAGCCUCAUCUCCCACAUGAUCUUCAUCCCUUUUCUCUGAAACCGUUCUCAUCUUGCUAAAGCUUGAUACACAAAGACGUACUUCAUGCAUUUUAGUUAUCUCGAGCAAGUUCUGAACUUGUAUAUCACUUGUAACAUGAAUAGGAGGAAGGUCUGGAGCCAUCUGUUGUAAUGAGUAGGUUAACUCCACAGACUCUAUGAAACUUCAAUCUAAGUACUCAUGAUGACUAAACUAUACGUCGUCUGGUCAACGCAGAGGUUAUUUUUGCAAUUGACUUUGAAAUCUGUUAUUUCAGACGACUGAAAAAUAAGUCGUCUACUUUUGUUUGGUUUAAAGAAAAAACUCCAAAAAAGCUAGACGACUUACAUUUCAGUCGUCAUGGGUUAGUUUUGCAUUUGACUGGAUUAUUUCAGAAGUUUUACUUUCCUGGACGACUUAGAUUUCAGUCGUCUCGUGAAAAUUAAAAUAAUAAUAUUUUUUUUAAAACUAGACGACUUACAAUUAAGUCGUCAUAUGUUAGUUUUGCAAUUGAAAAAGAAAACUUCAAUAUUUAAUUAUAUAUAGAUGACUUACAAUUCCGUCGUCCGUCAGACGACUUACGUGUAAGUCGUCCAGGAUUUACGAGGUUUGACCAGAAUCUCGGAAUAAAAUCCUGGCUGAAUUGUAAGUCGUCUGGGUAUGAUUAAAUAUUGAAGUUUUUUUUUCAAUUGCAAAACUAACCUAUGACGACUUAAUUGUAAGUCGUCUAGUGUUAAUAAAAUAUUGAUAUUUCAAUUUUCACCAGACGACUGAAAUGUAAGUCGUCCGGGAAAGUCAAACUUCUGAAAUAUUCUAGUCAAAUGCAAAACUAACUUAUGACGUCUGAAAUGUAACUGUGUUUGACUUUAAGUUGUAGGUCAAUUCUGCCAAAAGCCUAAAUUUUUAUUAAAAAUGACAUAAAAGCAUAUUAAAAAUGCAAAUACAAACCGUAAACGAGAAAAACAGAUUAGUUGAAAUCUUGAUUUGUUCCACUUUAGUCGUCUGAGAAAACCGAUUUCAAAGUCAAUUGCAAAAAUAACCUCUGCGUUGACCAGACGACUUCAAACUUGAUUCUGAAUGCUCAUCAUAUUGCCGAGAUUUGAAGGCAUAUCUGUAGAAAACGAGAAAUCCACUUCUGAACUUCGGUUUGAAUCCGAAUUUUUGAAAAUUGAAAUAUCAAACUGAGUGUAUCCAUCUCGUUCGUCUUUUACGAUCAUAUUAUGUAGAAUGAUACAUGCUCUCAUUAUCUUUCCAAUUUUUAUUUUAUCCCACAAAAGAGGUGGAUUUUUUACUAUGGCAAAUCGAGCUUGCAUGACCCCAAAACCUGAAAUUGGUUGUUCAUGAUGGUUGGGGUAUUGAUGACAAUGGCAAUAUUGUAAUUACUUGAAGAUGAUGAGGGUGAGAGAGUAAAAAUGUUAUUUUCGAAAAGAAAAAAAAUUGAUGGCAUUUUCGUAAAUUAUAUGAACUUGUGGGGUGAAUAGGGCAAAACCAAUUUCCAAAAAAAAGGAGGUUAGUUCUGUGUUUGACUUUAAGUUGUAGGUCAAUUCUGCCAAAAGCCUAAAUUUUUAUUAAAAAUGACAUAAAAGCAUAUUAAAAAUGCAAAUACAAACCGUAAACGAGAAAAACAGAUUAGUUGAAAUCUUGAUUUGUUCCAAAUUUUUGCCAUAUAUUCUCAACCAAAUCCGCUUUCAAUCGUUGAUGUAUUGUUCUAUCACAAACUUGAUUCUGAAUGCUCAUCAUAUUGCCGAGAUUUGAAGGCAUAUCUGUAGAAAACGAGAAAUCCACUUCUGAACUUCGGUUUGAAUCCGAAUUUUUGAAAAUUGAAAUAUCAAACUGAGUGUAUCCAUCUCGUUCGUCUUUUACGAUCAUAUUAUGUAGAAUGAUACAUGCUCUCAUUAUCUUUCCAAUUUUUAUUUUAUCCCACAAAAGAGGUGGAUUUUUUACUAUGGCAAAUCGAGCUUGCAUGACCCCAAAACCUCGCUCGACAUCUUUACGUACAGCUUCUUAAAGUGUAGCGAAUAAAGAUGCUUUUGGACCUUGCGGAAGUGGAAUAGAUUGGACAAAAGUAACCCAUUUUGGAUAAAUAUCAUAUGUGAGAUAGUAAGCCAUUUGGUACUCGUGUCCGUUGACAGUGUAGUUAACUUUCGGAGCUCGACCUUGUAAUAUAUCAUCAAAAACUGGUGAUUGAUCAAGAACAUUGAUAUCGUUUAAUGUGCCUAGAGGUCCGAAAAACGCGUGUCAUAUCCAGAGGUCUUGUGAAGCUACAACCUCUAGAACAAUUGUUGGCUUUCCUGAUCCACGUGUAUAUUGUCUUUUCCAUGCGGUUGGACAAUUCUUCCACUCCCAAUGCAUACAAUCAAUGCUUCCUAUCAUCCCGGGAAAUCCGCGUAGCUCUCCAAUAUCGAGUAGUCGUUGAAGAUCUUCUGGAGUGGGUCUUCUUAGAUACUCAUCUCCAAAUAAAUUUAUGAUUCCUUGAACAAAAUGUUCUAAGCAUAAAAGCGCGGUAGUCUCACCAAGUCAGAGGUAUUCGUCGACCGCAUCAGCUGGGCAACCAUAUGCCAUCAUACGAAUUGCUGCCAUUUUCUUUUGUAACGGAGAGAGACCGAACCUUCUAGUAGCAUCUCCUCUUUGUUGAAAGUAUGAUAUUUCAGCGGAGAGUCGAUCAACAAUACGCCUGAACAAGGAUUUGUUCAUUCGAAAACAGCAUUGAAACAUGUGCGAAGGAUAUGUUGCAUCUUCACUAAAAUAAUCGUUCCAUAACUGCAUGUGUCCUUGUUCUCGUUGUCUUUCAAUGUAUGCUCGUUUAUUUUUUGGCGUUGAUGUUUCUUGACGAUCUUCAUAACGAGUGAGAAGAUUUUCAAAUUGUUGAUCGAAAAUUUGGUCCAAUCUCUCCUCCAUCAUAUCUUCGUAAUUAUUAUUAGAAGAAGAAGCCAUUUAGAAGAGAAAUGGUAAAUGAAUUUUUUUUUUUUUUGUAUAAAAGAAAUGUUGGAUGUUGUUUUCUUGUACGAUGGAAAGAGAAGGGAGGUAAACAAAUAAAAGAGCUUCAAACUUGUUCUUCUACACUCAGAAAAAAAAGAAACAAAGGAAAUAUUUUUUUUUAAUAUGGUAUAAGAGAAAUGUUUGAUGUUGUUUUCUUGUACAAUGGAAAGAGAAGAGGGGUAAACAAAUAAAAGAGGUUCAAACUUGUUCUUCUACACUCGGAAAGAAAAGAAGCAAAGGAAAAUUUUUUUUUAAUGGUAGAAGAGAAAUGUUCUUUUACACUCGGAGGAAACACAACUUAGAAAGGAAACACAAGUUGCUUUACAACUUGCAAACCAGCUAUGCAGCACGUUGGUUUUCUUGUACUGUCUUCUUGUCUUUACAAGUCACAUGUUCCUGUCUUCUUGUUCUGUCAAUGCACUGGAUGAUCCACAUGCUACUUUAUGUCACACGCUCUUCUUGUCUUCUUUAUGUCACAUGCUAUUGUCGCUUUACCUGCACAAGCACGAGACAAGUCUCAGUACAACACGAGAGAACAACACACACGUCUCAGUACAAUACACGAGAGCAACAGAAGAACACACACAAUUUCAUUAAUAUGUCACAUGCUAAUACAAACUCGACAUCAAGCAUAAAGCAACGAGAGAGAGCAAAAGAAGAACACACACAAUUUCAUGCUAAUACAGACUCCAUUAACUAACAGACUCGACACAAACAUCAUAAAGACACAAACAACAUACAUACUUGGCAAUUUCAACACAAAAAUCAUAAGACUCAAACUAACAUAUCAUUAAUAAGCUUGUUUUUUAAGGCAAUUUCGAGUUCAGUUAAUGGUUCAGUCUUGGCAAUGAGGCUAUCAAGCAAUUUUUGCUUGUUAAGAGUUUCCUUCAAAGCAAAAUCCGCUUGCCUAAUCUCCCAGAUGCUCUGAAAUUCCCUCCUCUCCUUCUCUUCCUCUUCCAAAGUAGCUUGCUUCCUCACUGGUUUUUUUCCUUUUGCCUUUGCUGCUUAAACCCCAACUGGCCGACCCAUAGCUUCCUCUCCAUGGCCAUCUUGCACAGAGGAUGAUGAUUGUGUCGUCUGGGCAUCCAACUUCCUUCUUUUAGACUAAACUUUAUCCUUAGUAGAAGAAGCUCCACUCCAUUCCUGAUCAUAACGAAGUUCCAACCAUGCAUGCUCCAUUGUGAACUUCUUCUUGUAAUCAUCAAAGUAAAUCUCGUGAGCCAUUUUCAAGACGUCAUUCUCGUUCUGUCCACUCGAUCUCUGUUUCGUUGCAGCUUCAUAGCACCCAACAAACUUACACACGGCUUCAUUGAUUUUCCCCCACCUUGAUUUACAGUUGUUGUCUCUCUGGGCUGCAAACCAUCGAGCUUGGGACUUGCAGUAUAGUAAGCAGCAAUUCGUUUCCAAAACGUACUUGCUUUCUGCUCAUUCUCAACCACUGCAUCCUUGGAAGUGUUCAACCAAGCACUUAUCAGCACACCAUCUUCUGUUGGUGACCAUUUAUGCCUCUCUUUACGGUCAGACACAGUCUCUGCGUCUUCAUUGCCAUCUUCAUUCCAUUAUGAACAGAAAACAGAGGCAUCAGACGCAGAGACAGACUGAUAAGGCUCACGAGGGACAGACUAAUAAGGCUCAUGAGGGACAGACGCAGAGACUGACUCAUUCCAUUGAGUGUUUGGUUGUUGACUGGUCAAGAAGUUUUGAAAGCUAUAUUGUUGAAUAUAAGGAUCCAUACGAGUUUUGGAGAAGAGGUUUUGAAAGCUAAAAAGAAAGAACAAAAUAGAAGGAAAUAGUUUUGGAGAAGUAAAUAAAUUUGGAGUCAUGGUUUAUAGUUGUUAAAGUUUUUUGUUGUUGAAGUUUUAAUGGAAAGUUUUAAUGGCAAGUUUAAAGUUUGAAGUUGGAGAAGUUUUAAGUUGUUAAAGUUUUAAUGACAAGAGAAUCAAUAUCCCUUUAUUAUUAUUUGAGGAGCAUUAUAGAUAAUUAACUUUUAGUUCAUGUGUUAUUUUCAAAAUUGUCAUUUCCUGCGUGGCAGCACCAUAAACCCUCUCACAUCUUAUAUUCAAAAAUCAUUUGUUAACUAGAUUAAUUACAAUAAUUGUCAUUGCUUGCCAUUGAUCAUUUGAUUAUAAUUUUACUAAUAUACUGUAAGCUUCUUCAUUACAAUGACUAACAAAACAUUGACGUCCAUGUUUAAUGCGUUUUCAUUAUAAUUCAAACUUACGGGCGUAUAGUCAUUUAUUCCCAGAUCCGGUCCACAAAGUUAAUUAUAUAUGAGAUAACGAUUUUGUAGAUGGUAUAAUCCGAUACAUAUAUAACUAAAAUAAGUAUAAUUUAUAACACGUGUAUGUGGACCAUCUAUAAUGAUUCGGAUUAUACCAUUAUGUGCAUAUGUAUCGGAUUUAAUGUAACAAAAUAUUACCGUUAAAAUUAUAAUCUCUUCACAAUGUUAGCAGAACUCUAACAUAUGUUAUAAAUUAUACUUAUUAUAGUUAAUAUUUAAAUAGAGUGAGACAAAAAUAUAUGCACACGUUUUUACAAGUAUUCAUCAUAUAGCAUUUUAUAAUAUGUUAGACAUUAUAUAUAUAAAUGUGAUAUAAGUAUAAUGCCUAACUAUAGUCUAAUUCAAAAAAAUGUCUAACUAUAGUGUCUACAAAUUAAUUUCGUUUAAGGACUUAUCGUAACAAGGGGAUGUCUAACUAUUACGAAAUCACGAUGGCCCAUAUAACUCCGUUUAAGGACUUAUCAUAAUUGUAAUUGUAAACCAUGAUUAAUGAUUGCUACGAAAUCACGACGUCUAACUAUUAAUAUUAAAAAGAAACAUGAUUUGCAAUAACUUUGUUCAAAUCUGGGUGAAAGUUAAAAAGACACUUCUAAUAACGUUGCAAUAUAUAUGAUAUAUAUGAAAGUUGAAAGGAAACUUCUAAUAAUUUUAGUUGUUCUAUCUCUUAAUGAAACGUGAUUUGCAAGGACAACCGUAAUUAAUGAUUGUUAAAAGGAAACUUCUAAUAACUUUGAUAUAUUUUUAAAUUACGAAUUUGGUAACGUUUUGGUAAUAAUACUUGAAUCAAAUCCGCCAUUAUUUUUUAUAAAAUUUUGGUAAUAAUAGGGAGUCGAUUAUGGUUACAAAAUUUUGUCAACUAUUAAUAUGUUGUAUAUAAGGAAGUUAUAUUGUGGAUUCAAAUUAUUCGAAUCAAUUAACAAUCGUGAAUUUUAUUUAUUUUGUUCAAUUGUAAUUUAUAAAAGGAAGUUCGAUUAUAGUGUCUACAAAAUUUAGGUAAGUUACGAUUACCAUUGGAGCCCAAGUUAUGUGAAAUUAAAUACAGUAGAACAUCUAUAAAUUAAUAAUGUUGAGAUUUUGAAAUUUAAUUAAUUUAUAGAGAUAUUAAUGUACAAAAGUUUCCUUAUUUAGAUUUUUUAUUUUAAGAUAUAUUUAUUCUAAGAUAAAAAAAAAUAUUUGAUUUUAGUGUAUAAACAUUAAUUAUUAUUUUUUGAAAAUUCACAUUUAUAUUAAUUUUAUUAUAUUAUUUGGUGUAUAUAAUAUAUAUCGCAUAGAAGUUAAAUGUGCUUUUAGAUAUAAUAUUACUAAAUCUCAUCAAAAUUUAUUAAGUGUUAAGAAAAUAUAAAGAUAAUUCUAUUGUGAAUAUAAAACAAACAAUAUAAUAGUAGGUUCUUACUUAUAUAAAAUAUGUAUAUAUAGAAAUUAUUAAUUUAUAAUUUUAAUGGGACCAUAUAUUUACAUAGAAUUUUCUAAAAAAUUAUUAUCUUAUUAUUUUAUCUAUUGUGUCAAAUUUUGAACCGACCCAAGUUGGGAUCGGCAAAAUUUAUUAAUUUAUAGAGAUUAUUAAUUUAUUGAGUAUUAAUUUAUAGAGGUUCUAGAGUAUGUAAUAAUAUAUUUAAUUACAGUGUAUCAUUAAUCACAUGGGCGCUGCCUUCUUAAUAUAAAUAUAUGUUCUCUAAAAUUCAUCGACUCACCACACACUUCUUCUCGACUUCCUAAUUAUCAAAACAUUCUCUGGAGCAAACAAAUGGUUGGCUUUAACUCCGUUUCAGAAAGUGGUAUAUCAGUUCGUUUAGUGAAUUUUUUAAGUAUGUAUGUUUUGUUCGGUAAACUAAUUCUUAGUUAUUUCUCUCUAUAGGAUUGCAAACCAGAAGUUCUGAAGACCCUUUAUCAGUUUUUUAUUUGUUUCCUUGUAAUUUGUUUCUUUCGUAUUUUAUUUUUCUAUUACUUAUGUUUUAAAUAUUAUAAUCAUAAUUUUAUUUAUGAAAUCAAUAAUUAUAUUUCCUAUGUUUUGUUUUGUCUUAAAUUCAUAAUAAAUUAAUAAAAGUUAUUGCAUACUAUUAUAUAUUUUUUACAUAAAAUAUAUCUAAUUUACACAUAACCAACUACAAAAAACAAUCUUUUUCAAAAAAAAAACAAUAUUUUUCAAAAAAAACACUUAAGAUUACAUUAUAUUCACACUUUCGUUCCAUAUAUAUCAUUAGAUCUAAUAUUUUUGUCUAUAACUUUAAAAUUUCUAAUAUCUGUAAAAUUAUUUAAAAAAAUUUCUUUUGAUCAUUCACUCCGCGUAUGGCGUGGGUUAUCACUUAGUGUAUACGCUAAAACAACCACGCAACCUAAAUAUCAAAACUAAAGUUCAUUUAAUUCUCAACCAUUUUCUAAAUCACGUAAUCAAUAUCAUGCUCACCAUUAAAAGCAAAUCUACUUAGACAGAAAAUCUACCUUACCUCUUCUUAACUCUGAAAUUAAAAGACAUAAGCUUUGAUGACCAUGAAUCCAUUGCCUUUCUUCCACAACCAACAAAGAAAGUAAAAUUAAAAGUUAUUCUCUGUAAAGAAAUAAAAUGAGUCAAAUUACACAGUAAGAGUAAUGUGACAAAUAUCAUAUGAUAUCGGCGAUGACUUUGGCGAAAGCGAUUUUUAGGGUUCCAAGAUGAUUUUUUCACGGUGGCGAGUUAUGGAUCGGCGACGGAUCCGAGAGGGUGGAGAGAGGGCUUUAUGCUAUAGGGAAGCUGAGGAGGAGUCUCGGGUUAGUGAGGGAUUUUGUGGGUUUAAUCGAUCUCGGGAGAUCUGGUUAGGUGAUUUGAGGGGUUGCGAUAAUCUCUUACAAGGAUUGGACUUGGUAAUCUUCAUUUUACGAGGAGGAGAGGCUACAAGGGAUGAGGAGGACAGGGAAACUUUUGGUACUAGAUCGGGAUUUGGAUUGAUGGUCAUUUUCCGGAGUGGUUUGCGGUUCCUAGGUUGGAAGAGAGGAGAUAGGGGUGGAUCGGGUAGGAAGGGUCCUGUGCUGCUGAUCACGUAUUCUUGGAUGACAAGGAGUUUUCAAACUUUCACUAUAUUAUUCCCAACUCAAGGCUUAAUAAAGGACACAAGCAGAAGUGAGCAGGUUCUCAUUGCUGCUUUUGGAAGGGUAGUGUUCUACUUUGCUUGGACACGAGAUAGCUUUACAAUCAGGUUUUACUAUUUAUAUGCACUGUUUGCUUGGCAUGAUGCUUAUUGGUAUGAGGAUAUAAGAAAAGUGUUUCAAGCUCGAGGAUGGUAUCUUGCGUCUUUAAGUUCGGUGAUAUUGGUUUCAUUAGACAAGAAUAUGGAGAGGAGCCAGUUCGGCCAAGUGACAAUGGUCACUGUAAUGGGUGUGGGGUCUGCUUUGAAUGACAUGGGGUUAAUGCGAUGGUCUCAGGGUGCUAAUGAGGAGGAUUUUUUCUUAUCUCAUGAUUGGGUUAAAAGGCUUAUGUGUCUUAGUGGUUCCGUACAUUUUGUUUUCAUAUUUUUAAUUUUUUGGGUAAUGUUUACUAAUGCAGUUUUACUUGGAUGUUUUGGACUUUAUGGGAGCCAAAUAUGGUAUGCUUGGGUUUUAAAAGGGUGCUUACUAAUUUGUAGUUUGCUUGGGGGUUGGAAUGCAUGGAAUAAAUUUGUUGACUUUGGUGUUUGGAUUUGUUUCAAAUCGUUGCAACGAAGGGAUCAGAAUUUUUUACUUAUGCAAUUUGAUGUUCAUGGGAGGGAAAUAAAGGAGUUGGUACAUAUGUGUUUUGUUGGUUUUGGGAUGUGGCUCGGGACAGAGCAGAACGCUUUGGCUGCACGGACUCGAGGCCUGCGGCUGGUCUCUUUAAACCAGUUGCAGAGAGUUUCUUUGGAGAGGCUUAAAGUGCUCGUUUUGGGAACAUACAGUUCAGUCAUUGUUAUUGGUUCAGGAGCUUCCACAGACUUAUAUAUGUCGUACGUGAAGCGUGUGAUUUAUCUGUUUGGUUUCUUUAUUAUAGUUUAUAUGUUUGGUUUCUCUAUUAUGGUUUUUAUUGGACCCAAUUUAAAGGGUGAGGUUGAGCUGGACAUAAUGUAUAGACUUGGAAUGGAGCAAGGGUCUAUUUUUUUCAUAUUGAAGCUGUUUACUAUGACGGUUAAUUUGGGAGUUCGGUGGAUUAUUGCUUCUUGGUGGUUGGGAUUUCAGGGUAUCAUCAAACCUAAUUUCGCUAAACUCUUGGGAGUUUUUAUUUAUAACUUUAAAUGAGAGUGCUUAGUUGGAAUUGUAGAGGUAUGGGAAGCAAGUGGACUAUGAGCUAUCUAAGAGAGAUAUGGUAUAAACAUAAACCGGAUUUUUUAUUUUUAUCUGAAACAAAACAAGACUCAAAAUUUGUUCAAGAUUUCCAAGCACAUAUUGGAUUUGAUAAUUUGUUCACGGUUGAUCCAUUGGGAAGGAGUGGUGGUUUAGCGCUUUUUUACAACAAUGAUUCUCAGGUCCAAGUCUUAUAUUCUAGUAAUAGAAUGAUCGAUGUGGAAGCGGUGACCCACGGAAAGACGGUUUAUCUUACGUUUGUGUAUGGUGAUCCUGUUCCAAAAUUAAGAGAACAAGUGUGGGAACGUUUGACGAGAUAUGGACUUGCGCGUUCAGAACCCUGGUUCAUCAUUGGGGAUUUAAAUGAGAUUACUGGAAAUCAUGAAAAGGAUGGAGGAUCACUGAGGAGUGCGGAUUCUUUUAUUCCUUUUAAUAAUAUGAUAAGGAAUACUGGGUUAUUGGAAUUUCCGGCACGGGGAAAUAAAAUGUCAUGGCAAGGGAGAAGGGGAAAAGGAAAAGGGGCAGUUACGGUAAGAUGUCGUCUAGAUCGAGCUUUAGCAAAUGAGGAGUGGCAUACUUUGUUUCCAUGUUCUUUUACAGAAUACUUAGGGAUGGUGGCUUCUGAUCAUCGCCCAGUUGUGGCUUAUCUGAAUGAUAAAGUCACUAGGAGAAAAGGGCAAUUUCGGUUUGAUAAAAGAUGGAUUGCACAAGAAGGUCUUUUGGAAUCAAUUACAAUGGGCUGGUCAGAUUAUAGUGCAACAAGGGAAACUGGGAUAGUGGAAAAAAUUAGUAAUUGUCGACAUGAAAUUGCUAAAUGGCGGAAAAAUAAUCCUCCUUAUGGGAAGGACAAAAUUAAUGAGUUACAAAAAGCUCUUGAAGAGGUACAAACAGAUAAUUCUAGAUCUCAAGAGGAUAUUAUCGAGGUCUCAAAGAAGUUGCAAGAUGCAUAUAAAGAUGAAGAGGAGUAUUGGCACCAAAAGAGUAGGAAUACGUGGUAUACAUCUGGGGAUCUCAAUACAAAAUUCUAUCAUGCUUUGACUAAGCAACGACGGGUACGUAAUCGGAUUGUGGGUUUAUAUGAUGCUUUGGGAAAUUGGAUUACGGAAGAUAUGGGUGUGGAAAAAGUGGCAGUGGACUAUUUCGAAGAGCUUUUCACUACCACUUCUCCAACGGAGUUUGAUGACUUUCUCACAGAGGUAUCACCAGGUAUUACUCCUCAAAUGAACCAACGUCUGUUAAGAGUAGCAUCAGAGGAUGAGGUCAGAGAAGCCCUUUUUAUGAUGCAUCCAGAGAAGGCACCAGGACCGGAUGGUAUGACAGCUCUUUUCUUUCAACACUCCUGGCAUAUUAUUAAGAAGGACUUGGUGGACAUGGUGAAUAAUUUUUUGGUUACUGGAACAUUGGAUCCGAGGUUAAAUAUUACUAAUAUUUGUAUGAUUCCAAAAACGGAGAGGCCUACAAGGAUGACAGAACUGAGGCCGAUUAGUCUGUGUAAUGUUGGGUAUAAAAUUAUUUCGAAGGUUCUGUGUCAGAGAUUGAAGAUAUGUCUACCUUCUCUUAUUUCAGAAACUCAGUCAGCUUUUGUGCCAGGAAGGUUAAUCUCUGAUAAUAUUCUUAUUGCUCAGGAAAUGUUUCAUGGAUUACGGACGAACAAGGCGUGCAAAGGAAAAUAUAUGGCAAUUAAAACGGACAUGAGUAAAGCUUAUGAUAGAGUGGAAUGGGAUUUUAUAAAGGCUCUCCUACAGAAGAUGGGUUUUGAUUUUCAUUGGAUUACAUUAAUGAUGGAGUGUAUAUCAUCGGUUCAAUAUCGGGUCCUACUUAAUGGACAGCCACGGGGACUUAUCGUUCCACAUAGGGGUUUACGACAAGGGGAUCCUUUAUCACCUUAUUUAUUUAUCCUGUGUACUGAGGCUCUAAUUGCAAAUAUUAAAAAGGCGGAAAGAAGGAAACUUUUGACGGGAAUGAAGGUAGCUAGAGCAUGUCCAUCGAUAUCUCAUCUGCUUUUUGCGGAUGAUAGUCUUUUUUUCUGUAAAGCUUUGAAAGAGGAAUGCCAUACUAUCCUUAGGAUCUUAAAGGAAUAUGAGGUUGUAUCAGGUCAGCUUAUAAACUUUGAUAAGUCCUCUAUCCAAUUCGGGCACAAUAUUGAGGAAUCAACUAGACAGGACUUAAGAGAUAUAUUGGGAAUUCAGAAUCUUGGAGGUAUGGGAUCUUAUCUAGGUCUUCCAGAAAAUUUGGGAGGAUCCAAGAUACAGGUUUUUAGCUUUGUGCAGGACCGGCUAAAUAAUAGGGUUAAUGGUUGGACUUUUAAGUUCUUCACAAAGGGAGGAAAAGAAGUGAUUAUUAAAUCUGUGGUAACGGCAUUACCAAACCAUGUGAUGUCUGUUUACCGUUUACCUAAGGCAACAACUAAAAAACUGACGACCGCGGUCGCACAAUUCUGGUGGAGCCCAGGGGGAAGGACAAGAGGUAUGCACUGGAAAUCAUGGGAUAAAGUGUGUCUUGAUAAGGAAGCUGGGGGCUUAGGUUUCAAGGAUAUUACAGAUUUUAAUACAGCAAUGCUUGGUAAACAGUUGUGGCGCUUGAUCGAGAAGCCAAAUACAUUAUUUUCCCGGGUUUUUAAGGGACGGUAUUACAGGAAUGCAUCACCCCUGGAACCGAUUCGCUCUUAUUCUCCGUCAUAUGGUUGGCGGAGUAUAGUUUCUGCUAGAUCUCUGGUAAGCAAAGGACUAAUCAAAAGGGUGGGAUCAGGAUCAUCUAUAUCUGUAUGGAACGAUCCAUGGCUCCCAACCACUCGCCCGAGACCAGCAAAUAAAAAUCAACAUAUUUUCGAUCCAAACCUCACAGUGGAUUCUCUUAUUGACUCUACUUCGCGGACAUGGAAUUCGCAUGCACUCAGGGCUAUGAUAGAUCCCCAGGAUGUAAAAAUUAUAGAAAGUAUACCACUGAGUAAAACCCAGAUGGUGGACAGGGAUGGAUGGCAUUUCACAAACAAUGGGAAGUAUACGGUUAAAUCAGGAUAUCAGAUCGAACGGGUUUAUCCAGACAGGGAAAGACCACCUUUAAAGUUUGGACCCACGGUUGAUGCUUUGAAGGCUUUCUGCUGGAAAAUACGGUGCCCCCCAAAGUUAAAACAUUUCUUAUGGCAAUUGGUUACAGGUUGUAUAGCAGUCAAGAAGAAUCUGAAAGCGAGAGGAAUACAAGGUGACACCUGCUGUGCACGUUGCGGAGCGGAGGAGGAAUCGAUCAAUCAUGUGUUUUUUGAAUGUCCUCCUGCACUUCAGGUUUGGGCUCUCUCCAAGAUACCAUCAAAUCCAACUAUGUUCCCAACGAGUUCCCUUUUUACAAAUAUGGAUCAUCUCUUCUGGAGAGUCUCUCCCCCGAUGGAGGACCAUCAAUUUGCAUGGAUACUUUGGUAUAUUUGGAAAGGAAGGAACAAUAAAGUGUUCAGUAAUAUGGACAUGGAUCCAAGAGACACGCUCAAAUUAGCAGAAACAGAGUCAACACUUUGGGCUAAUGCACAUGUAUUGACCGAGACCAGGAUAGGGUCCCAUGUUGAGGUUACGACUCUCCCAUCAAUUCCGGGGAGAUGGUGUUUUACAGAUGGUUCUUGGAAGGAGAAUGAAGUUUUCUCUGGGCAAGGUUGGCUAAGUACUUUAGAAGGCUUUGAUGGGUUGUUAGGAGCAAGGAAUGUCCGAGCUUGUCUAUCCCCUCUACAUGCGGAGAUAGAAGCACUACUUUGGGCAAUGGAAUGUAUGAAAAAUUUACGCCAGUUUCAGGUUACAUUUGCAACGGAUUGUUCUAAGUUGGUGAAGAUGGUUUCGGAACCAGAAGAAUGGCCCGCAUUUGCAAGUUAUUUGGAAGAUAUUAAGUCCCUGAAAGAGGUUUUCACACGUUCGGAGAUUAUCUAUGUACCAAGGAUGCAAAAUUCAAGAGCGGAUAGCCUAGCACGCAGUGCCAGGAAACAACCGUUGUUUGUCGUUCACAUGGAUCAAAAUCUACCGGAGUGGUUUACAGAGUCAGUAUGAGUCUGUAUUUGAUGACAAAAAAAAAAACGUAAAAUUUUAUAUUUUCAUAGAGUUUUUUUUAAAAAAAAAAAAAAAAAAAAAAAAAAGAAAUAAAAUGAUCAAAUAUAUAUAAAAAAUUAUCGAUAAUAUAUACAAAUUAUAUACAAAUAAGCUUAUCAUGCGCAUGGUGCAAGUUUUAUCCUAGUUACAUAUCGAAUGAGACGCAUUUAAUUUUGACCAUGACUAUAUAUAUCAACUUUAACUCAAUAUUUCUGAUUAAGCUCCCAAUAUAUAUUUUCAACUACCUCCAGAGUAUAUAGACUCUCAUCCCACUUAAUGAAUGUUUUUAUUUUAUUUUAUGAAGUUAAGUUUUUACCUUCUUUUUUAAAAAAAUAUCGUUCAUAAGAUGUCACGCCAGGACAUGAACUACACAUGCGUCACACAUAGCAUGCAGAUGCGGACGAUUGUUUUUGUUCGUCAUUUGUCAAUCACUUCAAACACCUAAGAGCUUCUCUUUCACAGAACACACACACACACACACAAUCAUAUGCAUGCAUUAUUACACGUGAUCGCCAUGCAAAUCUCAUUUCUCACCUAUAAAUUAACUCCUCAGCUUCACUCUUUACUCACACCAAAACUCAUCAUUACAAACAAGGUUAAACACAUACACAAAUGGCGAACAAGCUCUUCCUCGUCUCGGCAACUCUCGCCUUCUUCUUCCUUCUCACCAAUGCCUCCGUCUACAGGACGGUUGUGGAAGUCGACGAAGAUGAUGCCACAAACCCAGGCGGCCCAUUUAGGAUUCCAAAGUGUAGGAAGGAGUUUCAGCAAGCACAACACCUAAGAGCUUGCCAACAAUGGCUCCACAAGCAGGCAAUGCAGUCCGGUAGUGGUCCUAGCUUGGCCCUCGCCGGUGAGUUUGAUUUUGAAGACGACAUGGAGAACCCCCAGGGCUCACAGCAGAGGCCGCCACUACUCCAGCAGUGCUGCAACGAGCUCCACCAGGAAGAGCCACUUUGCGUUUGUCCAACCUUGAAAGGAGCAUCCAAAGCAGUUAAAUCCCGGGUUCAACAACAGGGACAAAUGCAGGGACAACAGCAGCAGCAAAUAGUGGGCCGUAUCUACCAGACCGCUAAGCACUUACCUAGAGUUUGCAACAUCCCGCAAGUUAGCGUUUGUCCCUUCCAGAAGACCACCCCUGGGCCCUACUACUAGAUUCCAACGAAACCCUCGAGAGUGUAUAUACCACGGUGAUGAGUGUGGUCGUUGAUGUAUGUUAACACUAAAAAGUCAUCGUGUGUGUUUUAUAAAUAAUGUACGUUAAAAUGUUCGAGGCUAAUGUAAUAAGAACUACUCCGUUGACGGUAAUAAAAGAGAAGUUUUUUUUAUACUGUUGCUCCAUCCUAAAAAGUGAUAAUUAACGACAGAUACGCCCAAAAAAACAAAUUAAUAUACUCACAAUGAAUCAGUAGUCUAAUGAACAUGUUAGACUAAAUGUCUAAUUAAGCCGUUUUUGCCAAAAAAAAAAGGGUUCAAAUCGUCCAUUGGGAUCAAACAAUGACUCAAUCAGGUUUGAUCAGAUACUCGAAAUCCUUUUUGAUCGCAUUCUCAUGAAUCCACUGUAAUAUAACGAUUUCCUAUGUUGUAAAGCCUCUUUAGUAGAAAAAUAACGAUAAGCAGCAAUAUAAAUGUAUUUCAGUUUAAGAUUAGCACUACAAGAAAUUUGGGUUUUAAUAGCAGACUAGUAUAGCAUUUUUUUCGAUUGUGCUAUUGUUGACAUACCUCUUACUUUUAGAUAGCGUUUGUGAAAAUGCAAAUACUAUCUUUGGUUGGUCCGAUUUUAGGAGGAACCCCUAUCCCGGAGCCAAUCCCCUAUUGGUCCUGCGUAAAUGUUUUUUCUAAACCUAGUAUACAUAGCAUUUUCAGUUUUGAAACGCAAUGCAUAAUUAAAAUAAUUGAUUUUUCCUUUCACCCUUGUUUCGCUUUCCUACUCACUAUAUUUUAUUUGCCUCCAAAAACCUUAACACUAAAUUUAAACCCUAAAGUUUUAACACAAUCCCUAAACUCUAAAUAAACUUUAAAUUCUAAAAUUUUAACAUUAAAUCUUAAAUUUAACUUCAUAUCUUAAAUAUAAACUAAAAAAUUACUAUUUUCAAAAGUUAAUCUCAAAUCUUAAAUCAAUACUCCAAACCCUUAACCCUCAAACCCUAUACUCAAAACUUUAUUCUAAACUCCAAACUUUAAAUCUAAAUUCAUAUCAAACUUUUCUAAAAUUUAAUACACUACAAUUUUUAACUACAUGCUAGUCUUAACUUAUAUAUAUAUAUAUAUGUGUAUUUUGCAAAUCUUGAAUUUUGGAGUUUAGGGUAUGUUUAGAGUUAAGAUCUAAAUUUAAAUCUGAAAAAAUUCAAGUUUUUAGAACUAUGUACAUAUCUACUUUAAAUGAAUUAAACAUAGAAUUUUAAUCAAACUUAUAAUAAACAUUAAAAUUAAAGAAAGAUUAGAAACAAAAAAAAUCUGUCGAUGUACAACAAGAUAUAGAACCAAAAUACUACCAAAAUAAACUUUACUGUCCAAAGUGAAAAUAAAGUAAAACAACUAAAAGAAAAAAUUCCUAUUGGUUAGUUCAUAAGCACAAGGAUUGAGCUUUUCACCGUCAGAUGACGGGAUCCUCAUCCAAUGGACCAAAAUUAUUUUUUUAUUCAGUUCUGGAAUUUUUUGAGCAAACAGAUCUCAUAUCUUUCGACACAUUCUCUUAGACAACUUCAUCUCCUCAUCUCUUUCUCCUUAGGCUUUAUUCACUACUAGCCCCCUCAUUCUCUUUGCCAAUCUCUGCUCCAUUUCUCUCUACCCUCGCGAGAUCUCUGCUCCAUGACUCAUCUUCUCUCCCUUUGUCGAUUUAUCUUUUCUUCAUCUUCUUCUCUCUUAUCAAGAAUACUAGAUCUAGAAGCAGAGGCUAAGCAUCGAUGUUUCUCACGAUACUGACAAAUCUCAUUCCGCCGCGAGACGCGGCUGAGGUGGUCGACGACUCCGACACUCGCGGUACUCUCUCUCUCUCUCUCUCUCUCUCUCUAUGUUGAAUAUGACUUUUUUGUUUGUUAAGGUGGUCGCGAGCAGAGAUGGUGGUGCGGCGGGUGAGGACUGGAAGAUGAAGAAGACAACGAAGUGCAUGGAUUGAUGCGACAACGAAGCGCAUGGAAGAACACAACGACGAAGGUGGUGGUGCGAUGGGUGAGGAUUGGAAGAUGAAGACUACAACGAAGGUGGUUGUGCGGCGGAGUUUAGUUAGUAAUUAGGUUAAAGCUUAGUUUAGCUUUUGGUUUAUUAUUUAAUUAGAUUUAUUUUUAUAUUUUUGUAAUCCAAUUUAAUUAUAAAUCAAUUUAAGUAAUAAAGAAAUUUUAAAUCUAUGAAUUAAUUUUAAUUAUGUUUUUAUUUUUAAAUAAUUUACUAAAAAUAAAUAUAAAAUAAAUAAUUUUAAUAUAAAUAAUAACAAAAAACAAACACUAUUAAAAAAUGUUUAAUUGCAUACAAAAAAAUGCUAUAAUAUAUGACAAUAAGAUAGCAUCACGAAAAACCGCUAUCUAAUGUGCUUGACCUACUAUGACGGACGAUGAUACAGCGCUUCAUAAACCGCUAUCGUAUCAUUAGAUAGCGUUUUUCGCCCGCUAAGAAAAACUUUUUUUCUUGUAGUGAUAUAGUUGUUUUCAUCACAGCAUAGCAUGAUAAAAAAUGAUCACUUAACAAAUAUAAUGAUUUUGUUUAUCUAAUGCUUGUCUAUUCAAGAUUUAGAACAUUAAUGUGAUGUUUUGUCCACACAUUGAUAACGCAGACACACUUAAGGUUAACUAGAGAUUGAUCCGCACAUCUGCGCGGAUAUUGAUUCUUACAUUUUUAUACAUUGAUAUUUAUUUUUCAUAAUUAAUGUUAUAUAUUUUACAUGGGUCUUAAUAUAACUAAUUGUAUUCAAAUGAUCUAGACCGAAUAGGGUAAUAUUGUUAUUUUUGGUACAAAUAUCCUAAUCGAUUUCAGAUACAUUUGUAAUUUAGAUAUUUUUAGGUUUAUAUACAUCAUUACCAAACUCAUCCAUACCGAGAAGAACCCAACUCAAAAUCCACACAUAAAUUUAUAAUCAAGUGGGACCUAAUUUCAAAAAAAAGCGAUACCCGAAAAGAACAGCCCGUACUUAAUUGGAUAGCCAAUGUUCAUGCGUUACUGAUUUUAUAAACUAAUAAAAAUGACUCUAACUGAUUUUAUAAACUAAUAAAAAUGAUUAUUUCUAUGUGUUUGGUUAAAUUAAGUGAAAUAGAAAGAGUUUUUUAUUUAGUAAAAUAAUUAUAUGGAUUGAAAAAUUAAGUGAUAAAAAAUGUAAUACAUUUUUAUUACAUUGAUUUAAGUUAUUAUUUUAUUCAUAAAAACAUGUCUUUGAAUUAUUUUUUGGCUUCGUAAUUUUCCACCGAUUGAAACUAAAAUAAAUAAAUAAAUUUUAAUAAAACAAACUAAACCGAAAGUUUAAACAUAUGAAAAACUCAGUUAUUUUACAUUUUUGAUUUUAUAAUUGGCACAAAAUUAAUAUUAAUUAACUAAUAAAUAAAAAUCUGCUAUAUUAUUAUUAUGGUAAUAUAAUUAAUGAUGUGAUGUAUUGAUAAGAUAAUAUAAUUAAUGAAAUUGUUAAACUGAGUGAAAUAUGGAAAGACAAUUAAUGUAAUUAUAUUAAUGAAACUAAUAAAAAGACAUUAUACUUCUUUUUUAUACUAUUAUCCAUGUUUUCAAAAAAUUCUUAUUUAUAAUGAUAUUCAUGUUUUCAAACAAUAUCAAAUAGAUACUUCAAUUUUAAUAAUAACUAGAUCUUGAUCCGUGCGUCCGUACGGGUGUUUGCUUUAAUUUGUAAGAACAUUAUAAAAUUCAUAACUAUUUUAAAAAUUAUGGUAUCGUUAUAUAUUAAAGUUUGACUAUUAUUGUAUUUGUAAUAUGAAUAAAGGAAUACUAAUACAUUCAUAUAUUAAUAUUUUUGUUUCAUUGUUUAUUUGAUAUUAUAACCCAAAUAUUAUAGUUAUUUAUAGUAUUGUAUAUUUAAUUCUAUUUCGGUGGUCCAUAAAAAAAUUAGAAAGAAUGUUUACUCAAUCUAUUAGAUCCUUCGUAUUGUAUUUUUUUAUAUAUAUAUUGAAAACAAUUUUAUAAUGGUUGUUGAAAAAUAAAUUUGUAAAAAUUAAAUUUUGAAUACAUGUAUAUUUUUGAAUCAAUUUUUGUUUUGAAUUUUGUUUAAUGAUUAAUUUAGAAAAAUAUGUUUUUAGUUAAUUAGAUUCGAUCAGUUGCACAAAAAAAAGUAAUUAGAUUGAGUCAUUUUUGAAAUCUGGUCGAAACAGAUAAUUUAUAAAAAUAUAAUGGACAUCAAUUUUUUUAAUAACAUAAACCCAUUAUUUUUUUUAAUAUACUGUUAUUCAUAUUUUCACACAACAUUAUAUUUCUUUUUAAUUAUGUUAUUCUUGUUUCCAAGCAUUUCCAAAGGUACUUCUACUUUAAUAAGAUAAAAGAUAUAAUAUUGCAAAAAUAUGUUGUUAUUUAUUUUUUCAUGUCACUAUUAAAUAUAAUAUAUGUCUCAUCAUAUAAUUAAUCGUGUUUUUUACCUACCAUCAUAUAAGUAAUCAUAUAAUUAAUAGUAUUUUAUAUGUAUCAUCAUAUAAAUAAUUAUAAAUAUUAUAUUUUUAAAACUUAAUAUGAAAUAUAAAAAUCAUAAUUUACGUUGGUGAUUGAAAUUGCUUUGUAUUGAAUUUUUCUUAAAUAAUUUAAAACAUUUUUAUAAUGGUUAUAAAAAACAUUUUAGUAAAAUAAAUUUUUGAGUAUAUGUAUAUUUUUGAAUCAAUUUUUGAGAUAAAUUAAUUUUAAAUUAAUAUUUUGAUUUGAAAUAUGUCUAUAAAAUUUAAAUUUUGUUUUAUGAUUAUUUUAGACAAAAAUAUUUUUAAGUAAUUAGAUUGGGCUAGCCAUUUUCGUAUAUUUUAAAGCUGACUCAUAUAUAUUGUUUUCAUAAUAUAAUGAAUUCCCAAUUUUUCUUGAUAACGUAAGCCCUUUACUUUUUUUCUUUAAUAUAUUGUUAUUCAUGUUUCCAAACAACACUAUAUAUUUUUUUAACUUCUAUCUUCUUUUUUUGUCAUCAACGUAUAUACAUACUCAUACAGACUCUGUGAACCAAGCCGGGAGAUGUUGAUCCAUGUGAACGACGAAAGACGGUUGCUUUCUGACACUACGUGCUAGGCUAUCCGCCUUUGUAUUUUGCGUUCUUGGUACAUGGACAAUCUCUGAUCGGAGAAAACUUUCUUUCAGGAAUUUAAUAUCUUCUAAAUAACUUGCAAAAUCUGGUCAUUUUUCUGAUUCCAAAACCAUCUUCACCAAUUGAGAACAAUCCAUUGCAAACGUAACCUGAAAUUGACGUAAAUUCCUCAUACAUUCCAUUGCCUAGAGUAGUGCUUCCAUCUCCGCAUAGAGAGGAGAUAGACUAGCCCGAACAUUCCUCGCCCUCAUCUGCCCAUCAAAACCUUCUAAAGUACUGAACCAACCAUGUCCGGAGAAAACGUCUUUCUCUUUUCAGGAACCAUCUGUGAAACACCAUCUACCUGGAAUUAACGGUAAUGACUAACCUCUACCUGUGAUACUAUCCUCUGUUUCUUUGCUAUAUGCGCUUCAGUCCAAAGUGUGGACUAUGUUUCUGCUAAUUUUAAAUUCUAUCUAUGUUACCAAACAAAAACUUAAAGUACUUCUACUUUAAUAAGAUAGAUAUAAUAUAGAUAUAAGUUAUAUAAAGAUUAAGCACCAACAUUAAGUCAAGUAGUGACCACGUUUAGGUUUCAAGACAACUUCUUCUCUUGUUUCUGGCCUUGGAGGAGAAAAUCACAUCCAAGACUCAAGCGAUAAUUCAACCGCACCGCAGUACCUGCAAAAUAUGUAGAGUUAUUCUUGGGUUCACCCUCAAGAGGUUCACCAACUAAUAGGAUUUCAUUAUUUUAAAUUCGAUAUUUUUUAGAAAAGAAAACAAAAUAUUAUCAGGUUAUAUUAUAUUUUUAAAAUAAAAAAUAGUAGUUACAGAAAAAAAAUUUAAAAAAAUAUUUUUGACGUCGUCAGCAAAACAUUAAACCCUAAAUUCUAAUCCCUAAACUCUAAAUCCGAAACUCUAAACCCUUGGAUAAAUUAUAAACUCUAAAUCAAAAACAAUAAACACUAAAACCCUAAACCAUAAAUCCUAAACCCUAAACCUUUGAGCGUUUUAGUGUUUAAUAUUUUUGAUUUAGAGUUUAGGAUUUAUCCAAGGGUUUAAGAUUUACCCAAGGGUUUAGGUUUUAGGAUUUGGGGUUUAAGGAUUAGGAUUUAGUUUUUUCUUGACGAUGUUAAAAGUAUUUUUUUUGUAAUUACUACUAUUUUUAAUUUAUUUUUUAUUUUAAAUAUAUAAUAUAACCUGAUAAUACUUUGUUUCUUUUAAUAAAAGAUAUCGAAUUUGAAAUAACACAAUCCUAUUGGUUGGUGAACCUAGAGGUUCGCCCUAGGGGGCGAACCCAAGAAUAAGUCAAAUAUGUAUAUAGACUUUCGUCCCAUUUUAAACCAACUUAAUAAGGGUUUUCUAUUUUAUGAAGUAAUUUUUUACUAGAGGUGGGUAUUUGGAUAUCCGUUCGGGUUUGAUUUUGUAUUUAUUCGAGUUUUAAAUUUUUGGAGUUAGAAAGUUAAACUUCACUCGGGUAUUUAUACAUUUUGGUUUGAAUUUAUAUAAGAUUUUUGCGGGUUUGGUUCCGGUUCAGUAUCCAUUUAAAUUACUUUAAUAAAAUAAAAAAUAUAUACUUAAAAAUUCUAAAAGUCCAAAAAUAAAAUAACAUAUAGCAUAUAAGUUUGAAUAGUUUAUGUCUUAAUAUCUAAAUUAAAAUAAAAUUGUUUUGUUAUUGACAUUUGGAAGGAAAAAUUGUUACGUAUUUUGAGUACUUUUGGUAUUUUGAAUAUAUUUUAGCCAUUUUGGAUUUUGGCUGCUUGUAUAUAUUUCUAGGUAUUUUAGACACUUUCAAAAAUGUAUAGUUUUAGAUAUUAGAUUUAAAAAAUUAAUGUAUUUAGAUAAAUAAUAUAUAUUUGGAUAUUUUUGGAUACCUAAAAUAUUUCAGUUCAGAUAAGUUUGGUUUCGAGUUCUUCAAAUACCAAAAUUUUGACUUCAUCUGGAUAUUUAAUCAGAUUCGGUUCAGGUAUAGUAUUACUUUUCAGAUAAAUUUCGAUUCAGUUCUUCGGGUCUGGGCAUUUUGCCCAGCACUAGUUUUUACCUUCCUUUUUAAAAUAAUCGUUCAUAAGAUAUCAUGCGAGGACAUGAGCUACACAUAACAUGCAGAUGCGGAUGACUGUUUUUGUUCGUCACUUGUCACUCACUUCACAGCGAUACACACACAUGCAUGCAUUAUUACACGUGAUCGCCAUGCAAAUCUCCAUUCUCACCUAUAAAUUACGUCCUCAGCUUCACACUUUACUCAAAUCAAAAUCAUCAUAAUUACAAACAAGGUUAAAAACAUACACAAAUGGCGAACAAGCUCUUCCUCGUCUCGGCAACUCUCGCCUUCUUCUUCCUUCUCACCAAUGCCUCCGUCUACAGGACGGUUGUGGAAGUCGACGAAGAUGAUGCCACAAACCCAGCCGGUCCAUUUAGGAUUCCAAAAUGUAGGAAGGAGUUUCAGCAAGCACAACACCUAAGAGCUUGCCAGCAAUGGCUCCACAAGCAGGCAAUGCAGUCUGGUAGUGGUCCAAGCUGGACCCUCGACGGUGAAUUUGAUUUUGAAGACGACAUGGAGAACCCCCAGGGCCCACAACAGAGGCCCCCGCUACUCCAGCAGUGCUGCAACGAGCUCCAUCAGGAAGAGCCACUUUGCGUUUGCCCAACCUUGAAAGGAGCAUCCAAAGCCGUUAAACAACAGGUUCGACAACAGGGACAACAGCAGGGACAGCAGGGACAGCAGCUGCAGCAAGUAAUUAGCCGUAUCUACCAGACCGCUACGCACUUACCUAGAGUUUGCAACAUCCCGCAAGUUAGCAUUUGUCCCUUCCAGAAGACCACGCCUGGGCCCUACUACUAGAUUCCAAACGAAAUCCUCGGGAAUGUAUAUACCGCGGUGAUGAAUGUGGUUGUUGAUGUAUGUUAACACUUCAUAGUCAUGGUGUGUGUUCCAUAAAUAAUGUACGUUAAAAUGUUCGAGGCUAAUGUAAUAAGAACUACUCCGUUGACGGUAAUAAAAGAGAAGUUUUUUUAUACUGUUGCUACUUCAUAAAAAGUGAUAAUUAACGACAGAUACGACCCAAAGAAAAACAAAUUAAUCUUAUCCAAAAUGAAGCAGUUGUCUAAUGAACAUAUGAUAGACUAAAAGUCUUAUUAAGCCUUCAAGACCAACUAUAAACUAUCAUCUAUUGGGAUCAAACAAUGACUCAAAUCUGGUUUGAUCAGAUACUCAAACUCUUUUUGAUCGCAGUCUCAUGUAUCCACUAUAAUAUAACGAUUUCCUAUGUUUUAAAGCCUCUUUAGUAGAAAAACAACGUUGAGCAGUAAUAUAAAUGUAUUCAGUUUAAGACUAAAUGGUGUCAUCACAGCCAUAGUACAUGAUAGAAACGGAUCACUUAACAAAUAUAGUAUGAUUUUUGAUUAAAAACAAUAAAACAAAAACAAAAACAUAUAUAGUAUGAUUAAUGUAAUAUUGUUUAUCUAAUGCUUGUCUAUUCAAGAUUUCAGAACAUAAUAUAUGAUUUUGUCCACACAGACAAAACAGACACACUUAAGGUUAAUACAAGUUAUAUACAGAUUAAGCACCAACAUCAAGUCAAGUAGUAACCACGUUUAGGGUAUCAACAUAACUUCUUCUCUCUUGUUUUUGGAUUUGGAGGAGAAAAUCUCAUCCAAGACUAAGACGAUUAUCCAACGGCCUGUUGUUAACUUGACGGUGUGCAGUUCCAAUCUCACAAGCAUUCACUCUUGCUGCGAAUCUGAGGGAGCACAAAGACUCACCAGUCGAGGAAGGUUCCGGUGUGAUGUUAACAAACAUUAGCGUCUUCGAGUCGCCACCUAAGCAAGGCUGAUAACAGAAUUCGACAAAAUAUCAUUUCUGUUCGAACAUAUGAUAAGAUGGUGAAAUGAUCAUGUAAUUUUGUUUCUUUACCUGAAGAAGAUAAGUGAGCUUCGAGUUUCUGAAGGGUACGUGAUCUUCUUUCUUGGCUAAGGCGAAUAUGACAUCGCCUAGAGACGAUAAACUCUUGUUGAUUGCCUGAACAAGAAGAAAAGAAUCAUUAUUCAUGAGGUGCCUCUAAAGAAUGUGUUGUGUUAUUCAUUUUCUUAAGAUAUUUACUUGAGUUUCUUUUAGUCUAUCACCGGUUGAUCCACUCUUAGAUAAACGCUCACUACCGGCAAGAUCAAUCAAGUUCAAGACACCUUGUACUUGUUGUUCUGUGCUCUGUAAGAAAAAAAAAAAAAAAAAAAGAAAAAGGAUUUGGUUUAGGUGAAACCUCUCAUGUUGUUCUAGUAAGAAACUCAAUUAGUACCUCGUUAAAACCAGUGAUUCUUAAGGUGAAAACGAAAUGGCUUCUAGAUGAUUGCUCAUUCAUCGCUGUCUUCCCUACAGACCUGUACAGAAUUUAAAGAAACAGUUUGCAUCAUUAGCAGCUUCACUCAAAGAUGAACAAUUCUUCAAAACAGAUACUUGCCUGUUCCGAGCUGCAUGAUCUAAGAGAAAGGAAACCUCUCUGCUGCUUCUAACAUCAACAACAGUAAGUUCCACAACAUGUGUGUUCCCACUAGCAUCAUGUUUGAUUGCAUACUUCUGAGGAGAAACGCCAUUGUCUGCUCUCACAGCUUCCUUGUUUGUUGACAAGAGAUCUCUAAUUGUUUCGUUGUAUAUUUCCAACAUAGACACCUAUCAUAUAAACACAUAACAGAAUCAAUAUGUACACUAUCUAUCUCUAAGUCCCUAGGAGAUUUGUUACCUGCAACUCAUACUUCCAACCCUGUGAUCGAAGAGACUGCCUCGUUUGAAAUAUUUGCUCCAAACAUCGAGGAAUCAGUCCUUUUUCCUCAGGGUUCCCUGGCCUGCCCAUCAUUGUAUAUGUUUUUCCAGAUCCCGUUUGUCCAUAUGCGAAAAUGCAAACCUGAAAAUGUUUUAAUAUCAGCCUCAGUCCAAGAAUAUACAAUGAAACAUAGCAUUAUUAUUAUUUUUAUUAUUAUUCUGUAGCUUGAUUAACUUGUUUGACAGUAUAUGAAAAUGAGCAGAUAGAGAAUAUAUAAGUACCUUGUAACCAUCAAGAGCACUCUGAACAAGCUGAGAAAUCUCUACAAAGAUAUCUUCUUGUGAUGCAUUAGGUACAAAAACCUUAUCAAAUGUGAAACAAUGCUUUUGUCCUGUCCAUAGCAGAACAUCAAAUGAGUCUCUUUCUUCUUUUGUUAUUUCAAGAAUCAAAUUUUAUCAUUACCAUUUUGCAUCAAGUCAAUGCCACGACCAAGUGCUUCCAGAGAUGUAGGGUAGGAAAUGGUUUUGGCCUCCUCACUAGAAUUCUCACCCGUUAAUAGAGGUCUAACCCUACAGAAUACGCGUAUGUUUCCCUUCAGCUCCUGCAACAUUUAAAUGUUUUCAGAAUCAGCCAAGUUAACUCAACAUUACACACAAGGGAAAUGGACAAAAUUUUUAACCUGUAUGGUAUUGUGCAACUUCUUCCGUAGCUUUUCUCCUUCGAUGAGUUUAAGUUCAGCUUUUUCUAAGCGAGCUUUCAGCUCCAUAAUGCUUUCCUUUUGCUCUUCAAACUCGUUCAUUUUCUCAAAGGUUGACAAAUCCGCAACCUAACCAAACAUGAACAAAUACGAAAUAAGAAUGUAAAACAUUUUCAUAUAAAUAUUCAUUUAAAUGUGUUGAACUCAAGAAUGUGAUGAGACCUGCAGUUUCCUCUCAGAAGCUGCUAAUUGAUCUUGUAGCUCUUGUAGCUCCUUAUUUUGAGAAGAACACUUACUCUAUAGAAAACGAGAACACAUAAUCAUUUAGAUACUUUUUUGGAACAUACAGGAGUGCAGUCAAGGAUGAAAAUAAACCUCAAGCUCAUUUAUGGUUCCUUUGAAGUCAUUUUGCUUGGUCGCUUCAGCUUGCAGAUUUUUAACUUCUGUAAUAUGGCGGUCACGGUCAUCCUUGACCUGCUGAAUCUCCACCUUGAGACUAACAAUUUCGUUCACCAAUUCAUCUUUUUGCUUCAUGAUAUCUUCUUGAGACACCUAAGGAAAAACAAGACACACACAGGUCAUACCAUGAUCUAACAAAGAGCUUUCUCUCUUUGAUUGAAUAAACUGCAGAUUCAAAUCACCUUUGAGGCAGCAAGCUGAUCCUGCAGUGCUUUGAACUGACCCUUUAAGUUGCCAAUGUUUUCUACAAUGCCGGUCCGUUCUUUCUCUCCUCGCUUUAUAGUUUCAUGGGCUUCAUCAAGAUCACCUUGGAUCUUGCUAUUGUAUAGUUGCAAGCUGGAGUUAUACUCUUGCAAGAGUUUGUACAUGUCAUUCACAGCUUGAAUCUGAAACACAGAAGAAAAAAAACAUUCAGUGUCAGCUAUAACAAACCAUUUCUCAAUUCGAAACUUUCAGAGAUUCCUCACCCUUUGGUUAGCUGUUUGAAGGUCUCCUUGCGUUUUCCCCAGCUCUUCUGUGAGAGCAGCUUGCAACUUCUCAACCGCAAGUCUUGCUUCUUUCUCUUUUUCAAGCGAACCAGUUGCAGCCUUAACAAGAACAAAACCAACUUAGAAAACCACAAAAGACGAACUUUUAACCAGAAUCUAGACAUUUCUUACCAAUUUCUCAGCUUGUUCUUUGGCAAGUUGCACCUGAACAGAAGAAAAAUUCUUCCUCAGCUCAUGGAUAACCAAGUUCAGCUCUACUUCCUUCUCUUUCAAACUAACCUCUGCAAGCAAAUGCAUUCACGUUAAGUUUUCUUUUUUUUUGUUAAAUCCCAAAUGUCCAUAAUAAGAACCAGCUCUGUAACACACCCAAGUCUGCACAAUGCUUCUCGUUCAACCCCAUAGCGUUCUUCAACUUCUCUUGCUCAAACGCAUAGUCUAACUCAAGCUCUUGAAACCAUCGAAUGCAAAGCCUAAGCCUUUUCACAUAGUCCAUAGUAUUCUCGCAUCUCUCCUGCAAAACCAAGCAUAACACUUAUAGAUUAAGCAACUAACAAUGUCGAGACUAAACUACAAAAAAAGGAAAACUCUUUUGAUAGAUAGACUUGUUCUAGUAAAAUUGCAUGAAACUGAGAGAUCUAAGAAAGAGAGAGAGAGAGAGAGAGACCUUGUAGUUGUACUUGCUCUUGUACUUGAUUCGCUCAUGAAGAAAGAGCGUCAACGUCUUCUCUGGUGAACUCAACGGGACCAUACUCAGAUCCUUCAGUGCUCGUCAGAUCUCUAGCUCCCGGAAACGAUUGCCGGAUUCUUCCACCGUUGGUCAUCUCCCCAAACAUUUUUUAUUUAUUUAUUUUCAGAGACUUGAGCUAAGAAAACAAACACUAUCAGUGAAUAACAAGCUAUAAUAAAGACUGAAGCUUUCGGUAAAUGGUAGACAAAUUCCAGAUUUUUAGAGUUUUUUUUCAGAGAAGAACAUGCAGACAGAGAUUAGAAAGGAAAGAGAAAGACCUUUUGUUGUAAUAAUGGGUUAAGCUUUAAGUUGUCGUAAGUCACCGUUCUGUUGUUCCCCCGUCGCUCUCGCCGGUGGCUACUUCUAUUUCUGUUGUUGUUUGGAGAGAGAGAGAGAGUGUGAUGAAUGUGGGGCCGUUGAUUGGAUCUUAAUUCACCGAGCUUAUGCGAUCACAUCCGUUGCUUUAUUUAUUGCUUUUUAACAUUUUUUACGAAAUAAAUAUUGAAUAUUUUAAUUUAAAUCGUAGAGAAAAUUUAAUUGAUUUUGUUUUUAAUUGGAGGAGGUAAAGCAAAUUUAUUUUUUUGUGAACUUGUCUCUUCGAAAAACUCGGAAAAGGUCAAGCGGAUCCAUUGUAUUUGUAUGUUUUUCCCCUAUUCCCAAGUGUUAUAUUCCAGUUUUUAAGAGUCCUUUUCUAUGAAAAUCUGCUAGUUUAAAAAAAUAAAAGUUGGUAUUGAUGAAUUCAAUGUAUUAACCACUAACUAACGUUAUGUAAUUCAGCUGCAACUAGAUAACUCUUGGAAUUUCAGAUAUGAGUAGAUAUUGCACUUAUUAGUUCAUGUACAACGUGUAUAGGUGACAACUCUAAAUCUAAUAUUAUCGGUUCAUUUGGAUGAAAGAAUCUAACGUUUCUUGAGCUAUAGAUUUUAUUACAUAGUAGUAGUUGGAAAAGUUAUAAUUUCGUCAAAAGAAAAGUUAAAAAGUUAUGCUAUAUAGUACGUACGCACAACAAGAAGUCUUCAUUCUUUUUUAUAUAGCAUAAAAGUUUGAUAUUUUAAUUGGUUAAUACUUAAUACCACUACUUUACAGGAAAAAUUCACAGAGUGAAACAUGAAUGUGACAUCAAUAAACGAUUAUGAAGAAAAGCUAACAGCAGGUGUCGGUAAAAUACUAUACGUCGGCAACAUGGCGUUUCAGACGACAGAUUCCUUUCAGAAAAGUUGAUUAUUUUAGAUUUACCUGAAUUACCCUUUUCUUUGAUCCAAAACUACAAGGCUUGUUCACGCUCAUGGGCCUGGAGGUUAUGGGCCAAACUGUCCAGUUACAUAAUUUUCUCUUUUUUUUGGAAAACAAUUUCUCAGUUUUAGUAUAAUACGGUGAAAACCAUCCAGAGUAUUGAAAUGUGUCUAUAACUACAUGAUAUAUAUGAUAAUAUAUGUCACAUGUACAAAGUAAAUAAAUAUAUGGUGCCAACAUCCCAAUUGGUUUUAAUUGAAUUUAAUGAAACAUUUUGGAGUCAAUUCGUAAUUAAGAAACUUAACUCCGAUUAAGGCAAAACCCGAGCCAACUCCUUCACCCGCGACUCGUGUCUUGUUACUUCUCUUGUUUCAAUCCCCAAUUUCGAAGAUUAGGGUUCAUAUCUGGAAAAUAAGAUCUAUUUCAAACAGAGAGAGAAAGAGAGAUGGAAUUGGGUGGCGGAUCCAACAAUAGGCGACGAAGCAAGGCAAUUGCAGGCAGUGUGCUUUCUUUUUGUGGGCUACCGGCAAAGAUAUCUCAAGCUUGGACUGACAAAAAUCCGGGUCAAAGGUUCUAUGGAUGUGAACGAUACAAGGUACAACAAUUGUGCUUUCUGAUAUGUUGAAUUAAAGUGUUCCUUACUAAAUUCUUAAUUUCGUUUUCGUUAGCGGAAAGGUGAAUGCAAUUUUUUUCAGUGGUUUGAUUAGGAAGAAGCUUUUGGAUGGCAAAAAUAAGCUUUGAUUGAAGUGAGAAACCAAAUUCGCAAGAAGGACAAGAUUAUUGCGGAACUGAAAGUGACAAUUUCUGAGCUUCGAAGUGAUUUGGUCAAGAAAGAAGAGGCAGAAAAAGACAUCAUUAACAGCUUUCUUAAGCGAUAAAUCUUUCUUAUUAUGAUGCUUUAGACAUGUAUUGUCCUUAUAAAUCUUUGUAAUGGUUUGAACAUCUUUGUAAUGCUUUGAACAUCAAGUGGUAUUUCAUUAAAAAUAGAGUUUCAUCUCAUUAGUUUUAAACAUUCAUCAUACAUAAACAUUCAAAAAAGGCGAUUCAUCAUAAAUAAACAUUCAAAAUAAAGACAUAUCUGAGUAAUGCCGUAGAAGUUCAAAAAAGACAUAGCAUAGACAAAUUAAGCUUGUGUAGCAGGUGGUGCAGUUGAGGAAACGUCCUCAAUUGCUUGUUCCUGAGCUGCUUGUUCCAUGUUGAGGCGCCUACGCUUUCUGCUUUCUUCAGACUGCAAGAAAAUUGAAUAAAUCAAACACAACAAAGACAAAAGAUUGACAAUUUCAAAUGAAAUAUACCUCAAGAGGACACUUCCUUGAGUUGUGGCCUUCACCACCACAUAGACCACAAUGACCUAUUCUUCCUUUUCGAUCAACUUUGGUCGCAUUUUUCUUGGGAGAUUCAUUCAUUCCUUUGAUCCUUGCCUUCCCUUUUGGUCUUCCAGGAGGUCUCUUGUAUGGCGGUGCUUCAAUACGGUCUGCACCAGAUUUCUUCUAAAACUUUGGGCCAUUGACAGGACUCAACCCAUUCAUGUACAGACCUUGCCACUUCGAUGUCAGAUAAUAAUCUGAAAUAAAAUCUUCAACCUCGAGACCGUUCUCACGGAUAACAGAUACAACAUGGCGACAUGGAAUUCCAGAUAAGUCCCAUUUCCUACAAGCGUAGCUACGAGAUGGCAAAUUCACACUGUAACCAUUUUCAAAUUCAACACACUCAUAAUCACCACUUGUGCUAGGCAAAGAAUAACAAUGCUUAGCUUCAUCACAAUACUUUUCAACCUCCUUUCUCGCCUUCUUUGUAACGAGACCCGUCUCAUUUUUCGCUGUCUUACAUCUAGUAGCUAUCCGCUGCAUUGCAUCUCUUCUAAUCAACUCAAGCAUCUGAAUGAAAGGCUUCUUUCUUGCUAUCUUCGAAGUUCUAUUGAAAGACGCAGUGAAGUUGUUGUGUGUAUCAGAACAACACGAACCUAUCCGGAAAAAAGCCCUGCACCAAGUAGAAAGAUCCUUCUUCAAAAGCUCGUCAGCUGCUAAUGGAUCAAACUGUUUGAAAACAUCCAAACUCUUCUCAUAGUAUGCCUCAUUGUAGCUACAUGCAAUACGCCAGAAGAGUGGCUUCAGUGUAUCAGACUUAUGAUUCUUCUUCAGAUUAGAAUAAAUGUGCCUAGCACAAGCUCUAUGUUCAGCUCUUGGCAACUCAACUGUAACUCCAUGAAUCAAUCCCUUAUGCUGAUCUGAAAUGAUUGUCACAAGAUCACCCAUGCCUAAACCCAAAUCAAUCUUCAACCUGUGAAUAAACCAUUGCCAAUUAUCAUUGCUCUCAGAGUUGACCACAGCCCAUGCUAUUUGACAUAUCUGGUUAUUGGGAUCCCUUCCUAUUGCAAUGAGAAUCAGUCCUUGAAGAGAGCUGUGUUUGAGGAAUGUCCCAUCUAAUCCAAUAACCGGCCUGCAAUAUUCCUUCCAUGCCACACGAAUUUGGUGAAAGCAGAUAUACAUGGAGUGGAAUGCUUUCGCUCCAUUUGGUUUUGUUGUUGUAUUGAUCUUUAUUUUGCUAUCAGGAUUUGAACUGCAUUUGAAAAAAAUAAAUGAAAACAUUUAGCUUAUCAAGAACAAUAUUAAGAAACAGUUACUCAUAAGUAUAUUUAAAUAAAAAUAUUACCGUAAUAGUUCCAUCUCAUAGUCAUUUAGCCUUGCAAAAUGCUCAUUGCACUCGGCCUGUAGCUUAUCAAGAACAAUACGCCUCGCAAUCUUGGCCUGCUCGGGAGAGAUUAUGAUGUUGAACUUAUCCCUAAACUCUUCUCUAAUCAUUGGAGCACUCAUUUCAGAUUCCUUCCUGAUUUUCUCCAACAUAACUUCAGCAAUGGCAGGGCUUUUGAUGAGUUUACUUUUCCCUGUGGGAUGGCACGUAUGUGUGUUAACAUACACUUUCACCAUCCAUUUCUUGAUGGGUCUCUCUAAUGAGCAGUAUAUACGCCACACACAUCCUUUACCACCACAUUUAGCACCAAUCUUUGUCUUCUCCCAUCUGCUGAAGACUAUAUUUCUUCUCGUUUUCAGAAUAUAUUUGAUCACUUGCUUCUUGAACUCUUCACCGCUGUAAAAGGUCUGCCUAAGACUAAAAACACCAUCUAAUUCACCCCUAUUAGCCAUCCUCUCAGCUUGUUCCUCUUCAUCAUCAGAUAACUCCUCCGUGUCAGGAUAUACCUCCUCCUCGUCUGGAAUCUCCUCAUCAUAGUUCUCAUCCCUAAACAUCUCAACAUCCUCUUCAAAAUUUCUGUCAAUAUCCUCUUCUUUAUCAGAUUCAUCACUCGCUUGAUACUCAUCUUCACUCUCUCCUCCUUCAUGAUCACCAUCAGAAUUAUCAUCUUGUUGCUCAACAUCCAACUAGUCACCAUCAACAGGUUCGUUCCCAGUCACUGCAUCCACCACAACACCAUCACCAGUAAGAACAUCAGUUUCAGGUUUCUCUAUGAAGACAUCAAGCUCCUCGUACCAACGACCAUUAGAACUCAUCUUCUUUUUGGUUUUCUCGUCUCUUCAAGCAACUCCUUCUUCUCUGAUAUAUCCUCAAAUGGUAACUUGUACCACAUUCUCCCCACUCUAACUAUCUUAACAAUGAUCUUCCGAACUUCCUCAUAAGCAGCAUCACCAUUGACUUCAAACUGCUCCAAAAGACCAUCGACAUAAUUUAGCUUCCCAUCUUCAGCUUUGAACACACCCGAGUGGAAGCCGUUAAUCUUCACUGAUAUUGAAUCACUAUUAUCAAAAAAAUAUCAUUAGAACAUCGUAAAGACAUCGAUUGAUUCCAAUCAUCGAAGUAAACAAGCAAGGGUUCAAAGAUUCUUACCUCGUCGUCGCCAUAUUUCUUCUUUUAGCUCAUUCGGAUUCGAUUAGACCAAAACUCAAUCGAUUAGACCAAACCCAGUUACAAUCACUCUCUCUGACUCUGAAAUCUCUCUCAGUUUCUAUCUUCUUCGAAAUCUCCAAUUUUUUUCGGGUUGGAACCCUAAGGAAAUCGAUUUGGGGGAAAAUGGUUGUGUCGAGUCGGGUUUACGCAUUGGGUCCGGUCGGGUUUUGCCUUAAUCGGAGUUAAGUUUCUUAAUUGCGAAUUGACUCCAAAAUAUUUCAUUAAAAUCAAUUAAAACCAAUUGGGAUUUUGACACCAUAUAUUUAUUUACUUCGUACAUGUGUUGUAUUAUCAUAUACAUCGUGUAGUUAUAGAUACAUUUUAAUACUCUGAAUGGAUUUCACUGUAUUAUACUAAACAUCGUGUACUUUUUAUCGAUUCUGUUUCAGAUGCUCUCUCGCAAUGUGUCGUCACAGUUUCAUGUGAAAUCAAUGAAAAAGAAAAACGCAAAAGCUGUUUCAGAUUCUCUAAUGGUCCCGUGAGGUGGUGGUGGGCUCUCUAAAUUGCCUGUGGCAACAAUCGCAAUUUCUUAGCUCUAAGUUCUGGAAUUUCAGUCAUAGUCGUCGAGAGUUUUUGGUUAAAAUUUUCAAACUUGAUCGAAUUUUGGGGGAAGAGUCUGAUUAAAAAGCUCUAGUCUUUCCGCAAUUUAGCCACUGUUUACUCCAACGUGUAGGGGUUUGAUUAGAUAAGAAGCCUUUUGGAACGAUGCUAAGGGGAUAUCAAAACAGUAGCUGUUUAUAUCCCUGGGUGAUUUUGCUUUCAGUGUUCUCAAUAGUAACAGAGUUCAGGAAAAGACGAGAAUUUCUAUGGCGCCAAGGGACGGGUCAAUGAGCAAAUGGUAUGUACUGUUUCUGCCUUUCUUUCUAGGUUCGAAAUGCAAGCAUAUAGCUAGUUGUUCGUGCUGCUUUGGAUUAUAUACUUUUAUGUUGUCCGUGAUGAAAGUCAGAUAAAUUUCGGGCACUGAGGUUGCUGUUUUUGUACUGAUUAUUUGUUUCCUGAAAGAUUCUAGGUGUCCAUGGGGAAGUAGGUUUCAGUUAGGUAUGUGAUGUUUAUUUAUCGUUUGUCCUGCAUUUUAUUGUCUGGGGGUUUUCAGUUUGAUGUCAGUUAUAUAAUACGUUUUGCUAGAAAUUGGAUCAAUGUGGAGACAUCCACACAUCAUUUAUCAUUUCUGUCACAAUUUUCAGCUCGAGCUUCUCACUUACCUUGGUUUGUUUUUGAUGUUAUAGACCAUGUCUUUUUUUGCCUGUUCUGGAAUCUAAACCAUGGCACAGUUCUUGUUAGUAUUGUUUUUUUUUUUAUAUCUGAUUCCACCUGCAUAUGACCACUGCAUCACUAAUUAGCUGUCAGUCCAAGGCAAGGAUUAGCACAAAUAGGGAUUUAUCCGUAGACGGGUAUAUAGUUUUACAGAGUUGAGGACUCUGUUAGUAAUCCCAUGUCUAUACGUUUGUACAUCGGUUCUAUGCAUAUUUACAGGAGACUUCAUUCAGUUUUUUUUUUUUUAACUAUUCCUCUGUGAAGCUAGCUUUUUCUUUCAGUUACUAUUGUCAACAUAUACAGUCACUCAGACCUUCUGUUUUCCUCGUAAAGGUUUUAGACAUAAAAGAAGCUGAAAGGGAAGAUGAUUCUCUAUUGUGUCCUUCAAGAGAUGCCAGUCCUAAGGGAAAGCUAUUACUUUACUUCUCCAACGCCAAACAGAGGAAUUUAUGGAUGUGGAAACUUUUGAAGCCACAAUGGAAUAUAGAGAGUUUCAUAACCACUCUUGAAGCGCCUGCACACUCACUUGUAACCUGUAAGUACUCCAUUUGUUUUCUUUUUCAGAUUGAGACUCUCUGCCUAUUUUUAAUUAUUGUGUGAGAUUGGUUACAAUGAUCACAUUUGAGGGAAGAAAAUCAAAAUACGUAAUAGCAACUCUUUAACAUCAGUUCUGACCAGUUUACUGGCUACUCAAAUUUAUGUGUUUGGAACAUCUUGACGGCUCUACUGGUUCUUGUAAGAAAUCUCAAGACACAGCACACCUUUUAUCUCUUUAAGAUUGACCUUCUCUGCCUUGUUUACUUCAUAAGUUUGCUGGUGACCUUUGCAACUAAUAUAUAAUCUUAUCAUUUUAUUAUGUUGCGUGCACAGUUUGGUGGAUUGAUGUUUUCUUCACACUAACAAAAGUGUAAAAUUAGUUUUGAAUGCUUGGUAGUGAUUUAAGGAUUUUAGACGAUCAGUUGAAUAACAUCAUUUAUAAAACAAUUAGAAUCAGUCGAGUCAACGUGAGUCAAUUCUAAGCUUCUUGACUAAUUAAACAAGGAUGAUGUGAGUUUAUCCUCCUAGAAUUAGUUAAUCACUCAAUCUUAAACAAAUGAUUUUGGGUGUGAUUGGUAAACAUGUGGCGCAAGUGAGAGUAAUUAACGUUGUAGAAAGUGACCCUAGACGUAAAUGUUUCUUAAAAUAAGAGGGACAAUUUCUGCUGUAUACAGCUGUGUUCAGCUGAAAAUCUUUUCUGAAUUUUUCCUGAUUGGUAAGUAUUGAGCUUAGAGCUCUAAACUGGACGAGACCAUGUCCAUUAGCCCAUAUCCGUUUGUCCAUUUAUUAAUUGUGGACAAAGAAUGACCAUUACCAUUAAGGACCAUGUUCAUUAAGGCCCAAAUCCACUAACAUCCAUAUUUAUAUGGGCUGCCAUGGGGUCCAUUAAAGAUCAUAUAAGAAUAUUUUGAAUUUCAAUCUAUAAACCUAAAAAAAUUCAAAUAUAAAUUCAUAAGAUUAAAAUUCAUCCAUAAAUUCAUAAGUACAACAAUACAUAAGUUCAAAGAUCACACAAAUAACAUCGGUACAUAGCAUUAGUUCAUAAAUACUUAAAUAUCAUCAGUUCAUAAAUAGCAUCAUAAAUAGCAUCAUAAACACAAUACAAAUGGAUAGAACGAAACUCAAAGAAUCAAUCCAUAUCUACACAAGAACGGAUACAAACAAACUGAAUGCGUACAGAUCCUUUUAUCUUAGAAGUGACGAGAAAAAUCUUAUAAAUAUAGGAAACUCAGAUCAGUAAACUUGAACCUAUCUCAAAUCUCAUAAAACCCAAUCUCAGAUUCGCAGAUCACAAACAAAAAUCCAUCUCAGAUAAAAAAAAACCCAACUCAGAUCUCAAACAAAAUCAUCAAUAUGAACAAACCCAAAGGAUGGAAACUGACCGGAGGAGAAGAUGAGAACAGACGGAGUCACAGGAAGAAGUUGAGAACAGAUGGAGGAAGGGAGGAGAAGUGGAGAACGGCCUGAGGAUAGGAGAAGAAGUGGAGAACAUACGGAGGACAGGAGGAGAAGUGGAAAACAGACGGAGGACAAGAGGAGAACAGAGAGCUUCGUCAUCGUCGCAAUCGCCAAAAGAGACGCCGACUCGCCCAGUUUCGUGAAAAGAGAGAAAUGAAAUUUUUUUAAUUUUUCCCCAAAAUUGAAAACCCUAGAAAUUUUUCUUUAUUGGGCCGUUCAAGUCCUCAUUGCCCAAUUCCAUAAAAACCCAUAGAUAAAUUGGUUUCCAAACUCUGACCACUUAAAGCCCACCUGGAAAUAUUGACAUAAUUAGUGGAAGCUCAAAUGUAUGUGGACAUGGACGCCCAUCGGACAGCCCACCCAGUUUACAGCUCAAUUUGAGCUGAAGAUAGAAUAGAAUAUUUAAAAUAUUUACUCUAAAGUGGUUACCCAGUCACACUCUUUAUCCAAUAAACUUAAGUAUUAUAUAGUUUAGUCUGGUCAAUGGAGUCGUACAUGUCCCUUAGACUAUGAUUAUAGGGAGUGCUUAAUGUCGGUGCUUAGCAUAAUUUUGAUUAAAAAAGGAAAAAAUAAGUGUAAAGCGAAGCGGCGACGCUUAAUUGAGCGCCAGAAGCGACGACGCUUAGGGGCACGCGUCAUAAUGUCUCGACUCUAUCUCUCUCAUCUCUUUCUCUCUUUCGUGUUCUUUCUCUCCUCUCUAUCGCUCUCACGAAAGGAAGAAGGUCAAUCGCUCUAUCUCUCUCAUCUCUUUCUCUCCCGCCGGAUGAAUCAAUCGGCGAUUCCGCCUCUCCUUCUUGAUUUCUCUUCGAUGAUGACACCAUCGGAGUCUCUCUCGGUGGCUCCGCCUCAAGGUCGUGAAAUCUCGUCGAAGACUCCGAAUCUCUUUGUUGAUCUCUCGUCGACGAUGAAUCAUUGGACGUGUCGCUCGGUUCCUCUACUCGAAGCCUCUGCCUCUCUAUCUAGAUCGUCGACUCCAAUUCCAAAUCCUUCAUGCAUCUCUUAAUCGAAAGGUAAGUCAACGAUUUGUUUUUAAUUUUUAGUUAUGAAUCCUUCAUGCAUGUCUUAGAUUUGUCUUAGAUUGUGCUUGUUCUAAUUUGUUUUGGAUUUUUUUUGUGUUGUUACCGGUCUGUUGAUUCAAUCUCUUGUAUUUGUUUAAACUUCGUGAUGAAUUUAUAUGUGAUCUCUGAUUGUUUGGAUUUUUUUUUCUGACUUUGCGAGAUGGUGAUCGUUGAAGACACAUGAAGCUUCCUCAAACAAGAGAACUACAAUCGCAACACAGGUAAAUCAUAUUCCUUUGAUCUUUUCAAUUGAUUGAAAGUGUGAUAAAGGUUCUGUGAAUAGAUUGGUAGGUCGUUGUUGAGUAAUGGUUCGCUUUGAGGCUAAUUUCGAAUUGUAAUCGCUAUGAAUGUGUGUUAGAUUAGUUUGUAAUAAAUGAUUGUGUUAGAAAUGGUUCUCAUAGAGAUGAUUGUGUAUCUGUUCUGAAUUUAUUCCUUUGUAAUAAAUGGUUAGGUUAGCGUUAGUGAAUGGUUGCUAAUAAAUGGUUAGAUAAAAAUGGAGUUGAAGUGUUAUGAAUGUGUGUUAGAUAUAUGUCACCUCGUUUUGGUUGGGUGUGUUAUUAAAGACAAAGUCUUUCUUCUUCUCUUCUAUAAAUUGUUUCUUCUUCUCUUCUUCUCUUCCAUCUAUCUAAAAACAGAGUUAUUGUCUUCCUCUCUUCUUUUAAUCAACCUCGGGUAUGGAUUCUCAUCCAUAUAGGCAAACGCCAAAGUUUGUUGAACUGCUUACCAGUCAACAAAACAUUGUCUUUGGUUUGUCUGAAGAUAGUCUCAACUUAUCUUCAUCACAAGUCCCUCUUUUUGGCUCCCAACCGAGUGAAGAUUCCAACUUUGGCGACAGCACUCCUGCAGGGCAUCGAGAAAGGAGGAAAUGGACGCCAGGAGAUGACGUUCUGCUCAUCAGCUCGUGGCUUAAUACAAGCAAAGACCCUGUGGUCUCGAAUGAGCAAAAAUCCGGGGCUUUCUAGAAAAGGGUCGCAGCAUACUUCGCCGCAAGCCCUAAGGUACAAGGCUAUGAAGUCAGAGAGGCGACCCACUGCAAGAACCGUUGGCAGAAGAUCAAUGAUCUAGUCAACAAGUUUUGUGGGGCUUACGAAGCUGCGAGUAGAGAGAGAAGUAGCGGUCAAAAUGAGAAUGAUAUUCUCAAACUAGCUCAUGAGAUAUUCUUCAACAACCACCAAAAAAAAUUCAACCUUGAGCAUGCUUGGAAGGAGCUUCGAAACGAUCAGAAAUGGUGUGAGCUUUAUACUUGCAAAGCCGGUGGAAGCGGAAAGAGGAGGAAGCUUGAUGAUGGUGCGCAUUCCUCAACCUCUCAUGCGUCUGAAACCAUGAAUGAUGAAACUGAUGAAGUAGCCACUCGUCCCCCGGGUGUGAAGGCAUCAAAGGGGCUUGCUAAGAAUAAGGCAGAGACUGAGUAUCAGAGGAUGUGGAAGAUCAAGAAGGAGGAUAUGGCUAUGAGGGACAUGCUUUUGAAGAUGAAGCUGCUGGAUAACCUAUUGGCAAAAACAGAACCGUUAGCUGAGGAUGAGGCAGCGCUGAAGUCGAAGUUCAUAACUGAAUUGUUGUCUUAAUCUAAGUUUAUGCAUUUAAGUUAAUGUUUUCUAAGUCUAAUUAGUUUAAGAUCAAGUCUAAGUUGUUGUUGUCUUAUUGGAUUUAAAAACUCUCUGUUUUCUGGAACUGAAUAUGUAUGUUGUUGUUGUCUUGUUAUGGAUGAUAUAAGAACUCUCUGUUGUUUCAAUGAUUAUUAUGGCUGAUCUGUGCUUGUGUUUUAUUUGAUCAUAACACUCUCUUUGUUUUAUUUGAUCAUAACACUCAUUUUUGUAUCUUCUUUAUGUCAGGUCUUGGCUGAUAUGUGUCUUCUCUUUGCUUGUGUCACGGACGAGCAGUCAUGGAGCGUGGAAGACUGUCUUCUGUCUGCUUGUGUCACGGACGAGCUGUCAUGGAGCGUGGAAGACUGUCUUCUGUCUGCUUGUGUCACGGACGAGCUGUCAUGGAGCGUGGAAGACUGUCUUCUGUCUGCUUGUGUCACGGAUUAGAGUCUCUUGUCUCUUUUUUUUCUUGGUCACAACGUCUUCAAUGUAUUAUUUUGUCACGAGAUCUUCAAUGAUGUAUAUAAUUGUUGUAUCACAAAAUCACAUUUCUACAACACCAUCUCUUCUCUCUUCUGGUUUGUGGAAACAAUAUCAUCACUGCAAACUCUACAACACAAACAAUCUCUUCAUCUCUCAUAUAUUCACCAUCUCUCUUUUAUUCAUUCUCAACACCAAUCUCACGCAAACACUACAACACCCAUCUCUCAUUUAUUCACCAUCUCUCUUUUUAUUCACGAAGUAAUCAAUUUUUUUUCCAACGAAAAUGACAUCUUCUUCCCAUAACACUUUUGAGGGAGUAGAUGAUGAUAGUUUUGAUCAAUAUUUUGAUCAAUAUCAUGAUCAACAUUUUGAUCAAUCUUUCGAGAAUUUGACCAAUGCUUCGGGUGAUCAAGGAGAAGAAAGGAAAAGAAGGAAAAAACGAAUUCAUAUUGAAAGAAAUCGUGAAGAAGGCAAUGUCCGUUUAUGGAACGAUUAUUUCAGUGAAACUCCAACUUACCCUGAUAAUCUUUUCCGGCGUCGAUUUAGAAUGAACAGGCCAUUGUUCAUGCGUAUCGUUCUUCGACUCUCAAAUGAAGUUGAUUUCUUUCGAUAAAAGAAAGAUGCUCUCGGAAGGGCUAGUCUCUCUCCCCUUCAAAAGUGUACCGCGGCCAUUCGUCUCUUGGCAUAUGGUAGUGCGGCUGAUACAGUUUAUAUCCAGCACCGACUGUUUCAGCGCGGCGAGCUCGUUUAUCGUCUGCGCAUCAAGACCUACGGGGGUUUGGGCCACGUCAUCAUCGGCGACAUCUUGGUUGGCAGUCUGCGUUGGUGCUGCACCAGUCGCUCUCUCUGUGUUAAACAGAUGUCUUCGGUACUGCGCCGUCGAAGCUUCCACGUUCGCAGCGAGGGGGGCUAAGAUCUUUGCGAGUGCUGCGAUUUGGUCGGUCGCCGCUUUCUGGGCCGCAUCUUGUUGCGCAAGGCGCGCCAUGAUAGUUUCUAUUGAAGCGGGUUGGAGUGGUGUCGGAGUCACAGGGAAAGACGCUGGCGUUACUUCAGCGGCUUCACGAUCUUCUCCAGAGGAAGAGCCGUCGUUACUCGUCGCCAUCUUGUCGACAUUACUUUUCUAAAGGUCCCACGGUGGCGGUCAACUGUUUGAUCGGGAAACGGUACGGAACGAGAGAACGUUCAGUUUUUAGAUGUGGGUUUAAGCAAAGACGUCUUAUUAACGGUCGGAAGAGUGUUUCGUCGGUUACAAGGAAAGGAGAUGCGUGAAAAGAAAGGUACCAGAGCCUUGAAGGCUUUACCGGAGAAAUACGACAAGGCGAGAUAACAAAAGUAAAACCCUAAUCUGGGCGCCCAGUGUGUAUCAGUGAUUUCGGAUCCCUCUUACGUUUUCUUUCCUUCCCCUUUUAUAGCUGACCUCACGCUAUUCCGUGACCUAGUUUGCGUCGUCUCUGUGGGCUUUAACUCGCUGGGCCGAGAAGCCCACGCUGUCUCGUGGAGUCGUUUCCUCGGGGCGUUUAGUCGAGAAGCCCAUCGAAAGCUCUCUCACAUUACGCCGAGAGAUCGACCCUUCAAGCCGCCGCGCCGAGCCGAUGAGUCCCCGCAGGGAGGUAAACCACCCAUUAUGACGUUAAGGUGCGGGGUGUUCGUAGCAUCCAUCAACUCCCUCUGCGCUUUCCUUUUCGCUUCGAUGCACGGUUGUAAAUCGUGUUGCUUGAGCUUAACGCGUAAAUCUUCCGCUUUGGAGUUGAUCUGUUCACGUAAAUCUGCGGGUAGGGAUUGAAAGUUUGCUGCCGCCCCGUCGUGGGCGGUCUUUCUUGCUUUAGAUUCGUCAAGGGACGUCCGAAGGUCCNNNNNNNNNNNNNNNNNNNNNNNNNNNNNNNNNNNNNNNNNNNNNNNNNNNNNNNNNNNNNNNNNNNNNNNNNNNNNNNNNNNNNNNNNNNNNNNNNNNNNNNNNNNNNNNNNNNNNNNNNNNNNNNNNNNNNNNNNNNNNNNNNNNNNNNNNNNNNNNNNNNNNNNNNNNNNNNNNNNNNNNNNNNNNNNNNNNNNNNNNNNNNNNNNNNNNNNNNNNNNNNNNNNNNNNNNNNNNNNNNNNNNNNNNNNNNNNNNNNNNNNNNNNNNNNNNNNNNNNNNNNNNNNNNNNNNNNNNNNNNNNNNNNNNNNNNNNNNNNNNNNNNNNNNNNNNNNNNNNNNNNNNNNNNNNNNNNNNNNNNNNNNNNNNNNNNNNNNNNNNNNNNNNNNNNNNNNNNNNNNNNNNNNNNNNNNNNNNNNNNNNNNNNNNNNNNNNNNNNNNNNNNNNNNNNNNNNNNNNNNNNNNNNNNNNNNNNNNNNNNNNNNNNNNNNNNNNNNNNNNNNNNNNNNNNNNNNNNNNNNNNNNNNNNNNNNNNNNNNNNNNNNNNNNNNNNNNNNNNNNNNNNNNNNNNNNNNNNNNNNNNNNNNNNNNNNNNNNNNNNNNNNNNNNNNNNNNNNNNNNNNNNNNNNNNNNNNNNNNNNNNNNNNNNNNNNNNNNNNNNNNNNNNNNNNNNNNNNNNNNNNNNNNNNNNNNNNNNNNNNNNNNNNNNNNNNNNNNNNNNNNNNNNNNNNNNNNNNNNNNNNNNNNNNNNNNNNNNNNNNNNNNNNNNNNNNNNNNNNNNNNNNNNNNNNNNNNNNNNNNNNNNNNNNNNNNNNNNNNNNNNNNNNNNNNNNNNNNNNNNNNNNNNNNNNNNNNNNNNNNNNNNNNNNNNNNNNNNNNNNNNNNNNNNNNNNNNNNNNNNNNNNNNNNNNNNNNNNNNNNNNNNNNNNNNNNNNNNNNNNNNNNNNNNNNNNNNNNNNNNNNNNNNNNNNNNNNNNNNNNNNNNNNNNNNNNNNNNNNNNNNNNNNNNNNNNNNNNNNNNNNNNNNNNNNNNNNNNNNNNNNNNNNNNNNNNNNNNNNNNNNNNNNNNNNNNNNNNNNNNNNNNNNNNNNNNNNNNNNNNNNNNNNNNNNNNNNNNNNNNNNNNNNNNNNNNNNNNNNNNNNNNNNNNNNNNNNNNNNNNNNNNNNNNNNNNNNNNNNNNNNNNNNNNNNNNNNNNNNNNNNNNNNNNNNNNNNNNNNNNNNNNNNNNNNNNNNNNNNNNNNNNNNNNNNNNNNNNNNNNNNNNNNNNNNNNNNNNNNNNNNNNNNNNNNNNNNNNNNNNNNNNNNNNNNNNNNNNNNNNNNNNNNNNNNNNNNNNNNNNNNNNNNNNNNNNNNNNNNNNNNNNNNNNNNNNNNNNNNNNNNNNNNNNNNNNNNNNNNNNNNNNNNNNNNNNNNNNNNNNNNNNNNNNNNNNNNNNNNNNNNNNNNNNNNNNNNNNNNNNNNNNNNNNNNNNNNNNNNNNNNNNNNNNNNNNNNNNNNNNNNNNNNNNNNNNNNNNNNNNNNNNNNNNNNNNNNNNNNNNNNNNNNNNNNNNNNNNNNNNNNNNNNNNNNNNNNNNNNNNNNNNNNNNNNNNNNNNNNNNNNNNNNNNNNNNNNNNNNNNNNNNNNNNNNNNNNNNNNNNNNNNNNNNNNNNNNNNNNNNNNNNNNNNNNNNNNNNNNNNNNNNNNNNNNNNNNNNNNNNNNNNNNNNNNNNNNNNNNNNNNNNNNNNNNNNNNNNNNNNNNNNNNNNNNNNNNNNNNNNNNNNNNNNNNNNNNNNNNNNNNNNNNNNNNNNNNNNNNNNNNNNNNNNNNNNNNNNNNNNNNNNNNNNNNNNNNNNNNNNNNNNNNNNNNNNNNNNNNNNNNNNNNNNNNNNNNNNNNNNNNNNNNNNNNNNNNNNNNNNNNNNNNNNNNNNNNNNNNNNNNNNNNNNNNNNNNNNNNNNNNNNNNNNNNNNNNNNNNNNNNNNNNNNNNNNNNNNNNNNNNNNNNNNNNNNNNNNNNNNNNNNNNNNNNNNNNNNNNNNNNNNNNNNNNNNNNNNNNNNNNNNNNNNNNNNNNNNNNNNNNNNNNNNNNNNNNNNNNNNNNNNNNNNNNNNNNNNNNNNNNNNNNNNNNNNNNNNNNNNNNNNNNNNNNNNNNNNNNNNNNNNNNNNNNNNNNNNNNNNNNNNNNNNNNNNNNNNNNNNNNNNNNNNNNNNNNNNNNNNNNNNNNNNNNNNNNNNNNNNNNNNNNNNNNNNNNNNNNNNNNNNNNNNNNNNNNNNNNNNNNNNNNNNNNNNNNNNNNNNNNNNNNNNNNNNNNNNNNNNNNNNNNNNNNNNNNNNNNNNNNNNNNNNNNNNNNNNNNNNNNNNNNNNNNNNNNNNNNNNNNNNNNNNNNNNNNNNNNNNNNNNNNNNNNNNNNNNNNNNNNNNNNNNNNNNNNNNNNNNNNNNNNNNNNNNNNNNNNNNNNNNNNNNNNNNNNNNNNNNNNNNNNNNNNNNNNNNNNNNNNNNNNNNNNNNNNNNNNNNNNNNNNNNNNNNNNNNNNNNNNNNNNNNNNNNNNNNNNNNNNNNNNNNNNNNNNNNNNNNNNNNNNNNNNNNNNNNNNNNNNNNNNNNNNNNNNNNNNNNNNNNNNNNNNNNNNNNNNNNNNNNNNNNNNNNNNNNNNNNNNNNNNNNNNNNNNNNNNNNNNNNNNNNNNNNNNNNNNNNNNNNNNNNNNNNNNNNNNNNNNNNNNNNNNNNNNNNNNNNNNNNNNNNNNNNNNNNNNNNNNNNNNNNNNNNNNNNNNNNNNNNNNNNNNNNNNNNNNNNNNNNNNNNNNNNNNNNNNNNNNNNNNNNNNNNNNNNNNNNNNNNNNNNNNNNNNNNNNNNNNNNNNNNNNNNNNNNNNNNNNNNNNNNNNNNNNNNNNNNNNNNNNNNNNNNNNNNNNNNNNNNNNNNNNNNNNNNNNNNNNNNNNNNNNNNNNNNNNNNNNNNNNNNNNNNNNNNNNNNNNNNNNNNNNNNNNNNNNNNNNNNNNNNNNNNNNNNNNNNNNNNNNNNNNNNNNNNNNNNNNNNNNNNNNNNNNNNNNNNNNNNNNNNNNNNNNNNNNNNNNNNNNNNNNNNNNNNNNNNNNNNNNNNNNNNNNNNNNNNNNNNNNNNNNNNNNNNNNNNNNNNNNNNNNNNNNNNNNNNNNNNNNNNNNNNNNNNNNNNNNNNNNNNNNNNNNNNNNNNNNNNNNNNNNNNNNNNNNNNNNNNNNNNNNNNNNNNNNNNNNNNNNNNNNNNNNNNNNNNNNNNNNNNNNNNNNNNNNNNNNNNNNNNNNNNNNNNNNNNNNNNNNNNNNNNNNNNNNNNNNNNNNNNNNNNNNNNNNNNNNNNNNNNNNNNNNNNNNNNNNNNNNNNNNNNNNNNNNNNNNNNNNNNNNNNNNNNNNNNNNNNNNNNNNNNNNNNNNNNNNNNNNNNNNNNNNNNNNNNNNNNNNNNNNNNNNNNNNNNNNNNNNNNNNNNNNNNNNNNNNNNNNNNNNNNNNNNNNNNNNNNNNNNNNNNNNNNNNNNNNNNNNNNNNNNNNNNNNNNNNNNNNNNNNNNNNNNNNNNNNNNNNNNNNNNNNNNNNNNNNNNNNNNNNNNNNNNNNNNNNNNNNNNNNNNNNNNNNNNNNNNNNNNNNNNNNNNNNNNNNNNNNNNNNNNNNNNNNNNNNNNNNNNNNNNNNNNNNNNNNNNNNNNNNNNNNNNNNNNNNNNNNNNNNNNNNNNNNNNNNNNNNNNNNNNNNNNNNNNNNNNNNNNNNNNNNNNNNNNNNNNNNNNNNNNNNNNNNNNNNNNNNNNNNNNNNNNNNNNNNNNNNNNNNNNNNNNNNNNNNNNNNNNNNNNNNNNNNNNNNNNNNNNNNNNNNNNNNNNNNNNNNNNNNNNNNNNNNNNNNNNNNNNNNNNNNNNNNNNNNNNNNNNNNNNNNNNNNNNNNNNNNNNNNNNNNNNNNNNNNNNNNNNNNNNNNNNNNNNNNNNNNNNNNNNNNNNNNNNNNNNNNNNNNNNNNNNNNNNNNNNNNNNNNNNNNNNNNNNNNNNNNNNNNNNNNNNNNNNNNNNNNNNNNNNNNNNNNNNNNNNNNNNNNNNNNNNNNNNNNNNNNNNNNNNNNNNNNNNNNNNNNNNNNNNNNNNNNNNNNNNNNNNNNNNNNNNNNNNNNNNNNNNNNNNNNNNNNNNNNNNNNNNNNNNNNNNNNNNNNNNNNNNNNNNNNNNNNNNNNNNNNNNNNNNNNNNNNNNNNNNNNNNNNNNNNNNNNNNNNNNNNNNNNNNNNNNNNNNNNNNNNNNNNNNNNNNNNNNNNNNNNNNNNNNNNNNNNNNNNNNNNNNNNNNNNNNNNNNNNNNNNNNNNNNNNNNNNNNNNNNNNNNNNNNNNNNNNNNNNNNNNNNNNNNNNNNNNNNNNNNNNNNNNNNNNNNNNNNNNNNNNNNNNNNNNNNNNNNNNNNNNNNNNNNNNNNNNNNNNNNNNNNNNNNNNNNNNNNNNNNNNNNNNNNNNNNNNNNNNNNNNNNNNNNNNNNNNNNNNNNNNNNNNNNNNNNNNNNNNNNNNNNNNNNNNNNNNNNNNNNNNNNNNNNNNNNNNNNNNNNNNNNNNNNNNNNNNNNNNNNNNNNNNNNNNNNNNNNNNNNNNNNNNNNNNNNNNNNNNNNNNNNNNNNNNNNNNNNNNNNNNNNNNNNNNNNNNNNNNNNNNNNNNNNNNNNNNNNNNNNNNNNNNNNNNNNNNNNNNNNNNNNNNNNNNNNNNNNNNNNNNNNNNNNNNNNNNNNNNNNNNNNNNNNNNNNNNNNNNNNNNNNNNNNNNNNNNNNNNNNNNNNNNNNNNNNNNNNNNNNNNNNNNNNNNNNNNNNNNNNNNNNNNNNNNNNNNNNNNNNNNNNNNNNNNNNNNNNNNNNNNNNNNNNNNNNNNNNNNNNNNNNNNNNNNNNNNNNNNNNNNNNNNNNNNNNNNNNNNNNNNNNNNNNNNNNNNNNNNNNNNNNNNNNNNNNNNNNNNNNNNNNNNNNNNNNNNNNNNNNNNNNNNNNNNNNNNNNNNNNNNNNNNNNNNNNNNNNNNNNNNNNNNNNNNNNNNNNNNNNNNNNNNNNNNNNNNNNNNNNNNNNNNNNNNNNNNNNNNNNNNNNNNNNNNNNNNNNNNNNNNNNNNNNNNNNNNNNNNNNNNNNNNNNNNNNNNNNNNNNNNNNNNNNNNNNNNNNNNNNNNNNNNNNNNNNNNNNNNNNNNNNNNNNNNNNNNNNNNNNNNNNNNNNNNNNNNNNNNNNNNNNNNNNNNNNNNNNNNNNNNNNNNNNNNNNNNNNNNNNNNNNNNNNNNNNNNNNNNNNNNNNNNNNNNNNNNNNNNNNNNNNNNNNNNNNNNNNNNNNNNNNNNNNNNNNNNNNNNNNNNNNNNNNNNNNNNNNNNNNNNNNNNNNNNNNNNNNNNNNNNNNNNNNNNNNNNNNNNNNNNNNNNNNNNNNNNNNNNNNNNNNNNNNNNNNNNNNNNNNNNNNNNNNNNNNNNNNNNNNNNNNNNNNNNNNNNNNNNNNNNNNNNNNNNNNNNNNNNNNNNNNNNNNNNNNNNNNNNNNNNNNNNNNNNNNNNNNNNNNNNNNNNNNNNNNNNNNNNNNNNNNNNNNNNNNNNNNNNNNNNNNNNNNNNNNNNNNNNNNNNNNNNNNNNNNNNNNNNNNNNNNNNNNNNNNNNNNNNNNNNNNNNNNNNNNNNNNNNNNNNNNNNNNNNNNNNNNNNNNNNNNNNNUAAGUUACUUCCACAUAUCGACUUUUGCAAAUCUGAGAAGUAAGUUUAAGCCAAUUCAUUCAUAAAGCUUUUUAUACAGUGUGUCAGAAUAGACUAGUCAUAAAUGGAUGCAGUUUUCUUUUUGGCUUUCGAUUAUUCUAAAGUUUAACGGGUGAUUAAAUGAUUUUUUUAUCAAAGAAAACCAAAAACUCCUUAAAAAUCUACAAAACAUUGAAGGUCUAGUCUAACUAUACCGUUAGAUCAUAUAACUAUACUGAUAGAUCAAACCUCUUUGAUACUAUCAUCUCCAAAUGGUUCACUACGUGCUAUUAUUUUAAACAACAUCUAAUUUUAUUUUCUAAAAAAUGUUCAAAAAAAUUUCAGUGAUUUCAUUUUCUUGUUAGAAUUUUUAGUUUAAUUGAUUCUUAUUUUUUUAAAAAUAAUAUUAUAAGAAUCAACAAAGUUUUGUUUCAACUUCUCAAUCGUCUGUCUUAAGAAUCAACAAAACAAAUAAACAAGAACAAAAUAAAGUAAAAAUGUGUCAUUUGUUAAAAUAGAUAGGCUUUCAACCUAAAAUCAACUAGUGGUAAUUAGGUUGACAUAUUUAUUUUAUAUACUAAUUAAUGUCUCUUCCAAUUACUGAUAUGUGAGACUUUGUCACUAAUAUGCAUGGUCGAAAUGAUGGUUCUUCCUUCGGUCAAUCUUAUAAUGUUCGGAAAAAGAUUGAUAGGUCAAUUUUGGAGCGCAUCCAUGUAGAUCAAAUUAGACUGUAUAGAUCAUAGUCAUAUGAGAGAGGUGAGAGGGGGGGGGGCAGCUGUCCCACAUGAAUUAUUAGGGAAAAAUUUAUCUUCAUUGGUUUUUUGAAAAAAUUAUGAAUAAGUAUUAAAAUCCAUUUUAGUGCCCCAUGAUUUUAUAUUAAAAUUUCAUAUUGUCCCGGUGAGCCUUUUGGCUGGCUCCUCCAUUGAUCAUGGUUUGAUAUUAUGUUAAAUCAGAUGGUCUUUCACAUAAAACGAAUUAGUGAUAAAUAAAUUAGCUUAUCUAUUUUAUAUAUUAUUUAAUAUCAUUUCUAACUUCCGAUGUAGGAAAUUUUAUCAUUAAUACCAUCACUUUAAGAACAUUUAACAACAACAUCCAAUUAAAGUUGUCAACCACCUUUUUUGAAAUUGAUCAGGAGACAUCCGUUUUUGUUUCCAUGUUUUUUACUUUAUUUGACUUGAAAUCAAACCUAAAGAUCUUAUAUUUAUCGGUUUCAAAAUAAUAUUUAGAGUUUUUACACAUAUUAAAAAAAUUAAAGUUUAGUUAUUAAUGCAUAUUUUUUUGUAAUUUUAUAUUUCUUAUAUUUUUGACUAAAUUAUAUUUAUUAUAUUUCUAAAUCAAUAAAAUUUUAAGAAAUGCAAUUGAUGUUUUUGAAGUUUAUAAUUUUUUAUUAGUUGAUUAAAAAGUGUAUUGAAAAUAUAAAAAAAAUAUUUUUUAACAUAAUUUUUAAAAAACAGUCAUCUUUUUCGGGAUGAAGGUAUUAUUUGUUAAUCACAUUAUAAAAUCUAAACUUUCAUUUUUAAAUCAAAUUUACAACUAGGUAGUAACACGCGCCUUGUGCGGGAAGUGAUUAUUAGUUUCGUUAUUUUUAGUAAAAAGCAUUAAAUCUGUUUAAUCUGGCUAUUGGUUCGGUCUUAAGUUUUUUUUUCUGUUUUUAAUCUUCUAAAAUAUAACUAUUAUUUUAAAUUAAUAUUCAUUUUAGUUUAUUCGUCUAAAAUGUUUGAUUUUUUGGUUUUUUCCUGUAAAAACCAAAAAUACAUCUUAUUUGUUUGUUUUCAUGUUAUGAAUUUUAGAUAAUUGCCAUGUCGAACCAAUAGUUUCAUAUUAUAGUUUCUAAGCAGAUAAUCGUAUUAAUAGUAAUUAAAAUCUAACAAAAAUCUUAGAGAAAAUCUUAUUGAGACAAAUCGGAGUUGAGAGUGUCUUUUUUUGCCAAUUUUCCCUAUUAUCAAAUCAUUGUGAAGCUGUCACGUGUCUAUUAUAGUGUGAAUGCAUUUAUUAUAAUGCUUUUUUUUUAAUGUAUAAUGGAUUUAUUAAAGAAAAAGAAGGUUAAACCAGUAUUGGAUAGAUAUUCUUAAAGAUUCUCAAGAUAGCCUUUAGAUUUAAGGAUCAGAAUAAUUGUGCUGGCAUAAAAUCAUUAAUUUUUUAUAUUUUCUAAACAAAAACAUCAUUAAUUAUUUAUCUAACCACAAAUCAACCAAGAAUAAAAUAGAAGGUAUAUUAUUAUUGAUCAUAUAACAUUAAAUGUUAAUAAAUUUUACAUAGAAAACCGAAAACGUCAUAUAGUUUGGAAUAUACAAAUUUUUCUAAAAUGACUUAUAUUAAAAAAAAAGAGGGAGUAUUUCCCAAGCAUCAUCCAAAAAGGUACGCGGAAAGAAAACCCAUCUGAUUAUGGGGCUCUAAUCAUCGCGAGUCUAAAGUUUGUUUUUUAUCAUUUCAUUUUCGGCUGAAGAUAGAAUGCCCACCAAAGAGAGAGAGCAUCUAUAUUCUAUAUGCUCCACCGAGUCGUCUGUAUUCUUCGAACCUAGCAGAUUAGUAAAGAAGGAGACAAUCAUGAUGUCCUUUUAAUAUGUACGAGACGUUAUCCGUUGCAUCCCGCCAAUGUCGAAUUGCAUUCCAUGCGAGAAGGAAGAGCUUCUCGUCGGAGCGGCGUCCGUGGGUGAUUGUGAAAACCCUAAUCCCAAACAAGAUGUCGCCAUUUUCCCUAACACUGUCUCCCAAGACUGGCGCAUGUCUUGAAAAUUAUACUUGUUGCCAAAUGAUUAAAAUAUUAGUUCUUUUAUUUCCUUUCGAACACUAUCAUUACCAUACUUAUUAAACAGAUUUAGUUUUAAUAUUGUGUGUGAGAGACUUCUAAACAUUGAAAUGCUAUUUUUCUAAUGCAGAACUUUUAGCUUUUCUUCAAGUGCCGGGGUUCUUUGGAACAUCUGCUAUUAAACCUCUGGUAUGGAGUGUUUGUCCCCGUUCUUGGGGGAGAUUUUGCGUCCCAUGUGUGACUCAAUGUGCUCCCGGGUCGUUAAUGCCAUAAGGUUCAAAUCCAACGUCCAAGCUCUUAACAGUGUGAUGGAGAGAUUAGUUGAGCUUAAGGGCAACAUAAAUGAAGACCACAAAGAUAAACCAUUUAGACUCAAGAUAAUGGGGUGGCAAAGAAAUGCUGAGGAGGUUAUCACUAAAGCAAGGUCGAAACUUGAGGAACGGGUUUCGUGUGGUAAGUCCUUGAAAUCCAGGCUGAGCAGGAAACUCGUUACGAUUCUCAACGAAGCUAGAAUGCUCGAAAAGGAAGGUUUAGAUCUUUUAGACAUGAUAGCUGCGGCUACUGCACAUGAAAGAGUUGAACAUGUUCCGGGAGUUUCAGUACUUCAUCAAACAACGGCUUCAAAUAUGUUGGGUAAAAUUAUAGAUGGUUUGAGGAGCAGUGAGGUUCAGAAGAUUGGUAUUUGGGGUAUGGGUGGAGUAGGGAAAACGACAUUGGUGAGGACGUUGAACAAUAAGCUUCAUGAAGAGACUGCAACUCAACCAUUUGGCUUGGUGAUCUUUGCUACACCAUCCAAAGACUUUGAUCCAAGAACGGUCCAAAAGCAGAUUGCUGAGAGACUGGAUAUCGACACCAGGUUGGGAGAAACUGUAGAGAGGCUGGCAAGAAGGAUCUAUGUGAGGCUUGAGAAAGAGAACAACUUCCUUCUUAUUCUUGAUGACGUGUGGAAAGAUAUUGAUUUAGAUCUUCUGGGCAUUCCACGAACAGAAGAGAAGAAGGGUUCAAAGAUCAUUCUCACUUCCAGGUUUCUUGAAGUCUGUCGUAGUAUGAGGACAGAUCUUGAUGUUAGGGUGGAUUGCUUGUGCGAAGAAGAAGCUUGGGAACUGUUUUGCCAGAAUGCAGGAGAGGUAGCGAGAUCAGAUCUUAUUGAGCCCAUUGCAAAAGCCUUUUCACUUGAAUGUGGCGGGUUGCCCCUGGCUAUCAUAACAGUCGGGACAGCUAUGAGAGGAAAGCCAAAUGUCAUGUUGUGGGAACACGCCUUGAAUCAGCUAAGUAGAUCGGUACCUUGGAUCAAAAGCAUUGAAGAGAAGAUCUACCAGCCUUUGAAACUGAGCUACGACUUCUUGGAAGGACAAGCAAAAUCUUGUUUUCUUCUUUGUGCUUUAUUUCCUGAAGACUACUCCAUUGAGGUUACGGAGCUUGUGAUGUAUUGGAUAGCUGAAGGAUUCAUGGAGGAACAAGGUUCCCACGAGGAGUACAUGAACGAAGGAAUCACAAUUGUGGAGAGCUUAAAGGACUAGUGCCUGUUAGAAGAUGGUUCUCGCAGUGAAACCGUUAAAAUGCAUGAUGUUGUCCGAGAUUUUGCAAUAUGGAUUAUGUCUUCCUCACAAGAUGAUUGCCAUUCGCUUGUCCUGUCUAGUACAGGUUUGCAAGAGAUUAGACAAGACAAAUUUUCUCCUUCUCUUCGAUGGGUUUCUUUGAUGAACAAUAAGCCCGAGAGGCUCCCUCGUCUACCAGAAGAGUACUGCAUGGAAGCCUCAACCUUACUGCUACAGGAGAACUAUCUUCUACAAGAAGCAUCAGAUGGGUUCUUGCAAGCAUUCCCAGCUCUUAGGAUUUUGAAUCUAAGUGGGACACGCGUGAACUCCCUGCCCCAUUCCUGUUUGCAGCUUUCCAAACUUCAUUCUCUUUUCUUAAGACCUUACCGAACUACCUUCUCUAGAAACUCUUUCUAAACUUGAGCUACUGGAUCUACAUGGCUCCCGUAUCAAAGAAUUCCCAAAAGGGCUAGAAAAGCUGGAGAGCUUUAAACACCUUGAUCUUUCAGGAACAGUUCACCUCAAAACUAUUCCAGCUAGAAUUGUUUCGCGGUUAUCAAGUUUGGAGACACUAAACAUGAAAUUAAGUAACUACCAUUGGAGUGUAAAAGGAGAAGAACAAGAAGGCCAAGCAACAGUUGAAGAGAUUGCAUACCUUGACUGUUUACAGGUGCUGUCUAUAUGUCUUAUUUGUUCGCCGUCUUUUCUGAAGAAGAACAACUCUUCUUGGAUCAAAGUCUAAAGAAAUUUCAAAAUUAAUGUGGGCUUUAGCUACGUUUUGCCUAUGAUACACGAUCAGAGGACACUAGCAAUAAGUGGUCUCAACUUAUCACAAGUAUCCAUGGAGUGGCUCUUGGCUUGUACAACCUCUGUAAUACUGAACAGUUGUCAAGGGCUCCAAGGAAUGAUGAAGAAAUUGGUCACUGGCAGCAAGACAUUCGUGAAUCUGAAAUCUCUAACGAUUGUGAAAACUAGUAUCAACUCUAGUGGUGGUGGGAUUGAGAAGGCAACCAGCAAAGGAUCCUCCACAAGUCCAGACACACUUCCAUUUCUGGAGGAACUUGGUCUGCACGAAGUUAACUUUGUAUCCCUUUCGGAAUUACAAGCACAGCUAUGGUUGAGAUUGGUAGCUCUUAAACUACUUCUGGUCAGCAAGUGCAAUAACCUUAAAACACUCGUUGAGAUAGACAUGUUCACUAUGCCAAACCUGGAGGAGAUAGAAAUUAGCGACUGUAACUCCUUGCAUAAUCUACGCCAAACUAUUGAUGGUCCACAAGAACCUCUCCUACCAAAGUUACGUGUCAUGAAACUGAGAAAUCUUCCAGAGCUGGAGAGUGUUUGCUACGAAAAAGAGACUUGGGAGUGUCUCGAACAGGUGAAAGUCAUGAACUGUGGUCGGCUAUAUACUUUGCCCAUAAGCUCCAAAACUUGUGGAAGAAUCAAGGAAAUAAAAGGAACUAUAAGUUGGUGGAAACAUUUGAGAUGGGAUGAUCCUUCUACUUUAGAAACUCUUGAUCCUUGUUUCAAGCCAUUAAGAUUACUUGGUGAAGAAAUGGCACCCAUAUUUGGGGAGCACUACUUGUGGGACAGUUGAUGAAGAAUCUAGCUAGGUCCAUCAUCCCAAGAGCACUACUGUCUUUUCUCUGUGUUCUCUAAUAUUUCAAUUGUGGAUGUGCAAAACUCUCUUUUGUUUAUGUUUGGAUGUCUUUCCUUUGUUCGAGUCUUGAAAAUGUGUGUGUGCAAAACUAUAUCAACAAUGUUACGUUUUUGGAUACAUAAGUUUGGUGCUUAAAAGGAUAAACAUCAAGACACUGCAAUAAGUCAACAAAGUGGAGUAUUAUUACAGUACGAACCCCUAAAGCAUGUAGAGUCUGAAACAAAGAGAAGAAAGGUUCUUCAUAUAUUCACACAACAGAAACAAAAUAUCAUAUGCAACUACAACUAGAUCCACACAGCUGUUGUGUAACCGUCCUCUACUACUUGUUCGCUCUCACAUCAAACCAUUUUCCAGCGUUACCUUCUUUGUCACAUAGGAUCUCCUAAUCUUCUUCAUCGGUAGGCUUAGAGGAACCGGCCUUCUUGUUGGGGAGAAGGAGAUUGUGGAUGUUAGGCAUCACUCCUCCAUUAGCAAUCGUCACAUCUCCAAGUAGCUUGCUUAGCUCCUCGUCGUUCCUCACAGCAAGCUGAAUAUGUCGAGGCACAAUCCGAGUCUUCUUGUUAUCUCGUGCUGCGUUCCCGGCAAGCUCAAGUACCUACACAAAUUAAUCACACCAAAUUAACAAACCCACGUUUACAGAUCCGUUAAAGAAACCUCAAUCGGACCCGAGAUUAAACCUUUCGCUAGAUCAUCAAAUUCGAAAACAAGGAAGCAAAUCUAAAUUGGUGAUCAAUAUCUAUUAAAAGAGUCUGUGAUUUACCUCGGCGGCGAGGUAUUCAAGAACGGCGGCGAGAUAAACCGGAGCUCCUGCUCCAACGCGCUCGGCGUACUUUCCGGCCUUGAGGAAUCGGGCGAUACGACCAACGGGGAAUUGGAGCCCGGCCUUGCUACUGCGAGAUGUAGCCUUCUUCGCCGCGCCAGAUCCGAGUUGUUUACCCCGACCCGCCAUCUCUACUACAGCUGAGAAGAUUGAAUUCUCUAGAAAGGCAAACUAGGCCUGGGCAUCCGGGUCUUCGGGUCGGGUUCGGAUCGGGUUUUGUCGAGUCCGGGUCCUUCGAGUCCUAGCAAUUUAGACUCAUAUAGGUACCUAUAACUUUUCGGAUCGAUUCCGGAUCGGGUUUUGUCGGGUCCGGAUCGGUUCAGGUCUAUAAUUUCAAAACUCGUAAAAUACCCAAAAUUUUCGGGUAUAUUUCGGAUCCGGGUCGGUUCGGGUAUUUACGACCCGAAAUAGACCCGAAAUACCCGAAUUGGAUCCGAAAACCCAAAACAUACCCGAAUUUUAUCCGAAUACCCAAAUUAUAUUUUCUAAAAAUCUAAAAUUUCACCAAAAACCUACAAUUAUACCCGAAAAUCCAAACCCAAAACUUAAAAAAAAUCCGAAAUAUCAAAAAUAUACCCAAUCACCUAAAUAUACCUAGUAUAUACAAUUAUUUGCGGGUACUUCGGGUACCCGAACGGGUCUCAGAUAGGACCCUGACCCGAACCGAGACCCGCAGGUCCAAAAAAGACCCAAUAGAUACUUAGCAUGGAUCUGAACCCGGAGCCGAACCUGUAUUUUCGGGUCGGUUACGGUUCGGGUCUUCGGAUCCGGGUAAAAUGCCCAGGCCUAAAGGCAAAGAAAAGUAUAUGGACGACGUGUAAUUGAGACGAUAACAAUAACGAGUAGUUGGUUACAGCGAAACCCGCCAUGAGUAUUGAUAAGUAUCCCUGACCAAUGAUAUGACACUGCACGGAUCGAUAGUUGUGACCGUUAGAUUGUUUUUCAUUUAAGGGAUGCGAUUUGGUUUCCUUCGGUUAGGCACUUUCUUUUUGUCUCUCUUGAACUCGGACUGUUUCAGUGAGUGGUUACAUGGGCUAAUUUGGGCUUAUUAAUUUUAGCCCAAAGUAGCAUAACCUUUUAAUUUAACAUUUUUGGCCCAUGUUGCUUUGGGUCAAGUCCAUGCUCUAUUAUUUUUGCCUUUGAAUCCAAACAAAUUUUGUAUCAUUAUCAGUUUAUCACAAUCAUUAUUUGCAGUUUGGUUGGUUAACAUUCACACGACAAUUUUUGUUCAGUGAAGGUUUUGGACCAGAAGCUAAACUGAUCCCCAGUUUUAAACUAUAAGAUAUUGUCACAUUUUCGUCUAACCAAAUGAGCAAAUGUACCAUCGCUUUUACUAUUGUUGAUAGUAUAAUCCUAUUUUAACCGCUCAAAAUUCCUUUACAGUUCCACUAAAACUCCAUCACUACUAAUUGGAUUCUUAUUCAUUUCAAAUCGUCGGUGACUUUUUGUGCAAUCCUAACUCAGAUGCACAAAUGUUUAUUCAAUAAACUUUUUCUUUUGUUUAGAAGGGUAACCAAUUCUUGUUAAAGUGAUUAUAUUGGUUCAUUCUACGAGAAAAGUGAUUAUAUUGGUUCAUUCUACGAGAAAAAGGAAUUCCGAUUAUCAUUUACCAUAAAAUCAAGCUACAAUUUUUGCUUAAUUUCUCCAAGGAUGGAUAACAAACAGAAGAAAACAGGAUGUAGACAUUCGAAAAGGUGCAUGUCAUGAGCGUGGUGGUGGGUGGCCAUGAUGUUACCAACCUUUGAAACAAAAAUAGGUGGAUCUCACACUUAUUAAAUUGUUCAUUAAUGUGGGAUGUGGAGAUGCCUACGUAAAAAUCACAACACAAUCAUUAUUUGUUUACAUAAAUAAUGGGAAAUUUAUUCAAUCAGAUCAUUUUCUAAGGGUACUAUGUGUAUACAGAAACUUCUUAGGGAUUCUUAGAAUGGAGUUCUUAUCGGAAUAUAAGAACUCGUCUCUUAACUUUUAAUUAAAAAAGUUAAGAACCGGCUCUUAAAAUUUUUAUUCAAAAACCAGUUCUUAGCUUUUUUAGUUAAAAGUUAAGAGACGAGUUCUUAUAUUUCGAUAAAAACAUCACCCUAAAAACCUCCAAUAAUCAUGCUCUCUGGUCGUAUUGAAAAAUAAUGUGAGAACCAGUUAAAUUUGGUUUUGUACUUGUUUGGAAUUGGCAAAUCAAAUUUCCAAAAAAAAAAAAAUUCACUCAAAUAGUUGUCCGGAGGACAACAUAAUGUGGAUGAGUCCUUCUGGUCUGACAGUAUGUGAAGACUUCACUAUUCUAAAUAUAAUUCAAACUAUGCAAAAUAUUGGAAGCAUACAGUUGGGAAAUGUGAGGCUGUAUUUUUAGCCAAGAGACAACCAAAUCAUAUACAGUAUAGCCUCGUGAGUCAAAUAGUAUCAAGCAACUUGACAAUCUAUGGUCCAUAGAUAAUUAAGUUACCUAAGUACGAUCAUCGUUGUCUCGCCAACUCAUAGAUUGUUAAGUUAGUUAAGUACGAUCACUGAUGUGUCUACAUAUGGUCCAUAGAUAGUUAAGCUACCUAAGUACCAUCACUAUUGCGUCUUGAUUAUAGUUUUAAACUUUUACUUAGCGUAUCUUUUUUUUUUUUAUCUUUGACACAGCAAAAGAAACUCAUGGUUGUGUCUCUUUCUUUUUGACCUUUUAAAAACUGAAAACAGAAACACAAUCUAACAUUUCAUUUCAAUCAUUCUUUUCGUUUUUGCUUCUUUCGUUCUCAUAUCCAUCAGAAGACAAAACAUUGGAGAGAGAGGAUACAACAAUGGAAGGCUCAAGAACAAGAACUGAAAAGAAGAAAAAGCUACCCAGUGUUUGGUUUUCACUCAAGAAAUCUCUCCACUGCAAAUCUGAUCCCACCGACGUACACGACCCGAGUUCCAGAAGCAAAGAGACAACCAAGAGAUCAACUUACCGGUCCGGUUGUUCAAGAUCCAUAGCCAAUCUCAAAGACGUAAUCCACGGAAGCAACCGACACUUAGAAAAGCCGACGACUUGCUCUAGCCCUCGUUCAAUCGGAAGCAGCGAGUUUCUCAAUCCCAUCACUCACGAGGUCAUCAUCAGCAACUCCACUUCCGAGCUCAAGAUCACCGCCGCCGCCGGCGACGUAGACUCCUCCACCGGAGCAAGGGAGUUCGUGGGAACUCUGAGACCAGGAACGCCGGUGCAUUACUCCUCUUCAAACAGGAGCCAAGCGUCGAGAAAGGCCUCGUCGGAGAGAGACAGAGGAGGAGCAGCGUUUAAACAGAGCAGGAGAGACUCCGCCGUUGUCAACGGAGACGAUUCCUCUGUUUCUUGCCAUAAAUGCGGCGAGAAGUUUAGCAAACUCGAAGACGCAGAAGCUCAUCACCUCACCGAACACGCCGGUAAUAACACAAAGUUUCGUACUUUACGUCAUAAAGUUUCUAACUUUUUUUUUUGAACUGAAUAAAGUUUCUAACUUUUUCUUUUUUUGAACUGAACAAAGUUUCGAACUUUUUUUUUUAUCAAUAAAGUUUCGCAACUUUCAACCCAAAAAUUUUCAUUUUCGCCAGUGACAGAGCUCGUGGAAGGAGAUUCGUCGAGAAAGAUCGUGGAGAUGAUAUGCAGAACAAGCUGGUUAAAGACAGAGAACCAAUGCGGGAGAAUCGACCGUAUCCUGAAAGUGCACAACAUGCAAAAGACUCUAGCGAGAUUUGAGGAGUACAGAGACACCGUCAAGAACAGAGCGAGCAAGCUACAGAAGAAGCACCCGAGAUGUAUCGCCGACGGAAACGAGCUCCUCAGGUUCCACGGAACCACAGUCUCGUGCGUUCUAGGGGUAAACGGGUGCACGAGCCUUUGCUCGUCGGAGAAGUGCUGCGUUUGCCGGAUAAUAAGAAACGGGUUCUCGGUGAAACGGGAGAUGAAUAACGGGAUAGGGGUUUUCACGGCGUCGACUAGCGGGAGGGCGUUUGAGUCGAUCGAAAUGGACGGUGGUGAUGGGACGACGGAGAGGAAGGCGUUGAUCGUGUGUCGGGUGAUCGCCGGGAGGGUUCAUAGGCCGGUGGAGAAUGUGGAGGAGAUGGGCGGGUUGAAUGGGUUUGAUUCUUUGGCGGGUAAAGUUGGUUUGUAUACUAAUGUUGAGGAGCUUUAUUUGCUUAACUCUCGAGCUUUGCUUCCUUGUUUUGUGGUUAUCUGCAAGCCCUAAAUCAACUUUUUUUUUUGGGGUUAAGUUGUGUGUGGUAUCAAUAGAGUUUUAACAACGCAAAGUUGGAAUAUUGAGUUCACAGCUAUGAAAGUAUUUAGCAUUAAGAACGUAUAAACUGUAGUUGUGUUCACGUAAAACCUAUAACAACAAAAGUUCAUUUGAGACUUUUUGCUACUAUUGUUGGAGCAAGUGGAGUACGAGAAUAAAAGAGACUAAAGUUUGAAGAAGUUACAUCACGUCUUAGAAAGCCGAAGUUACAUCACCGAAGAGUGGAAGCUGAAGUUACAUCACGUGAAGAGUGGAGUAACUUCAGCUUCCACUCUUCACGUGAUAUAUAAAAUAUAUCAUACAUUAAGAUAUGAUGGUUGUUUUAUAUAGCUUAGUGGAGUAUUACGUUUCCUUAAUUUAUGCAAGUAGAAUAGUUUUUUUUGUUAUCUUCAAAGCUAUAUAAAACAACCAUCAUAUCUUAAUGUAAGCAACAAAUUUUGUCUUUCUUGAUGCAAUACUUGUCUGUGAUUAAUUACAACUAUUAGUUCUCCUCCUUUUCUUAAUCAACUUCUAUCAGGUUGUUUUGGCACUGAUCUCUAAGUGGAAAAAGACAGAACGUUUUGUUCGUAAUGGUGUUUAUUGGCUGUUAGAUUCAUGUGGAAUACCAUUAAGAUUACUUGGUGAAGAAAUGGCACCCAUAUUUGGGGAGCACUACUUGUGGGACAGUUGAUGAAGAAUCUAGCUAGGUCCAUCAUCCCAAGAGCACUACUGUCUUUUCUCUGUGUUCUCUAAUAUUUCAAUUGUGGAUGUGCAAAACUCUCUUUUGUUUAUGUUUGGAUGUCUUUCCUUUGUUCGAGUCUUGAAAAUGUGUGUGUGCAAAACUAUAUCAACAAUGUUACGUUUUUGGAUACAUAAGUUUGGUGCUUAAAAGGAUAAACAUCAAGACACUGCAAUAAGUCAACAAAGUGGAGUAUUAUUACAGUACGAACCCCUAAAGCAUGUAGAGUCUGAAACAAAGAGAAGAAAGGUUCUUCAUAUAUUCACACAACAGAAACAAAAUAUCAUAUGCAACUACAACUAGAUCCACACAGCUGUUGUGUAACCGUCCUCUACUACUUGUUCGCUCUCACAUCAAACCAUUUUCCAGCGUUACCUUCUUUGUCACAUAGGAUCUCCUAAUCUUCUUCAUCGGUAGGCUUAGAGGAACCGGCCUUCUUGUUGGGGAGAAGGAGAUUGUGGAUGUUAGGCAUCACUCCUCCAUUAGCAAUCGUCACAUCUCCAAGUAGCUUGCUUAGCUCCUCGUCGUUCCUCACAGCAAGCUGAAUAUGUCGAGGCACAAUCCGAGUCUUCUUGUUAUCUCGUGCUGCGUUCCCGGCAAGCUCAAGUACCUACACAAAUUAAUCACACCAAAUUAACAAACCCACGUUUACAGAUCCGUUAAAGAAACCUCAAUCGGACCCGAGAUUAAACCUUUCGCUAGAUCAUCAAAUUCGAAAACAAGGAAGCAAAUCUAAAUUGGUGAUCAAUAUCUAUUAAAAGAGUCUGUGAUUUACCUCGGCGGCGAGGUAUUCAAGAACGGCGGCGAGAUAAACCGGAGCUCCUGCUCCAACGCGCUCGGCGUACUUUCCGGCCUUGAGGAAUCGGGCGAUACGACCAACGGGGAAUUGGAGCCCGGCCUUGCUACUGCGAGAUGUAGCCUUCUUCGCCGCGCCAGAUCCGAGUUGUUUACCCCGACCCGCCAUCUCUACUACAGCUGAGAAGAUUGAAUUCUCUAGAAAGGCAAACUAGGCCUGGGCAUCCGGGUCUUCGGGUCGGGUUCGGAUCGGGUUUUGUCGAGUCCGGGUCCUUCGAGUCCUAGCAAUUUAGACUCAUAUAGGUACCUAUAACUUUUCGGAUCGAUUCCGGAUCGGGUUUUGUCGGGUCCGGAUCGGUUCAGGUCUAUAAUUUCAAAACUCGUAAAAUACCCAAAAUUUUCGGGUAUAUUUCGGAUCCGGGUCGGUUCGGGUAUUUACGACCCGAAAUAGACCCGAAAUACCCGAAUUGGAUCCGAAAACCCAAAACAUACCCGAAUUUUAUCCGAAUACCCAAAUUAUAUUUUCUAAAAAUCUAAAAUUUCACCAAAAACCUACAAUUAUACCCGAAAAUCCAAACCCAAAACUUAAAAAAAAUCCGAAAUAUCAAAAAUAUACCCAAUCACCUAAAUAUACCUAGUAUAUACAAUUAUUUGCGGGUACUUCGGGUACCCGAACGGGUCUCAGAUAGGACCCUGACCCGAACCGAGACCCGCAGGUCCAAAAAAGACCCAAUAGAUACUUAGCAUGGAUCUGAACCCGGAGCCGAACCUGUAUUUUCGGGUCGGUUACGGUUCGGGUCUUCGGAUCCGGGUAAAAUGCCCAGGCCUAAAGGCAAAGAAAAGUAUAUGGACGACGUGUAAUUGAGACGAUAACAAUAACGAGUAGUUGGUUACAGCGAAACCCGCCAUGAGUAUUGAUAAGUAUCCCUGACCAAUGAUAUGACACUGCACGGAUCGAUAGUUGUGACCGUUAGAUUGUUUUUCAUUUAAGGGAUGCGAUUUGGUUUCCUUCGGUUAGGCACUUUCUUUUUGUCUCUCUUGAACUCGGACUGUUUCAGUGAGUGGUUACAUGGGCUAAUUUGGGCUUAUUAAUUUUAGCCCAAAGUAGCAUAACCUUUUAAUUUAACAUUUUUGGCCCAUGUUGCUUUGGGUCAAGUCCAUGCUCUAUUAUUUUUGCCUUUGAAUCCAAACAAAUUUUGUAUCAUUAUCAGUUUAUCACAAUCAUUAUUUGCAGUUUGGUUGGUUAACAUUCACACGACAAUUUUUGUUCAGUGAAGGUUUUGGACCAGAAGCUAAACUGAUCCCCAGUUUUAAACUAUAAGAUAUUGUCACAUUUUCGUCUAACCAAAUGAGCAAAUGUACCAUCGCUUUUACUAUUGUUGAUAGUAUAAUCCUAUUUUAACCGCUCAAAAUUCCUUUACAGUUCCACUAAAACUCCAUCACUACUAAUUGGAUUCUUAUUCAUUUCAAAUCGUCGGUGACUUUUUGUGCAAUCCUAACUCAGAUGCACAAAUGUUUAUUCAAUAAACUUUUUCUUUUGUUUAGAAGGGUAACCAAUUCUUGUUAAAGUGAUUAUAUUGGUUCAUUCUACGAGAAAAGUGAUUAUAUUGGUUCAUUCUACGAGAAAAAGGAAUUCCGAUUAUCAUUUACCAUAAAAUCAAGCUACAAUUUUUGCUUAAUUUCUCCAAGGAUGGAUAACAAACAGAAGAAAACAGGAUGUAGACAUUCGAAAAGGUGCAUGUCAUGAGCGUGGUGGUGGGUGGCCAUGAUGUUACCAACCUUUGAAACAAAAAUAGGUGGAUCUCACACUUAUUAAAUUGUUCAUUAAUGUGGGAUGUGGAGAUGCCUACGUAAAAAUCACAACACAAUCAUUAUUUGUUUACAUAAAUAAUGGGAAAUUUAUUCAAUCAGAUCAUUUUCUAAGGGUACUAUGUGUAUACAGAAACUUCUUAGGGAUUCUUAGAAUGGAGUUCUUAUCGGAAUAUAAGAACUCGUCUCUUAACUUUUAAUUAAAAAAGUUAAGAACCGGCUCUUAAAAUUUUUAUUCAAAAACCAGUUCUUAGCUUUUUUAGUUAAAAGUUAAGAGACGAGUUCUUAUAUUUCGAUAAAAACAUCACCCUAAAAACCUCCAAUAAUCAUGCUCUCUGGUCGUAUUGAAAAAUAAUGUGAGAACCAGUUAAAUUUGGUUUUGUACUUGUUUGGAAUUGGCAAAUCAAAUUUCCAAAAAAAAAAAAAUUCACUCAAAUAGUUGUCCGGAGGACAACAUAAUGUGGAUGAGUCCUUCUGGUCUGACAGUAUGUGAAGACUUCACUAUUCUAAAUAUAAUUCAAACUAUGCAAAAUAUUGGAAGCAUACAGUUGGGAAAUGUGAGGCUGUAUUUUUAGCCAAGAGACAACCAAAUCAUAUACAGUAUAGCCUCGUGAGUCAAAUAGUAUCAAGCAACUUGACAAUCUAUGGUCCAUAGAUAAUUAAGUUACCUAAGUACGAUCAUCGUUGUCUCGCCAACUCAUAGAUUGUUAAGUUAGUUAAGUACGAUCACUGAUGUGUCUACAUAUGGUCCAUAGAUAGUUAAGCUACCUAAGUACCAUCACUAUUGCGUCUUGAUUAUAGUUUUAAACUUUUACUUAGCGUAUCUUUUUUUUUUUUAUCUUUGACACAGCAAAAGAAACUCAUGGUUGUGUCUCUUUCUUUUUGACCUUUUAAAAACUGAAAACAGAAACACAAUCUAACAUUUCAUUUCAAUCAUUCUUUUCGUUUUUGCUUCUUUCGUUCUCAUAUCCAUCAGAAGACAAAACAUUGGAGAGAGAGGAUACAACAAUGGAAGGCUCAAGAACAAGAACUGAAAAGAAGAAAAAGCUACCCAGUGUUUGGUUUUCACUCAAGAAAUCUCUCCACUGCAAAUCUGAUCCCACCGACGUACACGACCCGAGUUCCAGAAGCAAAGAGACAACCAAGAGAUCAACUUACCGGUCCGGUUGUUCAAGAUCCAUAGCCAAUCUCAAAGACGUAAUCCACGGAAGCAACCGACACUUAGAAAAGCCGACGACUUGCUCUAGCCCUCGUUCAAUCGGAAGCAGCGAGUUUCUCAAUCCCAUCACUCACGAGGUCAUCAUCAGCAACUCCACUUCCGAGCUCAAGAUCACCGCCGCCGCCGGCGACGUAGACUCCUCCACCGGAGCAAGGGAGUUCGUGGGAACUCUGAGACCAGGAACGCCGGUGCAUUACUCCUCUUCAAACAGGAGCCAAGCGUCGAGAAAGGCCUCGUCGGAGAGAGACAGAGGAGGAGCAGCGUUUAAACAGAGCAGGAGAGACUCCGCCGUUGUCAACGGAGACGAUUCCUCUGUUUCUUGCCAUAAAUGCGGCGAGAAGUUUAGCAAACUCGAAGACGCAGAAGCUCAUCACCUCACCGAACACGCCGGUAAUAACACAAAGUUUCGUACUUUACGUCAUAAAGUUUCUAACUUUUUUUUUUGAACUGAAUAAAGUUUCUAACUUUUUCUUUUUUUGAACUGAACAAAGUUUCGAACUUUUUUUUUUAUCAAUAAAGUUUCGCAACUUUCAACCCAAAAAUUUUCAUUUUCGCCAGUGACAGAGCUCGUGGAAGGAGAUUCGUCGAGAAAGAUCGUGGAGAUGAUAUGCAGAACAAGCUGGUUAAAGACAGAGAACCAAUGCGGGAGAAUCGACCGUAUCCUGAAAGUGCACAACAUGCAAAAGACUCUAGCGAGAUUUGAGGAGUACAGAGACACCGUCAAGAACAGAGCGAGCAAGCUACAGAAGAAGCACCCGAGAUGUAUCGCCGACGGAAACGAGCUCCUCAGGUUCCACGGAACCACAGUCUCGUGCGUUCUAGGGGUAAACGGGUGCACGAGCCUUUGCUCGUCGGAGAAGUGCUGCGUUUGCCGGAUAAUAAGAAACGGGUUCUCGGUGAAACGGGAGAUGAAUAACGGGAUAGGGGUUUUCACGGCGUCGACUAGCGGGAGGGCGUUUGAGUCGAUCGAAAUGGACGGUGGUGAUGGGACGACGGAGAGGAAGGCGUUGAUCGUGUGUCGGGUGAUCGCCGGGAGGGUUCAUAGGCCGGUGGAGAAUGUGGAGGAGAUGGGCGGGUUGAAUGGGUUUGAUUCUUUGGCGGGUAAAGUUGGUUUGUAUACUAACGUUGAGGAGCUUUAUUUGCUUAACUCUCGAGCUUUGCUUCCUUGUUUUGUGGUUAUCUGCAAGCCCUAAAUCAACUUUUUUUUUUGGGGUUAAGUUGUGUGUGGUAUCAAUAGAGUUUUAACAACGCAAAGUUGGAAUAUUGAGUUCACAGCUAUGAAAGUAUUUAGCAUUAAGAACGUAUAAACUGUAGUUGUGUUCACGUAAAACCUAUAACAACAAAAGUUCAUUUGAGACUUUUUGCUACUAUUGUUGGAGCAAGUGGAGUACGAGAAUAAAAGAGACUAAAGUUUGAAGAAGUUACAUCACGUCUUAGAAAGCCGAAGUUACAUCACCGAAGAGUGGAAGCUGAAGUUACAUCACGUGAAGAGUGGAGUAACUUCAGCUUCCACUCUUCACGUGAUAUAUAAAAUAUAUCAUACAUUAAGAUAUGAUGGUUGUUUUAUAUAGCUUAGUGGAGUAUUACGUUUCCUUAAUUUAUGCAAGUAGAAUAGUUUUUUUUGUUAUCUUCAAAGCUAUAUAAAACAACCAUCAUAUCUUAAUGUAAGCAACAAAUUUUGUCUUUCUUGAUGCAAUACUUGUCUGUGAUUAAUUACAACUAUUAGUUCUCCUCCUUUUCUUAAUCAACUUCUAUCAGGUUGUUUUGGCACUGAUCUCUAAGUGGAAAAAGACAGAACGUUUUGUUCGUAAUGGUGUUUAUUGGCUGUUAGAUUCAUGUGGAAUAGAGAAAUGGAGAAAUGGGGAUUGUUAAGUUAGUUAAGUACGAUCACUGAUGUGUCUACAUAUGGUCCAUAGAUAGUUAAGCUACCUAAGUACCAUCACUAUUGCGUCUUGAUUAUAGUUUUAAACUUUUACUUAGCGUAUCUUUUUUUUUUUUAUCUUUGACACAGCAAAAGAAACUCAUGGUUGUGUCUCUUUCUUUUUGACCUUUUAAAAACUGAAAACAGAAACACAAUCUAACAUUUCAUUUCAAUCAUUCUUUUCGUUUUUGCUUCUUUCGUUCUCAUAUCCAUCAGAAGACAAAACAUUGGAGAGAGAGGAUACAACAAUGGAAGGCUCAAGAACAAGAACUGAAAAGAAGAAAAAGCUACCCAGUGUUUGGUUUUCACUCAAGAAAUCUCUCCACUGCAAAUCUGAUCCCACCGACGUACACGACCCGAGUUCCAGAAGCAAAGAGACAACCAAGAGAUCAACUUACCGGUCCGGAAUAAAAAGGGAAUGGAGGUUGAAGAGCGCCAGAAAGAUGCUUUUGUUUCACGGGUGGAGGAUACUGGUCAAUGCCAAAGCAAUAACUUGUAGACAAAUAAUAAGUCUAGGGCAAUAUAUAAUUGGUUAGUCAUGCCCUAUUUGGUAUUUUGCACAUCUCGUGUCAGAAUAUGUGAAGAGAAAAAAUAAUGAGCAAUAUGUUCUAACCAUGAAAAUGGAGCUGAUGCAACUUUAUUUCUCUUUUAGUCGUUAUCAUUCGUAAUAUGAGGCUCAUACUAGGGAUGAUAGUGUUAUCUAAUUAGCAUAUUCAGCUUGAAUAAUGCCAUAUGUUUUAGCUAAAACCCCUCGUUAGCCAAAUAUGUAAUACAUAUAGUUCGCCGUAAGCAAUGUAGUUUUUAGUCGAGAGUCAAACUUUGAAGUUUGAAGUGUUGAGGGAACUUUGAUUACUGAUGGAUUUACAACAGAAACUCUGACGUGCUACUCCGAAAUAAUAUGCCUUCCGGCCUAGAAAAUCAAAUUUGAAUCAUAAUAAAAAGGGUGCAAUUAAAUUUGAAAACAUCAGGCUUACAUACAUCAAACAUGAUAUGGUCAUGCUGUUGUUUAUAAUUGAAAAGAAGAGUGAACAAAAAUAUAAAUCUCGCUAACAUACUGUUUGAAUAAGGCAGUCCAUACAAAUUGCAAAGGCACUGAGACAAAGCUUGCAUCAAAAGUGUCUACAAGACUAGGACUACUAAAAACAAUCUUAACACACAACUAGACCUAAUUACACUCCGUACCCUUUUUUUGUUGCUAAAAAUGUAAAUAUCAUUAACAAUGCAAUGAAAGCCUGAUUACAAGAGAACUUGAAAUCAAGUUUACUAGAUAGAGCCGCAAAAAAAUGUAAAAAGACUCAUAACAUCAAACAUAAAUCAAAGCUUGACUAACUAGAGCUAAGCGAUGAAGUUCAAAUCAGUAUCAAGCGACAGCAAUAUAAUCCUAAACAAGCGCUUCCUAAAUCCUAAGUUAACCUGCUGGAUGAAGGAGAAGGUCUAGUGGUUGUGAUUUGCCGCUGUCAAACCAAUCGCCAUAGGACCACAGACUUUUAAAUGUUCAAACCAUUUUUGAGAAAAGUUUGAUUAUGCUAGGUUAGUUAAAUCUGAUUAAUUCAUCUAAGUCCAUAUUAUGUUCUUUCUAAACAUGUCAUAACAUAAGAUAAGUCCGAUAAUGUACAUGCGUUAAUUGUAGACAACAGAAGAAUUGUUUAACCUAUAUUGGUCACUCAUAAGUUACUAAGUUAGCAUGCUUUCGUGUAACUUCAUGUGCUAGUUAUACAUGUUUAGCCUAUGGUUUGACGGGAUCUCGUGUGGAAGCACUCCCAACUGUGAGAAGGUACAAGUAUGGCAGAGAGAUGAAUGAAGAAGGUUUCUAUUGCAGCUAACAUGAACUUCUAUUGGUUCAUUUGCUAAAGGUUUCGCUUUGGCAGUAUGCCAGUAUACAAUACAACCUUUUCUAAAUAAACAACUUCUCGGAAUCGCAAAAAGCUUUAUUAGUGAAUUCUUAACAAACACUGUAGCCUGAUCAAAACUACAAGCAAACUAAAAAUAGACAAUUCGUUGUUUAUCUCACUGCUUGAGUUUGUGAUUCAAGGAAGGAAACUUAAAAUUGAUAGAAGCAUCAAUUGUUUGAUGAAUAAUUUCCUCAAUACCAUAUUUGUACUAAAAUAUCAAGAUAUAGAGAGAAGAGAGCACAAGAACUUAAACUGUAUCACUAAGGUUAAUGAAUCAUGUACAUGUGGGUCUGUUUAUAUACAAGUAUACACGUGUAUAGAAGCGUAUACAGAGCCUCUGUAUCUAUACAAGUAUAUGAGACUAAGUAUACGUAAUAUAAAACCCCAGUUCUCUUAACUUCUUUGAAGAAAUCAUAGACGUCAUCAAACCUGGUCUCUCUUCCAGAUCAUCAUCUACCCUAUAAACCAAGAAUAAAAUUGUGAAAAUUUUGGUGUAAAAAAAAAAAAGAGUCAAUAAAAUCAUUUGAAGAUUGUAAAGUUUCAAGAACUUACUUAUCAAUAUUGUCAACGCAACAUAUGCAUUGACCUUCAGCUUGUGGUUCUUCUAUCAGAAACAAAUGCGCCAUGCAAAUAUCUUGUAUGUGUACCAAACCAAUCGAACCCAUUCUUUUGUUCACUGCUGAUAGUAUCCCAAACAACUAGGAGUCACCUCAAAACCAAAAUGGUAAAUAAUUAUGCCCAGCAUAUCAGUUUAUAUUUGAUAACAAAAAAUAUUAUAUAUACACACACGCACCUGUUAUUGGAGAAAGAGAACUUGAAGGCUUGAUGGGAGUGAAGGAGUAAGAAAUGGACCCUAGACAGUAGUUGGAAUGACUGAAACAAGAUCCAAUCAUCAUUCUUUUUCAUAUCUAAAUGAUUCUUCCUCUUAUACGAGUUUCGAUAGUACAUAAAUCUGUCGUCCACACAAAGUCCAAAUCUAUUUAUAACGUGCCUAAAGGAAUUGUGUCAUGUAAUGGACUAUAUAAUAUUGUAAUAAUAUUUACCCAUCCACUUACUUUUGUUUAAUAAGUACAUGAUCAAUGGGAGUCUUGCAACUCUCGUCCACGAUUGAUCUCCACCGUUCAUUUUCAUCUUUGGCUGUGAGAGUACUGAUGGAUGAUGAAGACAACUCUCUUGACUGAUUUUGACUUUAGACAAGAACCAAGUACGUUAUGUACGCCUUUUAUCGCCGGAUCAAUGACUUUGCUCUGGACAUAACUCAUUAACUCUCUGAGAUUCAAAACCCGUUUCGUUUUGGUUAAAUCCAAGACCAGACAUUUGAAAUAAUUUAGCAAAUAGUACGUGUUCUUUGAUCUUAACAUGAGACUUCCAUCACCUACUACAUUUUAAGUUGAAAAAAAUAGGUACGUGGAACAAAACCGUCGUACCGAGAUUGACGUGAUUCGGUGAGAUGUCAUGUCAAACUCCAUGGAAGCCGCUACAUGGAAGAGUAGACGCCGUCACAGCCUUCAAUGGCGUCAACAAAACUGCCAUCAUCUUGAAAGAUCCGCUCGGAAUAAUCUAAGCCGUUCCGCGUUCAUUUCCUCUCCACUUGGUUUGAAAAUAUUGAGAUUUUGCUUCAAACUAUUAUGCAUGCAAACCAGAUUAACCAAUAACAUUCCCAUGAAUUUUAUUUUACAAACGAAGUUUCAAUUCAGUUUAAUUGUAUUAAAAAUAACAAAUAAUUUCACCGUCGUGCAAGAACUUAUCAUUGAUAAUCAUAUUAGUUUUUCUGAAAAAAGAAGAAAUAAAAUAGUUCUUUAGAAAACAAGAGAAUACCAAGAUCUCUGAGGCUAUCUCUAAUCCCAACUCCAAAACACUAUAUUUUUAGCAUGAUUUUAGCAUAAAAUUUCUACGACGCAACGUUAAAAGUUACACUUUUUAUUGUAACAUUACAAUUUUACACUAAAUUUACUGUAAAACUAUAGUGUAUGUUGCACUAAAAUAGUGUAAUUUUUUAGUGUUGGGUUAGAGAAUUUUUGUCUGACAAUCAUAUUAAAAUGAUAUUUUGGAGUUGGAUUGGAAAUUCAAUGUAGGGUUUUUACCAAAACUAACCCACAACUUGAUUUUAACCUCAAACAUAUAUUCAAAUUUGAAUCAAAUGCAAAACUAACCUAAAAGCUUUGUGAAAUUACAGCCCAGCUCCUUGUGACCAAACAAAAAAACAGAAGUCAUUUUUACGAAUAUAGCCCUAAUAAGUCGUCUGAGUCGUCUGAGAUGUUGGAAGUCGUCUGGACGACUUCAAAGUAAGUCUUCUGGUGUAGCUGAUCUUAAAAGUAAUUUAUAAAUUUUUUAAAAAAUAUUUUGAUAAGCGAAAAAUUAAAAUUAUGUAAUUAUAAACAGUUUAAGUGAUAUAAAUUAAAAUAUAAUAAAAUUGAAUUGUUUUCAACAUAGAUGAGUGUAGGUAGUGAAUCAUGGUAUUCUUAGGUCUAAGGUUUGGCAACAUAUGUUGUAGUAUUGUAUGUAUUCUUAGGUUAGAUUUUAGAAAGUUUAAAUGGUUUUUUGAAAAAUUAAUUUUUUACUUAUACAUGUUUAUUUUUGUGUAUAGUAAACAAUUUUGAAGUUUAAUUUGAUUUUAUGAAGUGUUUAGUUAGUUAAUUAAGUUUAGGGGUUAUGUUUAGGGUCUAGACGACUUACAUUUUAGUCGUCUGGUGAAGAAAUUGAAACAGACGACUUACAUGUAAGUCGUCCAAAUAUUCCCGCCUAAAAUUUAAAAAAAACUUAUUUUCCCGCUUAAAUAAUUUAAACCAGACGACUUACUUGUAAGUCGUCUCGGAAGUCUUCUAUUUUAGUUUUCCGCUAAAAAUAUUUUAAUUUCCCGCUAAAAAUAUUAAAGUCUUCUGGACAACUUACAAGUAAGUCAUCUAGGAAGUCGUCUGAACCAAAAAUAUUUCACCUAAUUGGAUUUUUUGUCUCCCUAUAUAAAGAAAAAUUUACACAUUCUCUCUCAUCCUCUCAAAUGGCUGCAAUAAAAAUGUAAUGUUCAUCAUUCUAAAAUUCUCCAACCUCUCUCUAUUCUCUUUGACUUGAAAACACCAAACUUUAUAUGAAUUUUUCAGUUUUGUCUCAUGUAUUUCUUACUAAUCUAUCUCACAACAUCUCUCUCACUUUCUCUCCACAUUCAACUAAAAAAACUCAAAAUUUUGAUUCUACAUUUUUUAUGGUUCAUAGAGUCAUAGAAGCUAACGAUUCUAGGUGGGUCACUUUCGUUUGAGAUUCUGUGUGCUUGGAGAAGCCUUAUGUGUGCUAAGGAAGUUAUCUCACCAAUUUAAGGUAUGAAAUCGAGUUUUUUUCCAGAUCUGUUCGUCCAGACGACUUACCUCGUAAGUCGUCUGGCUGUAGACGAAGUCGUCUGGCUGUAGACGAAGUCGUCUGAUCAAUGCAGAGGUUAUUUUUGCAAUUGACUUUGAAAUCUGUUUUCUGAGACGACUGAAAUAUAAGUCGUCUCCUUUUGUUUGGUUACAAAAAAAUCUCCAAAGAACCUAGAUGACUUACAUUUCAGUAGUCUGGUGAAAAGUUGAAAUAUCAAUAUUUUAUUUAAACUCGACGACUUACAAUUAAGUCGUCAUAGGUUAGUUUUGCAAUUAAAAAAUAAAACUUCAAUAUUUAAUUAUAUAUAGACGACUUACAAUUCAGUCGUCCGAUAUUUACGAGGUUUGACCAGAAUCUCGGAAUAAAAUCUUGGACGACCGAAGACUUUUGGGAUGACUUACAUGUUAGUCGUCUAAAAUAUAAUGCACUAGACUGUCUGGGUAUAAUUAAAUAUUGAAGUUUUUUUUAAUUACAAAACUAACCUAUGACGACUUAAUUGUAAGUCGUCUAGUUUUAAUAAAAUAUUGAUAUUUCAAUUUUUACCAGACGACUGAAAUGUAAGUCGUCUAUGAAAGUCAGACUUCUGAAAUAAUCCAGUUAAAUGCAAAACUAACCUAUGACGACUGAAAUGUAAGUCGUCUAGGUUCUUUGGAGAUUUUUUUGUAACCAAACAAAAUCAGACGACUUAACUUUCGGUCGUCUCAGAAAACAAAUUUCAAAGUCAAUUGCAAAAAUAACCUCUGCGUUGACCAGACGACUUCCAGGUAAGUCGUCUACAGCCAGACGAACAAACAGAGAUCUUCCAGACGACUUCCAUUUUAGUUGUCUGGACUUCCUAAAAGUCGUCUGGACUUCCUUGAAGUCGUCUGGAAGUCGUCUGGACUUCCUAGAAGUUGUCUGGACUUCCUAGAAGUCGUUUGGACUUCCUGGAAGCCUUCUGAAAAAGUCUUUUUCCAUAUCAAGUGGAGUCCAAGCUUGUCUUUGUAGAUGAAUGAUCUAUAAUAAUUUUGUUUGUGGUCUGUUUUGUGUUGCAUGUCUACUCUUUUAGUUGUGAUAUUUUUUGUAAAAUCAGUAAUAAUGUUUCCCAAGAUGUAAUACAUGUGCUAACAAUGUGUUUACACAUUUAUAAAUCAAUGAAAUAAUAGACUUCAUUAGCCUUUUUCUUAUCUUUGGAUCUCUUAUAUGCAAUAAUAAACUCCAAUGGCCUUUUUCUCAUCUUAAUAAACAAGAAUGUUGGUAGCUUCAUAUUGAUACAACAUUUUAAGAAGCAUUUUAACCCUUCUUCCAACUCAUAACAAUAAUCAUCAUUAGUGUCUAUAACAAUAAUACUUAAGAGAUGGAAACAAACAAUAGUAACUAGUCAAAGCAUAUCAUAUUUUUUAUAAGUUUGUGUUGAAAAACUUAGUCAAAUUUAGUAAAACUAAGGGAGAGAACAUAUUUUGAAAAUAUGAGUUUUACAUAUCUUGAAGUUACUUAUCACUCUUAAAAAUACAAGUUAUUCAAAAACUAGCAUAGAAGACUUAAAAACUAGCGGAGAAGACUUCCACGGAAGUCUUCUAAGAUCAGUUAGAAACUUUAAUUAACGUGAAUGUUGGUAACCUCAUAAAUAUCACCAAUUUAGUUAUAAAUUUCAUUCAGUAGCCCAAAUAUUUAUUAAUAAACAUGAAUUAACAAGAAAAUGUUAAAAUAGUUUUAGAAAAAAUGCAAGUUUAUUAAACAUUGACGCAGACGACAUCCACAGUGGUCAUCUAGUAGACUUCCAGAGAAGUCGUCCAUUUAGGUCGACGCAGAUGACUUCAAUCUAAGUCUUCCAGGCGACUAAAAUAUUAGUUGUCUGGUCAACGCAGAGGUUAUUUUUGCAAUUGACUAUGAAAUCUGUUAUUUGAGACGACUGAAAAAUAAGUCGUCUACUUUUGUUUGGUUAAAAAAAACUCCAAAAAGCUAGACGACUUACAUUUCAGUCGUCAUAGGUUAGUUUUGCAUUUGACUGGAUUAUUUCAGAAGUUUGACUUUCCUGUACAACUUACAUUUCAGUCGUCUCGUGAAAAUUAAAAUAAUAAUAUUUUUAAAAAACUAGACGACUUACAAUUAAGUCGUCAUAGGUUAGUUUUGCAAUUAAAAAAUAAAACUUCAAUAUUUAAUUAUAUAUAGACGACUUACAAUUCAGUCGUCCGAUAUUUACGAGGUUUGACCAGAAUCUCGGAAUAAAAUCUUGGACGACUUACAUGUAAGUUGUCUGGGUAUAAUUAAAUAUUGAAGUUUUUUUUAAUUACAAAACUAACCUAUGACGACUUAAUUGUAAGUCGUCUAGUUUUAAUAAAAUAUUGAUAUUUCAAUUUUUACCAGACGACUGAAAUGUAAGUCGUCUAUGAAAGUCAGACUUCUGAAAUAAUCCAGUUAAAUGCAAAACUAACCUAUGACGACUGAAAUGUAAGUCGUCUAGGUUCUUUGGAGAUUUUUUUGUAACCAAACAAAAUCAGACGACUUAACUUUCGGUCGUCUCAGAAAACAAAUUUCAAAGUCAAUUGCAAAAAUAACCUCUGCGUUGACCAGACGACUUUCAGGUAAGUCGUCUACAGCCAGACGAACAAACAGAUCUGGAAAAAAAUUUGAUUUCAUACCUUAAAUUAGUGAGAUAACUUCCUUAGCACACAUAAGGCUUCUUCAAGAACACAUAAUCUCAAAAGAAAGUGACCCACCCAGAAUCGUUAGCUUCUUUGACUCUAUGAACCAUAAAAAAUGUAGAAUCAAAAUCUUGAGUUUUUUUAGCUUAAUGUGGAGAGAAAGUGAGAGAGAUGUUGUGUGUUAGUUCAUAAGAAUGAAGAAAGAAGAAGGGUAAAUCGAUUUUGGGAGCAUUAAGAGCUUCAAAUUAGUUCUUCAUGGUGGUUAGGGUAUUGAUGACAAUGGCAAUCUUGUAAUUACUUGAAGAUGAUGAGGGUGAAAGAAUAAAAAUGUCAUUUUCGAAAAAAAAAAAAAUUGAUGACAUUUUCGUGAAUUAUAUGAACUUGUGGAGUGAAGAGGGCAAAACUAAUUUCCAUAAAAGGAGGUUAGUUUUGUGUUUGACUUUGAGUUGUAGGUCAAUUUUGCAAAAAAGCCUUUCAAUGUAUAACUAUAGUGUUGCAUUUAAACAGUUUAACUUUUAGUGUUGGGUUGGAAAAUUUUGUCUGGAAAUCACUCUAAAUUAGUAUUAACAGUGUAGCCUCUUUCGAGAAGAGACUUAACAAACCAAGAACCGACGUAUCCAUUUGCACCUGUCACGCAAUACGUCAUCGUUUCUUCCAUCUCCAUUAGAUUCCAUUGUCUCUCUUCUUUGUCUUCUCCAAAUGCCAAUGUUGGUUUACAGUUUACAGUGUAGAUUAUUGAUUUUGGCCUGUAACGCAUACCACCGCUUUUUGUUUUUUGCGCGUCUGUGCUAUUUUAAUAUUGCUUUGGUUUGGUGUUACCUUUUUAUUUAUGGUUUGACAAAAGUUGUGUGUUUCCAAAACCUGACAUUUGGAAAAGUACUAGACAAACAUAUUUUUCUUUUCUUUUCUUGUUUUUCGUUUCAUAAGGUAAGAUUGGAUUAGGCGGUGGUUUUUUUUCUGUCAUAUGGAUGUAGUAUUAAAACAAAAGUGACAUAUAACAUAAGCUAGUUGUCAACAAAACGACACCAGAACCAUCAGCCCACAAGAGGAGGCAAAGUUCAAACAAAGGAAAUUUACAACCAUUUGUGGUGUUAUCAUAGUGCAAGGGUAACCUACAACCAAUAGCAUUGGUGUUGUUAUCAUAGUGCAUUUUGAUACACGCUAGAAACUGGGAAAUGCAAGAAAAGAAAGAUAACACAUAUACAACAUCAUUGGAUAAGACUUAGAAUAUUUAGAACAUAAGAAACAGCUGUCGAAAACUUGAUCGCUGUGUUUGGUGUUGUCAUCCAGCGAAGCGGCUUCUCUUGUGUAAGUUGUGUUUGGUUUACCUCCUUAGUUCUUCCACAUCACAGAGAGAUGGAUUCCAAGACAUUUUGUAAGAAGGGUGAGAUGAUAUGGGCUUCACUGGGCUUAGCCCAUACACCCAUACUUUACUGAACAAUAAAACUAAGAUCGUAGCAGCACAUCAUUAGCGGUAGCACUAAUAAAAUUUGUAUGUUUUUUGAGAUACUUUGUCAGCUAAUCUAGUCAGAAGACUUUUAGUUCUACAUAGUGGACUGAUUAUUACCUAAUUCGAAUUUAAAAUAUUUUCCAACUAAUACUAGAAAUGGCUAAAUUGCAUUUGUUAGCGGAUUACCAUGUAAACUAACCGAAUCGAAGUCAAAAUCCAAAUUUUCUAUAUAGCUGUAACUAUGGUUUAAAAAAGACUCGAAUCCUGGAAGAGUAUUGUAACACAUUCUUAAGUCUCAUCUGCCACUUGUCCAGAUCCUCUGUAUACUAAUUGGGGAUCUCUUAAAAAGUUAUAACCUGAAUUUUGUAAAAAUUUUAAAAAAUUUUGUCAUAUGUGGCACUUGUGUAUGUCUUCUAAAUCCUAUUUCAAAGAAUUCUAAAACUCCUUAUAUAUACUAUAGUCUAAAAAAUAUACUCUCUAGCAAAAUAAUAUUUCGCACGCUAUAGUUGGUCGCAUAUAUCAAAUAUUUAUUGUUUAGCAGACUUUCCUUAAAUAAAACCUACGAAAUUACCUAAUGUGAUUAAAAUAUAUAUAUAGCAAUUAAUAAUUUUAAAAAAUAAAGAUUUGAUAACAAUUUAUAUACUUUUAUCAUUUUUGUUGAUUCUUUUAUUAUUAAAAUAAAUUACAUAAUUACAUUAAUCAUAUAAUAAAAAUCUUAAUAAAAAUCUAGAUUUUUUUGUAUAUGUUGUAUUUUGAAUUUUUCAAAACGAGUAUAAAUUACUAAAACUAUUAAAAGUAUCACAUAAUUUUGUUUUAUAAUAUGUAAAUUUGCAUUAAUAAAUAUAAACAUUACAGUAUACAGAAUUUUGUUUUAUAAUAUGUAAAUUUGCAUAUGUGCAUUGAUUGGUUCAUUUGGACAUAUGGUAUAAUAGUUUGUAAGUAUCGUUACUAUAUUAACAUUCCAAACCACCAUACAUGUAAUUGUUGAUGGAAUUUAGUUUUUUUUUUUUUUGAACAACCUGUUUCUAUUAUUUAUAAAGUGGUGGGUGUUGUCUGGUGAAUGAAAAAGGAGAACAGUUGGGAAAUUACAUAGGCACAAACCUCAUCAUGUGACACCCUAAAAAGACCUUCAUCUUAUACCCACUCAUACGCACACACACAAAUCCACAAUAACCACCAAACCUAUAGUAUAUUCAUUAUUAAUGAAGAAUCUAUGACUGCAACACACACCAUGAUUCAACAAUAGAAGGGAAUCUUAUCUUAAUAAUCCAAUUUCGUAAACAUUAUUUUCGCAAUCAAAUAAAAACUUCCUUCCUGUUUGUUAUCAGUAUCAUCUUAAUCUUCUUCUUCGUCAUCUUCCAAUUUAUCGCACUAAGUAAACAGCCCAAGAGCUAUUUUCCCAACAUUCCAUUGGCCCACUACAAACGGUAAUAUCAUGUUUAAAACCCUUUGUUUGGGUAGUCUUUAAAUCUUUUCCCCUACUUAGAAAAUUCAUCGUUACAUAAUUCAAUGGAUGUAAUGGAAUCAUCCUAACAAAAAUUUCUGACCUCCGUUUUAUUUAGUGAAUAGUUUCUGUGGAGACCAUAUUGUUUUACUCUAUGAGCCUAAAGCGAUUACAGUGUACAUAUAUUUUUUCCACUUGUGGUCUUAAUCUUGUUCCCCACCUUCUUUGGUUUCGAAAAAAAGUUCAUCUACCUUUCUUCUUUCUUCUUUCUUCUGACUAUUAUAUUCCAAUUCUCUUUUUUUCUUACAACAUAUCAUGAACAAACUCAUCAUUUAUUAUUGUCAACCACACUAACAAUAACAAGAAAAAGGCACUAACCACAACAAGAAAAUAGGGCACUUGUUCAUGGAAUCAUCAAAACAAUCCAUCCCUAAAUGAUGUCCUCUUUUAUGUAAAACAAAAUGAUGUCCUCGCAUCUUAACAUUUUACAAAAAAAAAUGAUUUCCUCUUCUAUGUUCUUCUGCACAUCUAGAAAGCUUCUCAUUACGCCAAAACCAGCAAUAUCAUGAUUGGAUAGAAGCAUCGUCACACUACUCGAUAGGAUGAAUCUAUUCGAUCCCACUAUCAAUCACGUACAUCAAAAAGACAUGUACAGUAUCGUAGAUACACUUUCGUAGAAAAAAAAAGUAGAAACUCUUUUGUUUUUAAUGGACACCGAGUUCAUAAUCAGUAUAACUCAUACAUAGCAUAAUUUCACGUUUUUAUUUUAAAAAUUGGCAAACAGCUAAUGAAUAACAUAUUGCUUUAGUUUUCAAUUAUUAUAUUACUUCAUUUAAAACAAAAAGUAAGAUAUUAACAUAUUAAAUAAUAAAUAGGGGACAACAAAACGUUAACUAGAAAAGAAAUGAAUGAAAGGAAAUCAAGUAAAGGACACGUAUUAUCUAUUUCGUUUCUAAGAAAGAAAAAGUUAACUACUUUACUGGUUGUAGUUGUAGUUGAAGUUGUGAUCUUGUAGGUGAAGCGGGCGUUUGCUUACGUGCAUGGACCCAUCGGUUAUGAUUUUAGGGGACACGAAUUAACAAUAAUGGGCUGAAAAGUUCUUAUGACCUGACAGCAUAUUUGUUGCACGUCUUUUAGGUUAGAAUUCCUUAACAUAAUAUAAUAUAAGAUACAAUCUUUUAGAUUUUAACUAAAAAAACUAAGAAACGUCUUUAAAAUAAGAGAUAUAAGAGACGUGUUUUAGUUUUUUUAGUUAAAAAGCUAAGAUACCGUAUUUUGUAUUACGCUAAGAACUCCAGCCUAAAAGACGUGCAAUAAACAUGCUUUAAGUCCACUUCAUGGUUUCACCUUAUCCCUGUUGGUACUAACUUACAUGGUCUAAUAACAUUUUGAAUUUGAUGCACCUUAUAUGAUAUAAAUAUAAUCUUAAGUCAAUACUAAGCCUGUUCCUGAUUAAUUUUUGCGUAAGCAUUGCCACAAGAGAAGGACUGUCUUGAUUUGAUUCUGGACAGAUUUUAUGAUUUGCGUUAUGUUUAUAAACUUAACUUUUUGUUGUACAUGGAAACAGUAUAUCAGUGUGUAGUACUUUUUUACCCAACAUUUCGCACAUGCACACUAUCAAAUCCAAAUUAUAUUUAUAUCAACGUAACUAAUAUACAACAUUAGACUAUAUAAAUUUCGCUCACCACGAUUAAAAUUUGUACCUAAUUAUCAUAGAUAUAUUAUUGAUAUGAAUUGGUAACUACAGUACAAAGGUAUAGCUCACGCCUUUUUACCAAAAAAAAAAAGAUGGUAUGUUUACGAACGAGACGAGGAUCUUUGUUUUCUGCGCGAUAAUGUUUCUCGUCUUUUUUAUUGACUAUUUUAUUUAGAUACUAGGAGGGUGAAUGGUUGUUGUUGAGAGUAUGGUUGAACAUUUUAUCCGUUAAAUUUGAUUCGAUUUGUUAUUCGUUUCGAUUCGAUCCGAAAAUUCUGGAUAUCCGUAAACUUUCGAAACAAAACAAAUACUAAAAAUCAAUAUCCGUUAAAAUCGAAGCAAAUCACAAAUAUUAAAAUUUUAGAAAGCAGAUAUCUGAUCCUUCAAUAAAUAAAUACAUGUAUAUUUUGAUUAUAUUUAAAAUUUUAAAUGUAUAAAAUUAUAUAAUUAUUAUUCUAACAUAUGAUUUGAUAAAUUCUAUUCACAUUAUUACUUAUAUAAAAAUAUUACAUAAAAGGAAAAGAACGCAUUUAUGACAAUUAUAAUUUUUUUCUUAAGUUUUUUAUUAUUAUAAUUGUUAACUAAGUUCAAAAAAUUUACAAAAUAUGUAGAUUCACUACUUCUUUUAAUUUUUAUCAUAUAUAUCAUGCAAACAAUUAUUUUACAAAACAAAUUUAUAUCAAAUUUUUAAGACUAUUUGUAUUAAUGAGAACAUAUGAGAUAUCCGUAAGUAUUCGUAAAUAUCAGCAAAUAUCUAUUUAUUUUUAGGAUAUCCGUUUUUCCGAAUAUCCAUAUUUUUCCGAAGCAAACCAAAUCGAAAAAUUAGAUAUAUAUGACAUACAAAGCAAAUCACAAAUACCUUCAAAAACACGGAUAUCCGAUCCGUGUCCAGGUAUAGCCGAGAGUGUUGUCCAUAGCGCUGAUUAAAUUUACAGCAUUAUCUAUAAAGUAAUCAAUUUUUUUCUGAACCGAUUAAAAGUAAUCAAAUUUUAUUUAAAAAGCUCUGUUCACAGCAGUUUGGAAAAGAAACGUAUGUGCAUGUGAUUUACUAAGGUCAUGUUUGUUUACGUGUCGUGCGACCUACGACUUACGACUAAGAUUCCGUUCAUUUACGUGUCGCGCGACCUGCGACCUGCGACUAAACAUGCGAUUAAAACUAUAUUCGUUUACGUGUCGUGCGACCUGCGAUUUGCGACCUGCGACCAGUCGCGCGAUCAAAAUUUUCUUAAUUUUUAGUCGUCGUUUUUUCUGGAGACUUGAAUGGGAAUCCACGACUGGUCGUGCGAAACAUUUCGCACAUGCACACUAUCAAAUCCAAAUUAUAUUUAUAUCAACGUAACUAAUAUACAACAUUAGACUAUAUAAAUUUCGCUCACCACGAUUAAAAUUUGUACCUAAUUAUCAUAGAUAUAUUAUUGAUAUGAAUUGGUAACUACAGUACAAAGGUAUAGCUCACGCCUUUUUACCAAAAAAAAAAAGAUGGUAUGUUUACGAACGAGACGAGGAUCUUUGUUUUCUGCGCGAUAAUGUUUCUCGUCUUUUUUAUUGACUAUUUUAUUUAGAUACUAGGAGGGUGAAUGGUUGUUGUUGAGAGUAUGGUUGAACAUUUUAUCCGUUAAAUUUGAUUCGAUUUGUUAUUCGUUUCGAUUCGAUCCGAAAAUUCUGGAUAUCCGUAAACUUUCGAAACAAAACAAAUACUAAAAAUCAAUAUCCGUUAAAAUCGAAGCAAAUCACAAAUAUUAAAAUUUUAGAAAGCAGAUAUCUGAUCCUUCAAUAAAUAAAUACAUGUAUAUUUUGAUUAUAUUUAAAAUUUUAAAUGUAUAAAAUUAUAUAAUUAUUAUUCUAACAUAUGAUUUGAUAAAUUCUAUUCACAUUAUUACUUAUAUAAAAAUAUUACAUAAAAGGAAAAGAACGCAUUUAUGACAAUUAUAAUUUUUUUCUUAAGUUUUUUAUUAUUAUAAUUGUUAACUAAGUUCAAAAAAUUUACAAAAUAUGUAGAUUCACUACUUCUUUUAAUUUUUAUCAUAUAUAUCAUGCAAACAAUUAUUUUACAAAACAAAUUUAUAUCAAAUUUUUAAGACUAUUUGUAUUAAUGAGAACAUAUGAGAUAUCCGUAAGUAUUCGUAAAUAUCAGCAAAUAUCUAUUUAUUUUUAGGAUAUCCGUUUUUCCGAAUAUCCAUAUUUUUCCGAAGCAAACCAAAUCGAAAAAUUAGAUAUAUAUGACAUACAAAGCAAAUCACAAAUACCUUCAAAAACACGGAUAUCCGAUCCGUGUCCAGGUAUAGCCGAGAGUGUUGUCCAUAGCGCUGAUUAAAUUUACAGCAUUAUCUAUAAAGUAAUCAAUUUUUUUCUGAACCGAUUAAAAGUAAUCAAAUUUUAUUUAAAAAGCUCUGUUCACAGCAGUUUGGAAAAGAAACGUAUGUGCAUGUGAUUUACUAAGGUCAUGUUUGUUUACGUGUCGUGCGACCUACGACUUACGACUAAGAUUCCGUUCAUUUACGUGUCGCGCGACCUGCGACCUGCGACUAAACAUGCGAUUAAAACUAUAUUCGUUUACGUGUCGUGCGACCUGCGAUUUGCGACCUGCGACCAGUCGCGCGAUCAAAAUUUUCUUAAUUUUUAGUCGUCGUUUUUUCUGGAGACUUGAAUGGGAAUCCACGACUGGUCGUGCGAUCAGUCACGCGACAUCAAAACGAACAACAACCUGCGACUUGCGACAUGCGAUCAAUUGCAGGUCGCAUGUUACGCGACAACAAAACGAACAACAACCUGCGACCUGCGAUCAGUUGCAGGUUACAGAUUACGCGAUAGAUAAACGAAAAUGGGUCUAAGCUAAAUAUCAACCGUUUAGUUUUGUGGGCUUUCAAGAAAACAAAAUGUAACAUUUUAUUUAACACUUAUUCAAUGAAUAGUAUAAAUAAUAAAAACCAUAGUAACAACCAUUCACCCUCGUAAAUAUAUAGAAAAUUUUAAUAAUCGUCAUUUUUCACUUCGAUGUAUCAUCGUCAUUCUUUUUUUUUUUUUUUAACAUUAUCAUCAUCAUUCUUUAAUAGAAAAUAAUGGAAGAUAGGACAAGUCACAAUACUGAAAUAACAAAAAAGCUCGUGGUAACAACUAUGACGCUACAUAAUUUUUUUGUUUAUAAAAGGCAUUCAUAUUAAAAAAGCAAGAGAAAGAAAAUGGUUUACAUGCCUAUAAGGCCAUAGUUAAAAGGGCAAGGCCGAGUAGAGUUUAUAUUGGAACACAUAUCAAUGGAACUGUCUGACCCACCUCAGAUAUAGAGGCCCAGAGUGAAGAGGUUACGACAUAAGAAGCCGAUGAAGUUAGGGGAGAUCGAUAGAAACUAUGAUCUGAGAAACCAGAGUUGAGACAUCGCUGAGGAAGCACGAGUGUUGGAGUGGCGAAAGCUCUGGAUCCUAUUCCGCAGCUGCUUGUCUAUGGUGGAGAUGAAAAUGUCAGUGGUUUUGAAGGUUUGGUUAUGGAGUCUUGAGUUCCUCUCAUGCCAAAUCCAGUAGAUGGUUCCCUGAAACGCUAGAAGUGUUAGCCGGCGAAGAUUCCUGUUGCGCACUGCAUGCAAUUGGUCGAUCAAGGCAUCCCAAGUAGUGGUGAACUGCAACUGACACCAAUCUGAAAUCGAUCUCCACACGAUCCCACCGAAGGAGCAGUCAAAGAACAAGUGAUUUCUUGAUUCAUUACUGGAGUUGCAAAGUAAACACUUGGGGUCAACUUCAAGUCCCCACUGAAGAAGUCUAUCUCGGGUAGGACAACGGUUAUGCAUGACGAGCCAGGUUAGGAAGCUAUGGCGAGGGAUCCCAAAAGAGAACCAGACCAACUUCGACCACGAUACCAGAAGAACAGGACCUUUGAGGUGAGUAUAUACCGCUCCAGUGCUGUACCGAGAACUAGUUUUCCUGCCACCUCCCACUCGUAAUGGUCUUGUUCAUCGAUGAGGGUGACAGUAGUGAGAUGAACUUGUAUAGCUAACUGAUUCUCUGAUCUUGCAGGAGGAAGAAGCCAAUGAUCUUGGUCAUAGAGCGAAGCAACCGUAGCAGUACUGGGGAUGCCAAAGCGAGAAGUAGAGGCACCGAGGAAGUCUUGUAAGUUACCAAAUGGCGACCAGUUGUCAACCCAGAAGCUUGUAGUUUCACCAUUCCCUAGCCGUCUCCUGAGUAGUGGGUGAAUUUGGCUCCUUGUCUUGAUCAUUUUAUUCACCAGCCAAGAGAAAGAGGGACUUGGAUUAAUGGUCCAGUAGUUGCUAAUGUCGCCUCUUAAUAUCACUUAUUUGAACCAGUAAACCCAGGCAGAAGACGGGCGAAAGAAGAUCAUCCAUAUCAGUUUGAGAAUACACGCCAAGUUCCAAGAAUGAAGGUCCUUUACCCCAAGUCCACCAUGCGCUUUAGUAAGCGUUACCUUCUCCCAAGACACUUUUGCUGAUUGAUGUCCCUCACUUUUUCCAUUCCAAAGGAAUAAGACACAUAAAGAGUUUAUUCGAUUUAUGCAGGCUUUAGGAAGUAUGGAACUCGAGCACCAGAAAGUAGAAACACCAGCAAUGACUGUUUUUAUAAGGAGCAUCUUCCCGCAAAUGACCAAGCGGCUUUGUAAAAUUCUGAAGAAAGACCGUUUAGACCCGGGGCUUUGUUAGGGUUUAGAGAGAACAUGAGUUUAGUAAUCUCCUCUGAAGUAGGCAUGAGUAUAAUUUUGUCCUUUUGUUGUUGCGUGCAUAUGAAAUCAGUUAGCCCUCGGAACCAAGCAGUGGGUGAUUGAAGAAGGGUGAUCUGGAUCGAGAACAGCUUUGAAAUGGCCAACGGCAUGUGCACUCAUCUGUAGAGGGUCAGUUAGGAGAACACCCAAGUUGAGCAGAAACGAUCUGAUAGCGUUGAAACUGGCACGUGUUUGGCAGACCAUGUGGAAGAAUGUGGUAUUAAGAUCCCCUUCACGAAGCCAAUUGAUGAUUUCUGUCUAUAGAAGCAUUCCUCAAUUUGCCGAAGCAACUGCCAUUUCUCAUAAAGAACAUGCUCUGCUUCAAAGGUUUCUGGUGAUGGAUCAGUAAGAGCCUGUACAUGCGCAAGUUGUAACAAACUGUGAGUAGUUUUAACCCUCUCCUGAAUAUUUGAAAACUCUCUAUUUAGUUGUUUUAAACUUCUCUUUAUGCAUUUCAGCUUCCAACACAGUGGAGUUAGGUUGGCCGACAAACUUCCGCCUUGAAACCAAGAGUCAGACACUACCUACAAGAAGCUCGGGUGUUUAGUUAGGUAGUUUAGGAAUUUGAAUGGUUGAGUACCGGCUUUAGAUAGGAUAAAGGCGAGGUCUAUAAGGCAUGGGGAGUGGUUAGAGGGGACAUGAGGGAUGAAUGAAGCUAAGGCAUGGAAAAACUAGGUGAUCACAUCAUCAUUAAUAAGACAUCUAUCUAACUUCUUCGCGACAUGGGAGAGUAGUCUCUUGUUUGACCAAGUGUGAUUAGGACCUUGAUAUCUGAGAUCAAACACACCUAGUUGAUAAAGACAGUCUCUGAAUUGAAACAUCCGGGUAGAGUGCUUGUUGUGAUUGAAAGCAGAAUGGUCACUACUGUAGAGGAUUUGGUUGAAGUCUCCACCUAUGAUCCACGGUUUUGAGUCAAGACCAAACGUAGUGUGGAGAUUCAAGAACUCGACCCAUAAAUCAUUGCGUUCAUCGCUGAGGUUAGAAGCAUAUAUGGCAGUGUAGAUAAUGGGGAGGCAAUUGGGUAGAAUGAGCUCACAGGUGACCACCUGGUGAGAUUGCAACAAGAUACGCACUUUAGCGGGAUCCUUUCAAAUUAGUAUGAUGCGGCCAUCUUCAUCAGACAGGUGAUUUGAAGUGUAGUGCCAGCCUCUGCAGACAGAGCUCAUGAGGGAGGCCAGAGGAAGUUCCUUGAUAUGUGUUUCUAAAAUACUACCAAAAAUGGGUUUAUGGCUAUUGAGCCAAUCCGAAAAUGGUCUAUGUUUAUCCGGAUCAUUCAGACCACGAAUGUUCCAAAAAAAAAGCUUCGCACUCAUUAAGAAGAUAAGGGUGGGUCUCCAGCAGGCUGGAGAGAAUCAGUAACUUGAAGUGGUAAAAAAGGGUUAGAGACAGAGGGUGGGUCAAUGAAAGGAGAGGAUUUAAUAUAGUUUAAAGUUCCAACAUGUGGAAAAUUAAGAGGAGGAUGGGCUUUUGAGUAGGUGGAAGAAGGUUUUUGAUGGGUGGGUGGGGGAGAGGGAAUAAUUGUACUACUAGUACUAUUAAUUUGUUACUGUUUCGUGAUUGAUAACUAAAAGCGGUAAUCCAGGUAUUUAUUACAUGAUUACCCGGAGCUAGGAGGAGAAGGAGGCGGAGGACAUGCGGUGGUUGUUGAUGGUGACGGUGGUGGACGAGAAGGAGGCGGAGGAGGAGGAUAUGAUUGGACGGGAUUACAGGGAUUGUCGCAGGAAGAACACAUUGUACAAGAAACAACCUCGUCCGAUGUCACUGGCGAACUCACUGACAGUAACAGAACAAAAAGUAGAUACAAACCAUAUAACUGGUUUGCUUCCAUUGUCAGAGAUUUGGAUUCAGAAAUUCGACUUUCAAAUGUUGAAAUCUUCAAAAGGUAAGAAGAUGAGAGAGUGAGAAAGAAAGAAGCACAUUCAUGAAUAAGAGUGUUCUUCUUCUUAUAAAAUAGACUAUAUUUUUGUUACAGCAGAAAAAGGUGUUUUGAUAAAUAAAGAAAUAUAUAGUGAAAAGAACCAAGAAAAGAUAUGCCGACACAUUAACCUUUUAACUGAAGGUUUUAUAAUAAAGCAACGAAAAUUCGCGGACGUCGGAAGCAAACACGUCAUUGUGAUCUUAUGAAUUGUAGAAACCACGAUAGUACCCCUGGUCCCGGUACUACUGUGAGCCAUCUCGUGGCGGCUGCGUCUACUAGCAACAGAACAAGUAGGUUUGGUGAAAUUAAAAGAGUUGGCAGAAAUGGUGCUUGACUUUUCUGCAAGCUUUCACACGUGGACUUGUUUCAUUGGGUUUGGGUUUAUGAUGUGGUAGCUUUGGAAAGAGUAGACGUGAAGAUGACGGAAGUACUGAGUGAGUAUAUUACAUUCAACUAGUACCGGACAUUUUAUCCGUUAAAUUUGAUUCGAUUCGUUAUUCGUUUCUAUUCGAUCCGAAAAUUUUGGAUAUCCGUAAACUUUCGAAACAAAACAAAUACUAAAAAUCAAUAUCCGUUAAAAUCGAAGCAAAUCACAAAUAUUAAAAUUUUAGAAAGCAGAUAUCUGAUCCUUCAAUAAAUAAAUACAUGUAUAUUUUGAUUAUAUUUAAAAUUUUAAAUGUAUAAAAUUAUAUAAUUAUUAUUCUAACAUAUGAUUUGAUAAAUUCUAUUCACAUUAUUACUUAUAUAAAAAUAUUACAUAAAAGGAAAAGAACGCAUUUAUGACAAUUAUAAUUUUUUUCUUAAGUUUUUUAUUAUUAUAAUUGUUAACUAAGUUCAAAAAAUUUACAAAAUAUGUAGAUUCACUACUUCUUUUAAUUUUUAUCAUAUAUAUCAUGCAAACAAUUAUUUUACAAAACAAAUUUAUAUCAAAUUUUUAAGACUAUUUGUAUUAAUGAGAACAUAUGAGAUAUCCGUAAGUAUUCGUAAAUAUCAGCAAAUAUCUAUUUAUUUUUAGGAUAUCCGUUUUUCCGAAUAUCCAUAUUUUUCCGAAGCAAACCAAAUCGAAAAAUUAGAUAUAUAUGACAUACAAAGCAAAUCACAAAUACCUUCAAAAACACGGAUAUCCGAUCCGUGUCCAGGUAUAGCCGAGAGUGUUGUCCAUAGCGCUGAUUAAAUUUACAGCAUUAUCUAUAAAGUAAUCAAUUUUUUUCUGAACCGAUUAAAAGUAAUCAAAUUUUAUUUAAAAAGCUCUGUUCACAGCAGUUUGGAAAAGAAACGUAUGUGCAUGUGAUUUACUAAGGUCAUGUUUGUUUACGUGUCGUGCGACCUACGACUUACGACUAAGAUUCCGUUCAUUUACGUGUCGCGCGACCUGCGACCUGCGACUAAACAUGCGAUUAAAACUAUAUUCGUUUACGUGUCGUGCGACCUGCGAUUUGCGACCUGCGACCAGUCGCGCGAUCAAAAUUUUCUUAAUUUUUAGUCGUCGUUUUUUCUGGAGACUUGAAUGGGAAUCCACGACUGGUCGUGCGAUCAGUCACGCGACAUCAAAACGAACAACAACCUGCGACUUGCGACAUGCGAUCAAUUGCAGGUCGCAUGUUACGCGACAACAAAACGAACAACAACCUGCGACCUGCGAUCAGUUGCAGGUUACAGAUUACGCGAUAGAUAAACGAAAAUGGGUCUAAGCUAAAUAUCAACCGUUUAGUUUUGUGGGCUUUCAAGAAAACAAAAUGUAACAUUUUAUUUAACACUUAUUCAAUGAAUAGUAUAAAUAAUAAAAACCAUAGUAACAACCAUUCACCCUCGUAAAUAUAUAGAAAAUUUUAAUAAUCGUCAUUUUUCACUUCGAUGUAUCAUCGUCAUUCUUUUUUUUUUUUUUUAACAUUAUCAUCAUCAUUCUUUAAUAGAAAAUAAUGGAAGAUAGGACAAGUCACAAUACUGAAAUAACAAAAAAGCUCGUGGUAACAACUAUGACGCUACAUAAUUUUUUUGUUUAUAAAAGGCAUUCAUAUUAAAAAAGCAAGAGAAAGAAAAUGGUUUACAUGCCUAUAAGGCCAUAGUUAAAAGGGCAAGGCCGAGUAGAGUUUAUAUUGGAACACAUAUCAAUGGAACUGUCUGACCCACCUCAGAUAUAGAGGCCCAGAGUGAAGAGGUUACGACAUAAGAAGCCGAUGAAGUUAGGGGAGAUCGAUAGAAACUAUGAUCUGAGAAACCAGAGUUGAGACAUCGCUGAGGAAGCACGAGUGUUGGAGUGGCGAAAGCUCUGGAUCCUAUUCCGCAGCUGCUUGUCUAUGGUGGAGAUGAAAAUGUCAGUGGUUUUGAAGGUUUGGUUAUGGAGUCUUGAGUUCCUCUCAUGCCAAAUCCAGUAGAUGGUUCCCUGAAACGCUAGAAGUGUUAGCCGGCGAAGAUUCCUGUUGCGCACUGCAUGCAAUUGGUCGAUCAAGGCAUCCCAAGUAGUGGUGAACUGCAACUGACACCAAUCUGAAAUCGAUCUCCACACGAUCCCACCGAAGGAGCAGUCAAAGAACAAGUGAUUUCUUGAUUCAUUACUGGAGUUGCAAAGUAAACACUUGGGGUCAACUUCAAGUCCCCACUGAAGAAGUCUAUCUCGGGUAGGACAACGGUUAUGCAUGACGAGCCAGGUUAGGAAGCUAUGGCGAGGGAUCCCAAAAGAGAACCAGACCAACUUCGACCACGAUACCAGAAGAACAGGACCUUUGAGGUGAGUAUAUACCGCUCCAGUGCUGUACCGAGAACUAGUUUUCCUGCCACCUCCCACUCGUAAUGGUCUUGUUCAUCGAUGAGGGUGACAGUAGUGAGAUGAACUUGUAUAGCUAACUGAUUCUCUGAUCUUGCAGGAGGAAGAAGCCAAUGAUCUUGGUCAUAGAGCGAAGCAACCGUAGCAGUACUGGGGAUGCCAAAGCGAGAAGUAGAGGCACCGAGGAAGUCUUGUAAGUUACCAAAUGGCGACCAGUUGUCAACCCAGAAGCUUGUAGUUUCACCAUUCCCUAGCCGUCUCCUGAGUAGUGGGUGAAUUUGGCUCCUUGUCUUGAUCAUUUUAUUCACCAGCCAAGAGAAAGAGGGACUUGGAUUAAUGGUCCAGUAGUUGCUAAUGUCGCCUCUUAAUAUCACUUAUUUGAACCAGUAAACCCAGGCAGAAGACGGGCGAAAGAAGAUCAUCCAUAUCAGUUUGAGAAUACACGCCAAGUUCCAAGAAUGAAGGUCCUUUACCCCAAGUCCACCAUGCGCUUUAGUAAGCGUUACCUUCUCCCAAGACACUUUUGCUGAUUGAUGUCCCUCACUUUUUCCAUUCCAAAGGAAUAAGACACAUAAAGAGUUUAUUCGAUUUAUGCAGGCUUUAGGAAGUAUGGAACUCGAGCACCAGAAAGUAGAAACACCAGCAAUGACUGUUUUUAUAAGGAGCAUCUUCCCGCAAAUGACCAAGCGGCUUUGUAAAAUUCUGAAGAAAGACCGUUUAGACCCGGGGCUUUGUUAGGGUUUAGAGAGAACAUGAGUUUAGUAAUCUCCUCUGAAGUAGGCAUGAGUAUAAUUUUGUCCUUUUGUUGUUGCGUGCAUAUGAAAUCAGUUAGCCCUCGGAACCAAGCAGUGGGUGAUUGAAGAAGGGUGAUCUGGAUCGAGAACAGCUUUGAAAUGGCCAACGGCAUGUGCACUCAUCUGUAGAGGGUCAGUUAGGAGAACACCCAAGUUGAGCAGAAACGAUCUGAUAGCGUUGAAACUGGCACGUGUUUGGCAGACCAUGUGGAAGAAUGUGGUAUUAAGAUCCCCUUCACGAAGCCAAUUGAUGAUUUCUGUCUAUAGAAGCAUUCCUCAAUUUGCCGAAGCAACUGCCAUUUCUCAUAAAGAACAUGCUCUGCUUCAAAGGUUUCUGGUGAUGGAUCAGUAAGAGCCUGUACAUGCGCAAGUUGUAACAAACUGUGAGUAGUUUUAACCCUCUCCUGAAUAUUUGAAAACUCUCUAUUUAGUUGUUUUAAACUUCUCUUUAUGCAUUUCAGCUUCCAACACAGUGGAGUUAGGUUGGCCGACAAACUUCCGCCUUGAAACCAAGAGUCAGACACUACCUACAAGAAGCUCGGGUGUUUAGUUAGGUAGUUUAGGAAUUUGAAUGGUUGAGUACCGGCUUUAGAUAGGAUAAAGGCGAGGUCUAUAAGGCAUGGGGAGUGGUUAGAGGGGACAUGAGGGAUGAAUGAAGCUAAGGCAUGGAAAAACUAGGUGAUCACAUCAUCAUUAAUAAGACAUCUAUCUAACUUCUUCGCGACAUGGGAGAGUAGUCUCUUGUUUGACCAAGUGUGAUUAGGACCUUGAUAUCUGAGAUCAAACACACCUAGUUGAUAAAGACAGUCUCUGAAUUGAAACAUCCGGGUAGAGUGCUUGUUGUGAUUGAAAGCAGAAUGGUCACUACUGUAGAGGAUUUGGUUGAAGUCUCCACCUAUGAUCCACGGUUUUGAGUCAAGACCAAACGUAGUGUGGAGAUUCAAGAACUCGACCCAUAAAUCAUUGCGUUCAUCGCUGAGGUUAGAAGCAUAUAUGGCAGUGUAGAUAAUGGGGAGGCAAUUGGGUAGAAUGAGCUCACAGGUGACCACCUGGUGAGAUUGCAACAAGAUACGCACUUUAGCGGGAUCCUUUCAAAUUAGUAUGAUGCGGCCAUCUUCAUCAGACAGGUGAUUUGAAGUGUAGUGCCAGCCUCUGCAGACAGAGCUCAUGAGGGAGGCCAGAGGAAGUUCCUUGAUAUGUGUUUCUAAAAUACUACCAAAAAUGGGUUUAUGGCUAUUGAGCCAAUCCGAAAAUGGUCUAUGUUUAUCCGGAUCAUUCAGACCACGAAUGUUCCAAAAAAAAAGCUUCGCACUCAUUAAGAAGAUAAGGGUGGGUCUCCAGCAGGCUGGAGAGAAUCAGUAACUUGAAGUGGUAAAAAAGGGUUAGAGACAGAGGGUGGGUCAAUGAAAGGAGAGGAUUUAAUAUAGUUUAAAGUUCCAACAUGUGGAAAAUUAAGAGGAGGAUGGGCUUUUGAGUAGGUGGAAGAAGGUUUUUGAUGGGUGGGUGGGGGAGAGGGANNNNNNNNNNNNNNNNNNNNNNNNNNNNNNNNNNNNNNNNNNNNNNNNNNNNNNNNNNNNNNNNNNNNNNNNNNNNNNNNNNNNNNNNNNNNNNNNNNNNNNNNNNNNNNNNNNNNNNNNNNNNNNNNNNNNNNNNNNNNNNNNNNNNNNNNNNNNNNNNNNNNNNNNNNNNNNNNNNNNNNNNNNNNNNNNNNNNNNNNNNNNNNNNNNNNNNNNNNNNNNNNNNNNNNNNNNNNNNNNNNNNNNNNNNNNNNNNNNNNNNNNNNNNNNNNNNNNNNNNNNNNNNNNNNNNNNNNNNNNNNNNNNNNNNNNNNNNNNNNNNNNNNNNNNNNNNNNNNNNNNNNNNNNNNNNNNNNNNNNNNNNNNNNNNNNNNNNNNNNNNNNNNNNNNNNNNNNNNNNNNNNNNNNNNNNNNNNNNNNNNNNNNNNNNNNNNNNNNNNNNNNNNNNNNNNNNNNNNNNNNNNNNNNNNNNNNNNNNNNNNNNNNNNNNNNNNNNNNNNNNNNNNNNNNNNNNNNNNNNNNNNNNNNNNNNNNNNNNNNNNNNNNNNNNNNNNNNNNNNNNNNNNNNNNNNNNNNNNNNNNNNNNNNNNNNNNNNNNNNNNNNNNNNNNNNNNNNNNNNNNNNNNNNNNNNNNNNNNNNNNNNNNNNNNNNNNNNNNNNNNNNNNNNNNNNNNNNNNNNNNNNNNNNNNNNNNNNNNNNNNNNNNNNNNNNNNNNNNNNNNNNNNNNNNNNNNNNNNNNNNNNNNNNNNNNNNNNNNNNNNNNNNNNNNNNNNNNNNNNNNNNNNNNNNNNNNNNNNNNNNNNNNNNNNNNNNNNNNNNNNNNNNNNNNNNNNNNNNNNNNNNNNNNNNNNNNNNNNNNNNNNNNNNNNNNNNNNNNNNNNNNNNNNNNNNNNNNNNNNNNNNNNNNNNNNNNNNNNNNNNNNNNNNNNNNNNNNNNNNNNNNNNNNNNNNNNNNNNNNNNNNNNNNNNNNNNNNNNNNNNNNNNNNNNNNNNNNNNNNNNNNNNNNNNNNNNNNNNNNNNNNNNNNNNNNNNNNNNNNNNNNNNNNNNNNNNNNNNNNNNNNNNNNNNNNNNNNNNNNNNNNNNNNNNNNNNNNNNNNNNNNAGAGCGGCAGCAUUUUAAAGACGGUUUAAGAGCUUUGUCAGAAGGACUUUGGUGGGAAAAUGGUAGACAAGAGUCUUUGGAACCAAAACAAAAAAGGUUAGGGAAAAGGUUCUUUUUUACAGCCGAGGGGCUAGAUGGCAAGGAAACUGAUAGAAGAGGAGGGAGGUCAGUCGGUGGAAUGGAAGAGGUGCCAGUAGAGGACACAGAGACAGUUUUCUUGACAGGUACGUAGUGUUUGCCUUUAGGAACUCCUCCCGAAGCCUGCUUACGAGAGUCAUUGAUAGGAGUUUUACCAUUUUGUUUCUUUGCAGAUUCAGUAGCAGUAGGAGGGUUCUUCGGUGGAGUGUAUGUCAACCAGUUACGCACCACAUGACCUAGUUCUUUGCAAUGGGAACAGAUCGGAGGCAGCCAAGGAUAGUCAACUUGAACUUCAACCACUUCUCCAUUUUGCCUCUCAAACUCAACUACACGAGGUAAUGGUUUAGUGAGAUUCACUUCUACUUUGACAUGAGACAGAGUGAGACUGACUAGGUUUAGUGUGAAAUCAUCAGUCUCUUUGGGUUCACCCACUAAACCUGCAACAAGACUGAGACCCUGCUGAUAACGGAGAUCAAAAGGGACACCGGUAAGAUGGGCCCAAAUCUGGAUGGAGCUAAGAGGAGGAGUUGAGGCCGAGUGAGCUGACGACCACUGAGCGGUAUGAAACAUCGAGUCUCCAACAUACCAUAUAUUUUUCUCAAGUAUCUUUUGUCUCAAAUAAUCACUAGGGAUACAGACAAUGGCUGAGCGCUGAAGGGGAUUGUUGUGAAUCUCAAGCUUUCUUCCCUUUUCCCACAUGUGGGAGAGGACACUUUGGAUUUGGUUGAAUGGAGGGGGGCGCCCAUUGAAAUAACAGACAAUGAAAUCUUUGUGCAAUUCAGCUCCUUUAUGGAAAACAGAGUCAGGUAUGAUGACGUGAGGUCUGCCAUUGUCUGCCAGCAGCAAUGGAGCAAGUCGCUUGAGUGAUUUAUCCCCUUUAACUCGUAACUGGUCAGCCAGCGUCGGAGGAAACUGAGGAGCAGCUACUGACGUAGGAGGAUUUGAAACAGGGGGUUUGAAGGAAAGGGAAGGAUGGAGGGAUUUGGAGGGUUGUUAGUGUUUGAGGAUAGGGUUUCAGUAACAUGGGGUGGGUUUGUGGAGGGUUUAGGGUUUAAAGCUUUAUUAGUUAGGAGAGGAGAGUUGUGUGAAGGCGAGAAGAGUUUGUAACAGUCUGAAGGGUUAGCAGUUGAAGGUAAGGUUGAGUUUGAAAUUAAAGUUUGGCUAGGGUUUCCUGUAGCAGGAACAGUAGUUUGAGAUACAAUCUCAGUUUGGUUUGGAACAAAAAUGGUAGGAAUUGGACAGUUUUCAGGAGAAGACUGGACCAUAGUUAUGUCUACUAUCACUAGAAACAAAUUCUGAGUCGCAGAGACCUCAGCAGUUGGGGGAGAAAGGUGGGAUCUACGGGCAGCGGAGAGGGAAGUUUUGGAUGGGAUGGUAGAAAGGGGAGGGAAUUGAAUGGGGGAAAGAGAUGAGGAUGGGUCAGGGGGGUCAGGCGGGAAAGGCGGAGGCAGGUGAGCAUCACCGGAGGUAGGUGACAGUGGUUUCGCGGCGAAAGAAAGACCAGGUUUGCCCCAACGAGACCGUAUCGGUAAGCGUGUCAGAAAAAAACUGACAUACAAACUCACGGGUUUUUACGCUACAUAAUUUUGUACGUAAAUCAAACACACAUGAUCCUGAUUUUGAUCUAGACUGAAGAGAAGAUGAUGAUCAACAACCUCCCCUGAAUGAUGACCUUAGAAGAAUUGUUCAAGAAGUGGCUGGUUCGAGACAAUAUAUGAAAUGAUUACAUCAUAUUGCAAUAGAUUUAUGAAAUACUCAUGGGUAGACAUAUUAUAAUUUCUAUUAUGCAAAAAUUUAUGUUUUAUUAAAAAUGGUUAAAGAUGGUUAAUUUAGUUUAUGGAAAUUUUAUUAUUAUUAUUUGUUAUUUAUUCAGCAAAAUUAAAUUUAUUAUAAAUUUAUUUCAUAUUGUUUAUAUAUUAUUUAAUAUAUAUAUAAUAGUAAUCUACAUCUAAUUUUAUACCAAUUAAGAUUUAUAAGAAAAAUAACCGUUCAAAUUUUACAACCAAAUUUUACAGCAAUGCAAUAUAAAGCUAUGAUAAAAAGUUCAAAAAUUUAAUCUAUGAAAAAAAAAUUAAAGUUACAAAUCAGGUCUUAGGUUGGAGAUUAUAGUCUGAUAUUUUCUUCUAAUUAAUCAAAACCGUUGUUAAA